UCUGAUCGCCUUCCAAUCACUAGUGGAUUGAGUACAUGACAUGUCAAUCUCAAUAGCUCAUCGACAGCCUGUCUAGCUAGCCAGUGCACCACAUUAAUUAGUUGCACCAAUGGGCCUUGAUGUUUGAAAUGCCAUUUUCAUAAUUUAUUUUUUGUGCUGAUUUUUUUGAACAAAGUAAAUCAUCCUCAUGGCUUUAUCCUAGGAGAUAAAUAGAAAAUGCUUUCCUUUUCGCCCUCGGAAUCCCUAAGUCAUGCUAAUUUGGUUUCUUAUGAAGUAAAAAGAAAUGAUAAAAACGAGAGAGUUUGUGUUCUUAUAUCAUGGAAUUAUAAAUUUUCAUCAUCAAUUGGAAAGAACAUGAAAAAAAUAUAUAUUUUGUGAUAAUUUAAUGGUGAGCGUAUAACAUAAUUAAACUUUAUUGAGAUAAUUAAAUUAAGUAUUACUUUUACCCUAAAAGGGUUUCAUGAAGUGAUUUUUUUUUCACUGGCCACCUAAAACACCUAGAGGAAACAUCGAGUUAAAAAUUAAUAUGAACUUAGUCCGCUCUUCUACUUUGUUAAUACUAAUUUUCGAACAUUAGAUUUAUUUUUAUCUAAAUCUCUAUCAUACAAAAAUUUAUACUCUACAAGGUGUACAAUUGUUGGCUGCUCUACUUUCUAAUUCUAGAAUUGCUUUGUGACGAGCGCUGCUGGCCUACUUUCACAUCCAUGAUAUUAGUUAAUAGCCCUGGCUGCGAUAUUUCCACUUCAUGUAUGUCGAUUUCAUCGUUCAUUAUCUUGGUCACCGUUGACAUAAGGGGUCGGAGGUUUGAUUUUUCUUGCACGCACAAUAGCCCAACUUUUAGAAGUCUAAUGGCUUCAUUUUUGUUGAAUCUGCCACUUAGCAAAGGAUCCACUAGAUGCAGAAGCUCCUUAGACUUGUACAUUCCCCAAGCCUGCUUGGAAGCAUAAUGAAUAUGUUGGACCAAAACCAGAAAGAAUCCGAUCUUGGUUCCCCAAGAUCCACUCAAAUUCUCUGUAACCCAAGAAUGAUUUAUAAUCAACCCAAACUUGAUGAAGAAACAGACACUAAAACAAUUUGAAACCAAAUCAAGAUAAAGAACUGAAAACACACACAAAAUGGCACAAAAGAAUUAUAGUGGUUCAACCACUUAGGUGACCUACAUCCACUGUGAAAAUGAGAGCAAGCUUUUACUAAUUUGGCCUUUACAGAAUACAAAAGAUGCUGAGUAAUUGUCACCCACUGGAAUAAAGCUAAUAACAACUCUCAAGGUUUUAUAUACAACACGAAAUAGCUUCUAAAAUCACUAUCAGAAGCCAACUCAACGUUAUUGAGUUUGUUAGCAACAAACCCAGAAAAUUCCCGCGCCUUUCAACAGCUUUACCAGUUAUUUAACAAGCUCUUAGACACGUGUUGCAAUCACCUGAGAAACGUUGUCUUCAUCUGCCAUUUUGAAUAAGUAAUGCACGUGUUGAAUCACGUGCUCAACUUAUUCUUCCUGCUGACAUAACAGCUCUGUCAUCUAGCUCCCUUACUCGAGACAACCGACAUAUCAUCUGAUUUCAAGUUGCACAGCCGACAUAUCACACAUAGUCAAAACUUCAUAUUUGCAGUUCAUUUUUCAACAUUCUCCACCUUGAACCCAAAUCAGUUACUCAUCAUCUUUCCUUCUCACGCAACUCCUGCAGUUUAGAUCCUGCAGAUUCCAGCUGAGUUCACACAGAACUCAAACUUGGCACUUGGUAAGGAUUUGGUUAGCAUAUCUGCUAGGUUAUCAUUAGUGUGAAUCUUCACUAGUUUAACCACCCCUCUUGAUACUUCUAGCCUGACAAAGUGAAACUUGAUGUCAAUAUGUUUGGUCUUCUCGUGAUGUAUCAUAUUUCUGCUCAAACAAAUAGAACUCUGACUAUCACAGUGGACUGUAACUUGUUUCUGGUCAAAUCCCAAAUCAGUCACCAUUCCUCUAAGCCAGAUUGCUUCUUUAAUUGCUUCAGCUGUUGUAGUGUACUCGACUUCAGUUGUUGACAGAGCAACAACACUUUGUAGAGAAGCUUUCCAGUUUAUGGUGCAACCAUUCAGUUUGAAUAGAUACCCAGUCAAUGACCUCCUCUUAUCCAGGUCUCCAGCAUAAUCAGAAUCCACAAAACCCUCUACACUGACUUCCUUUCCUUUAUCAACUAUGUAUGCUAAACCAUAGUUCAUGGUCCCAUUAAGAUACCUUAGAAUCCAUACCACAACCUUCCAAUGUUCUUUCCCUGAAUCAGCCAUAUACAUGCUUACCACACUAAUUGCAUAGGACAGGUUAGGCCUGGUUAGAACCAUUGCAUACAUCAAACACCCUACUGCACUUGAAUAUGGAAUUGAGCUCAUUUAAGCUCUAUCAACAUCAGUUUUAGGACAUUGUUGAGAGGACAAUCUGAAAUGAGCUGGUAGUGGAGUUUGGACUGGCUUUGAUCUUCCCAUUUCAAACCUUUCAAGUACUUUCUUGAUGUAUCUCUGUUGUGAUAAUACCAGAUUACCAUUCUUUCUAUUUCUUAUUAGUUCAACACCAAAGAUCUUUGCUUCUCCAAGAUCCUUAAUCUCAAAUGAACCCCUCAGUUGCUGCUUCAGAGCAUCUAUUUGAUUCAUAUGUUUAUAGGCUAUCAGCAUGUGAUCAACAUAUAAUAACAAAUAGAUCUUGCUGCCAUCUUCCACAUCCUUAUGAUAUACACAACAAUCAAAUGGACACCUCUGAAAGUUGUUCUCUGUCAUGAACCUAUCAAACCUCAAGUACCAUUGUCUUGGGGAUUGUUUAAGUCCAUAUAAGGAUUUUUAAAGGUGGUAUACAUAGUUAGGUUUUUCAGGAUUCACAUACCCCUCUGGUUGUCUCAUUACAAUCAUUUCAUCUAACUCACCAUGGAGGAAAGCAGUCUUGACAUCCAUCUGCUCGAGAUGCAUGUCAUUUACAGCUACUAAUGCCAACAAGAUUCUCAAAGAAGAGUGUCUUACCACUAGGGAAAAAAUCUCAGUAAAAUCAAUGCCUUCCUUUUGUGUAAAGCCUUUGGCAACCAGCCUGGCUUUAUACCUUUGUGGCUCAACACCUGGGAUUCCUUCUUUAAUCUUGUAAAUCCACUUGCAGCCAACUACUUUUCUGUUUGGUGGUCUUUUCAUCAAAAUCCAAGUGUGAUUUUUGGUUAAUGAUUGCAUCUCCUCAUCCAUAGCUGCCUUCCAUUUUCCUGAAUCAUCUCUGUUUACAGCUUUUGAUUUUUUAUUAAUGAUUGCACAAUAUGUGGUUUUUAUUUCUUCAUGAAUAUAAGCAAGCCCUCGAGCAAUUCCUAGUGUAAUUUCUCGCCUCGCUAUCCAGCUAAAUUUAACUCUAUUUUUCUCCUCACCUAUGGUUAUAAACAAUAUGAGUAUACUGCAACACUUGUAAAAUUAUAAUUACAAAAUUUGCAUCACUAAUAUUUUUUUGGAAUAGUUACUAUCUAAAGAUAUAAAUUAUACAUGCAUUCGUAGUACAGCCCAGAAAUUUGCCGAUAAACUUUACUCCCACUGACAACAUAUAUUGAGAUAAAUUUAUCCAUUUUCCAUAUUUCUGUGAAAAGAAAAAAGAGCCUCUAUGGCAGCUUGAAGUGGUGCUCACCAGUCCAAUGACUGAUUUGCAUCACUAAUCGACCAUAGAUCAAUGAUGAAAUGAGUAAUAUUAUACUUACAUAAUUAACAUAUAUUGUUUGUAUCCCAUCAUUUACUGCAAGUUACUAAAACAGUGGCAUAUUAAUUGUGAAUGAUAUAUAGAGUCAACUAAUAUGUGACACACCACACAUAUCAUUAAAUAAAUCGGGACAGAUUAUUGUUAGGAAAUCAACUCCACAAUUCAAGCAUCAACCCGUCAAAGAAUCAUGAGGGCAAUGAGACAUUUGAUCUGCUGCGACGGGUAUCAAAUAAUCACUCAUAAAUCGCCACAUCUUUAUGUAUAUAAACACAGUAUCGAUUGAAUAAAAGUCGAGAAAACUAAUUCAGUUUUCAUUCAACAAUUUCAAAAUUUUUUCGUAGUAUCAGAGCGUGAGAAUUACGUUUGGAAAAAAGCCAUUCAUCCUGAAGGGGAAAAGUUGAAUGCUAGUUCAAUUUAGUAACAACAUGUAAACAUUCUCAAACAUAUCCUAAUAUAAAAGAUAGAGGGAAAAUUUAUAUUGUACCAAGAAACGUUUGAGAGAGACUGCCGUUUUGCAUGUAGUCAUAAACAAGAAUUCUGGAGGGCCCAUCGAUGCAACCACCAUGAAGCUUAACCAGAUUUUCGUGACAAAUAUUUAUAUUGGCCAUGGAAGCAACUUCCGACAUGAAUUCUGUUUCUCCUUGCUUGGAUUCCACUGAAAGCACAUUCACCGCAACCACUGUUCCAUCUUCAAGCCUUCCCUUUAAGAUCAAAUAUCCAUUCUUCAACAAAUCAAUUAGGUUUCUAUGUAUAUAUUUUGAAGUUAUUAGAAUUAAUCAAACCAAAGCCUAUAAGUUUAAUGUAAAAUUUAAAAUUAGAUUAUGAACAUGCAUACCUUGUAAACGGAACCAAAUCCACCUUCGCCAAUUUUAUUGGAUGUACGGAAGCCGUUGGUAGCAAUUUUCAGUUCGUUGUAGGAUAUUUUUGAAAACUUGUACCCCUGUACUUUUCUUGAAUAAUUAAUUAUUGAGUAUUGAGAAUGAUGAAAUAACCAUGCAUGACGUUUGAUUAGGAGACAUAUUUUCUGACCUAUUAAAACAGGUAAGCUCUAGAAAAUUAUCAUGAAAGUGACGUAUAAAUAAUCAUACAUAUAACAGACGAUAAUUUUAAUAUGUUUGUAGGUUAUAUUCAAAGAAAAUGUAUAUAUCUUAUAUCUAUGGAUGGCUUUCUCAAUAAUGGCCAGCCAGCCUGCAGCAUCAAUAAGGUCAUUCAUAAUAGCCGAUUACUUGAUUGAUGACUUAUUUGUUUUCUUGACAAAUGCCAUCUGAUUAAAUUAUUGUGAUACGUUGAGGGGAUAAAGAUGCGUGCAUUCAUUAAAUAAGUGAACUUUUAUAAGACUUUUUUUCCCCCUCUAGAAAAUACACGAUUGGCAAUGAUUAAAAUAGGCAAAAAUCACUUCCUUAGUUCUAUGAACUGAAUGAAACCAGAAAUGCUGUAUUAUGUUUUUUUUUAAUUAAAAAAAUGUUGUACUAGAUGAUUAGGGUAAAAAGCAAAAAAGAAUUGAUUGUUUAAAAAAUUAACCAAUUAAUAAAAUACACACAUCCUUCGCAGGAUUUAUAUUUUUUUAUCAUUUACUCCUAUCUCUUUAGUGAAACAAACUCUUAACUAUUUUAUGGGUUAAUUUCUGUAUCAACUUAUUGAAAGCCAGACCACACUCUUGCCAAUUAAUUUUGAUUCCUCAUCGUGUUCAUUAACUUCAGAUAUCGAGCUAAUAUCAAGUUGAAUUCGAUUUGAGCUAAUUUUAUCUUAUUAACACUCUUGUAACUAUAACAUAGAUAAGCAAGAUUUAAAUUUUAAACCUUUAAUUUGUGUAAAAUGUCACUAGUUGAUCUAAUUACUGUCCCAAAUUUUCUUAAUUUUCCCAUUAGUAGUUCAAUGUAAUUAUUUCUGAAGAACGCGAAGCACUUGUGCCCUACCUAAGAUUGAGAAACAGAAAGCCGGUUCAAUCAUUGACUCAGCAGCCAGGCUUUCAACAAUGGAUUAAUUGAAUUAUUCAACCCUACUGUAUCCAAACUACAGUCCAAGGUCAAAGUGAGUCCUUAAACUUUGAGAAUUUGACAAAAUAUGAAGAAUUUGUCAAAUUGCUACUUUUGCAUGUCAAUAAAGGGAAUUGUCAAUUAUGUAAUCCCCAAACCUUUUCAGAAUAACUUGGUAUUCGCUUUCAAUUUUCAAAAUUUGUGUGCUUGCGUAAUUUGGAUCAUCAAUUCGGUGGUAAAUAAGCCAGAGAGACUAAGGAGUUUCAUCUAAAUUGCUUUGCCCUAAAAAUAUCUCAAGCGCCCCCCCCCCCCCCCCCCUUUUUGUACUGAUAAUACAGACAACUAAUAUUUACAACUGCUAUUCCAACAGACAAUUAUUGAUGUUUACAAUUAGACAAUUAACUAAGACAACAACUUUACAUUAAUGGUCCAUUUACUUCAUGGAAUGAGAAUGAGGUGGAAUGGGAAUGAGAAUCAAUUUACCAAUAAUAUUAAAUAAUGUAAUUUUUAUUAACUAGAUGCAUGUAUUAAUAUUAUUAUAAAAUGAUAUUAAUUAAAAAAAAUAAAAUUAAUAAUAAUAAAUGUUAAUAAUGAUAAUAAUAAUAAUAAUUAAUAAUAACUAAAAUAAUAAAGUUAAUAAAAUGCAAUAAUAAUAAUAAUGAAAUUUAAAAUAAUAAAAUUAAUUGUGAUUUGAACGAGGAUAAUUCGGAAAGUAUGAAAAAUUAGAGGGAUACAAAAGUAAGUUAAGGGAAUGGGAAUCCUCAUUCCCAACCCCCCUUCCCUCAUGGGAAUGAGAUUCUCAUUUCUUAUUCUCAAAUUAUGUGAGACCCACAUAUUUUAUUCUCAUUCACAAAUUACAUUUUGCCAAGUAAACAUGAGUUUCAUUCUCAUUCCCUAAACCCUCAAGUAAACACACUAUAAAUUCUAUGAAACACUCCACCAGAUUGUUUAUCUUUACUAAUAUACGAGAAAUGUCUGCUCUACUCACAUUUCACCAGGGAAAAGGACUGCAAACUGGCUCCACUCAAUCGUUCUUAAUUAAGGGAGAAUUUAUGUAGCUAAAAUAUUUCAAGCCUUGAACAUUGAAACACGUUUAAUUCUUUUGACAUGGUGUUGCAUUAUAAAGAUCUCAUUCUAGUAGGUACUAGCCUUAAUUUAAUAGGGGAAUAAAUAACCUUGCAAAUGUUGGUUCAACUUAAUAGAGGGAUAAAUGACCUAUAAUGAAACUAUGAUGACGUAGUCUAAACUGUUAAGUUCAUUGUCCCACAUCGACUAGAAUGAAUCCUGAGUUAAGUAGGGUUAGGCAUAUGAGAUUUGAGUAAUCAUCAACUCCAACAUAUGAAAUAAUUCUUAAGGUUAUAAAUAAUAAAAACGGCUCACAUAUCACAUCCAAGUAAGUACAGUAUUUCAACUAAAAUAAGAAAAGCAAAAUAAAUAGAAAAUGGGAGGGCCUAUUUUUUACAAAAAUUUUGACACAAAUCAUGAGUCAUUAGUUUCAAGCAAUUUAAUGGUAGAUAUUAAAAAAUCAAACUAAUAUUUAAUAAUAGUUAUUCAUCCACCAUCAGAUUUUCUGAAAUCAAUAGUUCAAAAUUUAUAUAGAAAUUUAAGUUAUAAUAACCUAAUCCAUUAAAAAUACUCUUGAACAGUGCUACAUCCCAAACUAAUGACUUAAUAAAUUGGGGGAUAUUUUAACUUAAAAUUUUUAUACAAAAUUUCAAUUAUUGAUCUCACACAAUUCAAUGGUAGACAUUGAAAGUCAAAAUAGCAAUUAAUGAUGCCAAUGUUGGAGAAUUUGAAUGAUUAAAUACUCUCUUUUCUUGUGAACUCAAUACAACUCCUCAAUUAGAAUUCUUUAAGAACUAAAAAGCUUUACUACUUCUUGUUUGCUUAAACCAUAUAAGAGAUGAGGUACUUAUACUUGUUACAACUUAAUCACUAGCCUAACUACCACACAAAUCAUAACCACAUAUUAAACCUAACAACUAUACCCAACAUCACAAAUUCUACUUACCACAUUAUCACAUUUAACACCACAAUUUUUAAUUACCUAAAGAAGCUUCCAUUAGCUAGAUCAAAGGUAAUUUGGGCUUCAAAGUUGUGUGGAUCAAGUUUAUGAUCCAACAACCAAUUCACUCACCAUAAAAUUAUAUUAUAUCGAUGGCUCAAAUUUUAUAUCAAAAUUUUAAGUUGAAAUAUUCUUUCCCUAAUAAAUCACAUUCGAUGCAUUUUAAAGCAUUUCAACACACUUGAAAUUUAAAAAAGUAAUAGCCUUUUCUAGAAGUAUAUAAUGGCUUUUUAUUAUUAUUAUAAGUUCGCAUGAAACUUGGAUAAACUCAAUACAAUAUAUCGUCCUCUUUUAUCUCCAUUUCACUAUCCAUUAUCGAUUUAUAUACUUCUGCUAAUCAUUCUACAAAUUUGGAUUUUUUUAAGUUCUUAGAAUUAAAGAAGAUUUAAUUAAUAAAUAAGUGCAUUAAUGUCAUAAAACAUAAUUAGAACAUGUGGGUAAAAGUGGUAGACAAAGGGCUAGUUUGAUAUUGCGAUAGCUGGAGAAAUAUGGUAUUUGUUCUAUGUAAAUGAAAUGAGCAUGCUUAUUAAAAAGGUAGCUAAGUGCUUAGUAAAGUGUGUUGUUGCAUUAGGUGUGAAUUUGAAAAAUAGAGUACAUGAAUUUGAUUUUAUUUUAUUAUAAAAGUGUUGUUUCAUUAUAUAAUGACCAAGGUAGAUAUAAGUUUAAACUAAUUUUUAUUUAUAUAUCAUGGGUCCUCUUCUUGGCAAAGAAAAAUUUUACCAUUUGAUUAUAUCCAUAUUUUUUCCUUGAAAUGGCUAGAAAAUCUUUAUCUAAAAUUAGGCCAGAUACUCUCUUUAGGGUAAUUCCAUCAAAUUCCACCACUGAACCAAUUUAAACCAAUUUAAAUGAAAGCUAAGUGCAUAUUACAAAUUUCAAUAUUAAUUUAAAUUCAUUAUUGAAUAGUUUUCAACAUUCUAUUUCUAUUAAUUAUUAAUUACUAUUUAUUUCUAAUAUAUAGAUAUUUUUCUAUUAAUAAUAUAUAUUCCUAAUAAUUAUUAGAUAAUUAUGUUAACUUUAUUAGAAUUCUAUUAAAUAGAUUUGAAUUAUAUAAUUUUGAUUAUUAUUAUUUUUAAUCUUAUUUUUUAUAAUAAUAUAAAUUUUCAUGGUUUAGAGAAAAAUAAGAUAUGAUUGUCUUUUUAUUAAAAAUAUUAAUAUUAUAAUAGAAAUUUUAAAAAGAUGGGAUUGCUUAUUGGAUAAACUGCUUAUAAAAAGUAAUCUCAUAUUUGCUUUUAAAUUUUUUUUGUUAAAAUGGAGAAACUUAUAAAAUAAGCAACUUUUAAAUAACUUACCAAGGUUUUUGUCAAAAUUUAUGAAAUAAGUAACUUAUAACACUUAAUAUGAAAUGGGGACAAUUUGCAUAAUGUUAUUGAAUUUUUUUUCCUUUAAAUGGGCUUACUUUUAAAAGUUUGAAAGCAUAGAAGAAACUAGAAAGGACCUUUUUGGUAUUUAGAUACUGUGACUUAAAAUCUACAUCAAUUCUAAAAGGAAAAAAAAAACUGACUAUAAAAUAAAAGUUAAUGUUAUAUUGUAAAUAUAACUUUCAAAUUAAAAUUUUGCAAAAACAAUUUAUAUAUAUAUGCAUAUAUAUAAAUUUUUAUCAAACAAGUAUUAAAUCAAAUCAAUCUAAUUUCCAAAUCACAGUAAUAAAUGUUUGCCUAAUAAUUUAGUGACGUAUCUUUUAAGAUAUAACUACCAACCACACUGCAACGGAUCUUCUUUUUCUGCAGCAUUGCUUCAAUGAUCUUAGGGGCAUUGGCCGCCAUGGCCCAAAUGAAAGUAAAAAGACUUCUAGCUCAUAGUUCAAUUGGACACGUAGGUUAUAUUCAUAUUGUUUUCUCAUGUGGAGCCAUAGUAGGCGAUCCUCUUGAGCUUUUGGUUAUUUCUUAGAAUGAAGUAGCUUUUCGUCGCCCUACCAAACGGAAGAAGUCACUAUCAAACAGCUCGCCCUCGCCCUACUGAAGCCCCCAAUAACUAAGAACGAAAUUGGUCUGCACCCAACAGGCCUUAGUUGAUGAAUAUUGCCUUUGCGAUUUAUGUAAUUUAAUCAACUAAUAAUUUUUUUAAAAAAAGAAAUAUAAUUUUUUUUUUGUCAUAGUGCCCUAUUAAUAAAUAUACCCCACGGAAAAGAUUGAAAAUAAUGUUAUUUUGUAAAUUAUCCCAAUCUAAUACUAAAACUUAUCCAUAUAUGGCUAGUAAUAUUUAGAUUGUUUAUUUUGUUUCAAUACAUCCUCCUCUAUUUAAAUCGUGGAUAUAAAAUUUUUCAUAUGAUUGAUUAUUUAGUUGAUACAUAUGAAAAAUUAUUAUCAAGGAUCAAUACAAAAUAUCUUAAAAAUUAAAAAAAAAAAUAUAUCAUAUUCAACACAGUAAUCAAAUACUUAAUGCACUGCCAACACACAACUCAAUUCUUUUGAAUUUUAUGACAUGAGUAAACCUCACUUUAUCAAGUCAUGUCUGGAAAAAGCAAAAUUGAAAAGUGGUUUUGGUUAGGGAUAACAAAUGGGCCGGGCCGGGCUUGAGCUGCCAUCAGCACAGAAUAGGAUUGCCCUUUCCGGUAAAUGUAUUUCUGAAAUGUAUUUUAAAAGUUGUAAAUCCUUAAUUGUAGCUAGAAUCUCAAUCAAAUUAAACAAAUAAUAAAGAAUUCACUAAGAAAAGAAAUAGAUACAACACAGCGUUUAAUAUUGAUCCAAAAUAAUAUCGAAUCACUAAAACAAACUUUCUUAUUUUUUCUUUUUUCACAUUUUGGAUCUAUAACUUUACAAUACUGACAUUUAAGCCCAACAUUUUGUCAGAUAAUUAAGCUCUAUUGCAUGUACAACUGCUGGCCGUGCGUUCUGGUCAUGAUACUUUGUCAGGAGCUUUUGCUAUCGUAGUUUCACAUCGAUGGUAUCAUUGAUGAGCUCUGGCUCCCAUAUUUUCACAUCAUCAUCGAUGAAAAUCUCACCGUUGAUAAUCGCGAUCACCAUUGACAUGCAGGGUCGGAGGCUGGAUUUUUCUUGUACACAUAGUAGGCCAACCUUCAGGAACCGAAUGGCUUCAUUUUCUGAGAAGUUACCGUACAAUAAAGGAUCCACUAAAUGCUGAAGCUCGUUUGUAUUGUACAUUUCCCAAACCUGCUUGGAUGCAUAGAUAUUUCCUAUUUCAAUUUGCUUUGUUAUCAUAUAUGUAUGUAUAUAUACACAUGGAUAUAUUAUGUAAUAAACCUUUUGAACGAAAGCUUUCGAGAGUGAAUGUGUGCUCUUUACAAAAUUCACAUUGAAGCAAUGCAUUGCUAAAAAAAUUUGUAAAGUGACGACGUUCGUAGAAGAGAGUAACUUGAUGAAGUACCUUUACGGUAUCAAAUAAUCAAAUAUGGUUCUCUCUGUCUUUUUUUUUUUUUUUUUUCUUCCUUCUUAGAAAUAAAAAAUCUUGUACAAAAUAUAUUACCUUCUCCACUAGAUAGUACUCUCCAAGCUCUGGGUGGAAUUGAACUGCUCUUUCUCCAGUGACUAUUUGAAGAAGCAGUACUCCAAAACUAUAAACAUCUGAUUUUGGAUUUAAAUGUCCACUAGCUGCAUAAUCUGGAGCGAGGUAACCUCUAAUUUAGAACACAAAAGGUAAAUAUAUGUUAAAAAAAUAACAUACAGUUUCAAUAAUCUUAUACCUUUAAUUUAAAAAAACAAUGUAUUAUAAUAUAUAUACUUACAGUGUGCCUGCUACUUGUGUACUAACAUGAGUGGCAUUCUCAUGAAAGAGCUUGGAGAGGUCAAAAUCUGAGAUUUUAGCAUUGAGAUUUUUGUCCAAAAGAAUAUUGCUAGGUUUAAUAUCUCGAUGCACAAUAUGUGGUUUGAUUCCUACAUGAAUAUAAGCAAGUCCCCGAGCAACUCCCAGUGCAAUUUCUCGCCUCGCUGUCCAACUAAACUUAGCUCUAUUUUUCUCCUCACCUAGCAUCAAUUCAAGAAACAAAAUUUAUAAUCAUAUAACAUUACAAGCACCAUUGCAUAAAGAAAUUAUAAAAAUGACAUUCUCAAAAGCGCCGUAAUAUCGAAGAUGGAAAGAUAGAAAUGCAUACCAAGAAAUGUUUGAGAUAGACUGUUCUUUUGCAUGUAAUCAUAAACAAGAAUUCUGGAAGGCCCGUCAAUGCAACCACCGUGAAGCUUAACGAGAUUCUCGUGACAAACAUUCGCCCUGGAAGCGACUUCGGACAAGAAUUCUUUCUCCCCUUGCUUGGAUUCCAUUGAAAGCACUUUCACAGCUACAAGAGUUCCAUCUUUAAGCCUUCCCUUUAAAAUCCAAUUGAGUAAUGAUGAAAUCAAAGUCUAUGCAUAUAUUCUGAAGCUUCAUAUAUAGGUCAAUUCAUGUAAAAUUAGAGAAUGAAUAUACCUUAUACACGGAGCCAAAUCCUCCUUCGCCAAUUUUAUUGGAUAUACAGAAGCCGUUGGUGGCAAUUUCCAGUUCCUUGUAGGAGAACGCAUUAAUAUUUUUCAGGAUCUGUACACCUGAUUUAAUGAAAAAGUUAGCUAUAUGCUUAAGCAGCGGAAUUACACUCUAAUUAAUUUUGAGAAAUGCUAAAUGUAGAGAACGGCGAGAGAAUGCCAAGAGAAACGGCAGCUUGUGCCACCGUUUCGAGUGCUCUCUCACCAUUCUCCACACGACCCACACUUUUCUUUUCUCUUUUCACUUUGGCCCCCAUGUGAACUCCACUCCACUUUUCCUUUUGGGUGCGUUUGGUACACGUAUUGUAUUAUGUUGUAUUGCAUUAUUUUAAUGCUGGUGUAUUGUAUUAUGCUGUAUUGCAUUAGCACUGUAUUAUAAUAAUACUGUACAAUGUUUGGUGCUACACAGUACUGUAUUAAUUUUUAGUUAUGUUAUGUUUGGUGUUGCACUGUACUGUAUUAAUUUCUUUUGGUGAUUAAUUUUAAUUAUAUAUUUAGAAAAUAAUAUUUACUAGUACUUAGAAAAAUACUAAAUAUAGAAGUGUUAAAUUUAAAAAUUUUUACAUCAAUUUUUUUUGUUUAAAUAAAAUAAUCAUAAUUCUUUUAUUUAAACUAACAAAUUCUAAGAUUUACAAUUAUAUAAGAUUUAUUUUUUCAAUAAUUCGUAAAUAUAUAACCUAUGAAAUAAAGAUUGAAACAAAUAAUCCAAUCAAAUAGCAUUUAAAAACUAUCACAGCAUAAAUAAAACAAACUAUCACAAGAUUCAUUCAAAGUUAAUACAUACUUCAAAAACAUCACAAAUUAAUAAGUAACACAAUAGUUGUUUGUGUCCGAUAAUUUAAGUACACACAUCUACAAGCCAAACUACUAGUUGGUUAUGUCAUUGUUUAGUUAGAAAUCCAUACUCUCUAAUCAAAUUCCACCUCUCCUCUCAUGCUCACGCAAAAGCAUCCUAACAUAAGCGAACUUACGAUCACGAUCAUUUCGUAAUACUUUGAAAGCCCUUAUAUGUGAAGGCUUCUCAACCAUCAAAUUUAAUGCAAUAAGCUCGUCAUCCAUAGAAAGUCCUAUCGAAGCAAGCUCUCUACCAAUGUAAUCAUGAUCUUCACUACUUCCAAACAUAUUCUGAGACAUGUCAGCGUUGGCUUGGUGAAAUGCUGAAACCAAUUUGUCAAUACCACCAGCAAUUUGUUCAUCUAAUUUAGACCUCCUCAUGUUUGAUGAUUGUGAACGUGAUCGAGUAGUGUAUUGAGAAUUUGAAGGCAGUGUAGUCGACAUUGGAGAACCUUCAUCAUCAAUCUCAUUAUCAUCAUCAUGAAUUUCUUCUUGAAGUGCUGCAUUAGCCAUAUCAUUUGGGGUUUCUGCUGAACUUCCAGUUGCACGGUCUUUUCCAAAUAUGUUUGCUAGCCUCUCAUAAUAUGGAAAUGACUUAUCUCUUCAGUUGCUUGCAUCUUUAUGGGACUACAAUAAUAAAAUAAGAUAAUUAAAUAAACUCUAUUAUAUUCAUAACAAACAAAUUAAGGACAAUGUUUAUAAAUGAUGACAUAAAAAAAAUAAUUUUCUUUACUAACCUCGACAUAUGAUCUACAUACUUCGUCACUGUUAACCACCACACAUUUUCUUACUUCAUUCCAGCCAAAACCGCUAGUGUUCAACAUAUCAAAUAUCACUCCAUAACUUUUUUUCCAUAUUCUUAUCUUAGAGUCAAUAUGUGGAUACGCCUUCAAGCCGCUCCCUGGUAAUAGUUUUUCUAAUUCAUUUUCAAUAUAUUUGUAACUUCUAGAUUUAAAGGUGCCGUUAUCAGCUCGACCACCAUUUGCAACUACAGCAUCUAAAAUGUUCAACAUUGCCUCUUCUUCGUCUUUUGUCCAUGCUCGUCUUGAUCCUGUCUUAUUUCCAGUAGUAUGGCUUGGUCCUCCACUCUCCAUUCCUACAAAAUGAAUAUUAUAACAAUUUUUGAACAAGUAACUAAAAUAUAACACCAAGUCAGUUCACAUCAAUAAACCUCGAUAAAUUUCCAAUGACAUCAAAUAUAAAUACAAGGUUACAACCUUAGAAAUUUUCCUAAUGACAUCUAUAUACUAACAAAAGUACAGCCUCCGAUGCUUUCCUAAUCACAUCUAUAUACUAACAAAAGAUGCUUUCCUAACGAUAUCUGUAUACUAACAAAAGUACAGCCUCAGAUAUUUUCCUAAUCACAUGUAUAUACUAACAAAAGUACAUGCUCGGAUACUUUCCUAAUGACAUCUAUAUACUAACAAAAGUACAUGCCCAAAUGAUUUCUUAUUGACAUCUAUAAAUUAGAUAAGUCCUAAUUUCCAAGCCAAUUAUUAUACAUAGUAGUAGCUAGAUCAUUCCUCCAGCUCGUCCACUGGUCUGAAGCUUCAAUGCUACUUAUACUAUCAUUAUCUUCUACUUCAUUAUUAGGUAAGUCAAUUAAUUCAUGCUCCAUUAGAUCCACAGACAUUUCUCUCCUAAUCAGAUUAUGCAAUAAACAACAUGCAGUAAUAAUGCGACAUUGGGUUUUAAUUGGAUAAAAUGAAGGACUUCAAAGAAUAGCCCAUCGCAUUUUGAGCAAUCCAAAACACCGUUCAAUUACUUUUCUUGCUGAUGAAUGUUUCAUAUUAAAGAAUUCUUCUUUAUUGCGAGGAGCACACCCAUCUCUCCAUUCCGAUAAAUGAUAUCUCGUUCCCCUAUAUGGUGCAAGGAAUCCUUCAGCAUUUGUAUAUCCGGCAUCCACAAGAUAAUAAUAACCUAUUUAUUUCACAUAAGCAUUAAUAUAAUUUUGAUUUUGAAUAUGUAAUUUGAUUAAAUUAAUUUUUUGGAUUGAGUAAUACCUGUAGGAACUUUUAAACCAGUUGGUUUAUUUAAUGCAUCGCGAAGUACCCUUGAGUCAGUGGCAGAGCCUUCCCAUUCGGGCAUCACGAAGAUGAAUUUCAUAUCUCGUGAACAUACCCCUAAAACAUUUGUAGCAAUCUCACCAUUUCUUGUUCGAUAUCUUGGUUUAUCAUUUUCUGGCACACGGAAUCUAAUAUAAGUUCCAUCCAAUGCUCCCAAGCAAUUCCACAUGCACAAAACAAAUGAAAUUUAAUUAGCACUAAAUUAUCAAUCGCUAUAAUAAAAUAUAAGUAAUUGAAAAUGUACCUUAAACCACUUCCACCUCUCAUCAGUGCAAUUCUCUGGUACAGGAUCUGGCACCCUUAGUAAAACAUCGUGUAGCCGUAUUACUCUGUUUAACAUUGAAUUGAUGUAUCUACUAACAGUCUCACCAGAUCUAAAAAACGUACUGCCAAUUGUGCGAUUCUUAACAUGAUGAGACAAAGUGUGUAGGAACAUGCAAACUUGCUCUUCAACAGCCAAUGAACCAGUAGCCUUUAGUCCCAUCGAUCGAAGUAGCUCACAUAGUAGGCCAAAUGUCCUUCUAUCCAUUUUUAGUUGAUUUACACAUUGAAUGUCACUAUUGCCUAUAAUGCUAUCUAAGUAUUGUAGUCGAGUAGCAUGGAAUUGGAAUGUACGACUACGAAUCAUUUUUCUUUCGUUAUGCCUUCGGAUCAACAUCAUUAACAAAAAAUACAUCACAAUGAACAUGAACCUCAAUUUCAUUUGCCACAUGAUGAAAGAAAAUUUUCUUCCCAUGUCCAUAUCUAACACAACCAUUAAAAUGAGGGAAAAAAAAUCAGCUAGUAGACCAUUUGAUAAAUUUCCAUAAAGUUAGAUUAGAUUUCCAUAUAAAGGCUAUGUUUCAACACUUGAGCUAAAUAGAAUCACAAAGAAGAGAAUAGAGGCAAAUGAUGAUGAUAAAUAAUAAUAAUAAAAAUCAUGCCUACCACACGAUAUAAUAGAGGGUACAGGAAAUAUAUUGAAAUCCAAGGAAUUAUAUAUCAUAAGUCAUUUCUUGUUGAACAAAUAAUAAAUGGUAAGAAAUUGAACUCACUGGAAGCAAGCAGCAGCCGUUGGAAGGAAAUUCUAGUUUACGUAUUUGUUUUGCAACCUAAAUAAAAAUAACCUAUUGAAAUGAAUGAAAAAGAAGUCAAUUUUAAUGAAUAAUUAAAUCUGAAAAAAAAUUCAUAUAAAGUAUGCAACAUUUGCUAGCUACAAUAGCUAUAAAUAUGUGUGUGUAUUUAGCAACUAGCAAGUCUUUAUAAAAUUCAUGUGAGUACUUAAACUCAAACUCUUUUACUCAUACACUAAUUUUUUUCCUUUUAAUUUAUGAAUGGUCAACAAAACUUGAGAAACUUUUUUAUCCCCACACAACAUGAAUCUGUCCAGGAAAAUAUUAUCCAUUGCACCAAUAAUACUCUACAGGUGGUCAUAUAUUAUAUAAAAGAAGAUAUUGUUCAACAAUAAUGAUAUUUUGAAUUUUUUGUUUGGUCUUUAAUCAUUUGUUCAUAAAGUUACUGUCUUUUUGAAAUUUAUCUUUUGACCAAAAAGUGCAGCACAGUUAGUUAGUAAUGCAAAUUCUUGCAAACAUAAAUAAUAAUAAUAAUAAUAAUAAUAAUAAUAAUAAUAAUAAUAAUAAUAGUUAAUUAUCCAGUGUUGCUAACACUAUUAUAAAAGCUUUAGCUUCCCUGUAUGCUUUACGCCUCCAAUCAUCAUGAUAAAAGAUGAACUACCAGUUCCUUAUAAUGCUUAGACUCCACAUUUGGCUACCUAUUACUAGUUGUUAAUUAUGGGAAAAAAUUGUAGAAGAAGAAAGAGAAAAUAAAUAAAAGUGGGAAGUUAUAUUAAUAACUAAAAAGAAGGUUACGGUCGAGGCUGAACUGCCAAUUGCGACAAACAGAAACAUAACCUCACAAUAUGUAAUUUCAGUCAUCCAGUUUGUUGCCAAGCGCUAAAACAGGGCUGUAAUUUCAGUUACUCUUGUUGAAUUUUGCAACUUCCUUUCUAAUGUAACCCCUGUAAUUGAUUAUGUCUUACCUCAUUAUUAACAUGUUCUCCCAAACAAAAAAACAAAAUCCAUUUUCAUAGACAGCUAAAUAGGUUACAAGCUUUAAUAAGCUUCUAAUUGCAGAGGGUUGACUGAUUUAUGACUCGAUAUUAUAAUUCGAUUUUAAUCACUAAUUUAUUGUAUUAUUGUAUUAAUUGUCGUAUGAAUAAAUUGUGUAACAAUGAUGAUAUUGCUCAAAUUUCCAAUCAUACACUAUGAACCAGACUACUUUUUCAUAUGAACCUAACAAAAAAAUUGACAGGAAAAGCAUGAUUUGAACAAAUGGAUGACCAACUUUCUAAAAAGAAAGAAAAGGAAAAGAAUAAUAAAAACUAAAAGCAAACGGAUGAUCAGGACCACAACGUUUCCAUUUUACUGCAACAUUUCACACACACAUAUAUAAAGUAUAUGCAGAGAUGUUAUUCCUCUGUUCUCAUAUAAUCCAAACAGGGGCAAUUUUCUGCACUUGGCUAAAACCCACCGCGAGCAAUUAGCCCCUUAUUUUUCAUAAAAAUCAAUUGCUACGAAUGUUUGAUUAUAAUGGAAAAACAUGAUUAAAUUGAAAGCAAAUAAAAUAAAACCCUAAUCUAGAAAUUAAACCUAAAUUAAAAAAUUAAACCCAAAUGAAAUAUCAAACAUUAGGUGGUGAAGGACAGGGAAAACAAUUGUACUGCACAGUAGAGAUGGUGUUGCAGCGGAGGUGGUGUCACGCAGUGGGGUGCAGUGGAGGUGGUAUCACGCAGUGGGUGGGUGUCGCACGAUGAGGUUACAGUGGAGUUGGUGUCGCACGGCAAAGGUUGUUGAUGUGGUGGUGGAGCAUCGUGGAGUUGGCUCUUGCUAAGCCACUGCACAGGAGAAAUCACAGAUUGAACAAGGAGAGCUAUUUUGGUUUAUUUGAGGACAAGGUGAGAACGAGAGGGAAGUCUAAUUUUUCUGGUCUCAGAAAUAGUUGCAAAACCCGCUUAAACCCGACCCCCCCCCUCGGGUUUAGUUUAUGCGGGUUUGACCGCAUAAAAUUUGGAGUUGACCACAUUGUAAUACUAUGUGAUGUAAGUACCAAACAUGGUAUAAUAAUAUUCUAAUACAAUGAGGAGCUCUUAUACCAUAACCAAACAUGCCCUUUGCUCUCUCCCCCACGUGAACUGAUUUGCUCAUUGCUCAAGCAAAAAUAGUUCAUCACAUGAGAAAGGAAACGGCAUCAGCAGGAGUGGUAAGUUUAUGUAUUUUUAUGUUAAAUUUUUCUUUUAUUUUGAAUAUACAAAACUAAACGUAUUAUUAAAUAUUUAUCAAUCAUAUAUAUAUAUAUAUAUUAUUUGUGUAGGUACUUAUAUACCCAACUUAAGGUAGUGUGCACAAUAUUUAUCAGUCAUUUCCUUAUAAUUGGCACCAAAUAAGCUUUCACCAGAAAAUCACAAUUUGUUAGUGUAUGCUUAUAUUUUUUAAUUUCUAAAAUCUCAUAUUAUAUUUUAAUUUUUUGUGUAUUACAAUAACCACUCCGUAUGCUUUGCAACCGCAUUAUCCUUCUUAUUUGAUGACGUACGAAGGAUCUGGAAGUAAAAAUUUCCAAUAUUUGCUACAUCAACAACGUAAUGAAGACAACAAUUGAAAGUUUAUGCAUACUUUACAUUUCUAAAUUUUGCGAUUUGAGAUUUGAAUUCUUUAUAGCACUUGAUGUUAAUAGCUCCAUUUGGCCACCAUAUUCAUUAUAUAUUUACAGUGAAUUUCGACUUUUAUUUGUGCUAGAUGACAUUGUCAAUAUUACACUACUUUAACUGCCGCAAAAAACAACAAAUUAUUACCAACAAAAUUUUUUUCAAACUUAAUCCGAAAAAUUUCACCAAUCGACAAUUUUUACCAAAUAAUUACUUACAAAAUUACCAACAAUUAUCAAAAAAUAAUUACCAACAAUACAAUUACCAAAAUAAUUCCCAACAAAAUAAUCAUUCAACAAAAUAAUUACUUACAAAAUUACCAACAAUUAUCCAAAAAUAAUUAUCAAAAAGUAAUUAUCAAAAUAAUUAUCAAAAUAAUUAUCAAAAAAUAAUUAUCAACAAUACAAUUACCAAAAUAAUUCCCAACAAAAUAAUUACCAAACAAGAUUACCAACAAUUAUCAUAAAUUAAUUAUUAAAAUAAUUAUCAAAAAAUAAUUAUCAACAAUACAAUUACCAAAAUAAUUCCCAACAAAAUAAUCACUGAACAAAAUAAUUGCCAAAUAAAAUUACCAACAAUUAUAAAAAAAUAAUUACAAACCAAACGGAGAGAGUGAGAUGGAGAGAGACGAGGGAGACGAGGACCAGCAAGCAGCACCACCGAGCAGCGACCACCGACCGCCGAGAGCAGCAACCACCGAGUAGAUCUAGAGUAGUAGCGAGCGAGAGGGGAGAUGGAGACGAAGCUGCAGCUGGAGCGAGAGGGAAGACGAAGACGAAGCUGGGGAGACGGAGACGAAGCUGCUGCUGGAGUGAGAGGAAAAACGAAGCGAGAGGGGAGACGGAGACCUAGUAAAGCUGCUGCUGGAGUGAGAGGAAAAACGAAGCGAGAGGGGGAGAGGAGUGAGAGGAAACUCGGCCUCGAGUUGAGCUGAAGUAAUGGCUUGUGAUGAACUACUCCUGCUGAUGUCGUUUUCUUUCUCUUGUGAUGAACUACUUCUACUUGAGCAAUGAACAAAACAGUUCACGUGGGGGAAAAGAAUGAGCAAAAGGGAAAGUGGAGUUCACGUGGGGAGAGAGCAAAAGGAGAAGUGGAGUGGAGUUUAUGUGGGGGCCAAAGUGAAAAGAGAAAAGAAAAGUGUGGGUCAUGUGGGGAAUGGCGAGAGAGCACUCGAAACGACAGCACAAGCUACCGUUUCUCUCGGCAUUCUCUUGCCGUUCUCUACGUUUAGCAUUUCUCAUUAAUUUUUGUCUGAGGAGCUUCGCUAACUAAUUUUUAAACAGCAUUUUUUACAAGUCACAUGAGUUCGAAUCUGAAAACAUAAAAUUAAAAAAUUAAUGUGGGCUUUAUCCAUCCCUACCGUUAAAAAAAAAAUAAAAACAGGAAAAAACAAUAAAUUAUUAUGCAUAUGCUUGCAAUAUGAAUAAAUACCCCCAAGCUUGCGCCUCCCUAUGCGGAAUGAGAAUCAAAUGUUAUUUCCUAGUAUUAGAUAGGAAGAAUUCUCAUGUACAGGUUAAUGCAAAUACAUUGUGCAACUUGUUGUAAGAGAGUUAGCAAAUUUUUAUUUUCAACGAUAGUAAACAAUAUAUAUAUAUAUAUAUAUGGGAGUUGUAAUCAAAUGAAAAAAUUAAUAAGCAGAAGGACUUUUUUAACUCGUUAUGAGUGAACCAAAAAAUGUUGUACGCGAGAUGAUGAUAGGAUGUAGAUGAAGAAAAAACCAAUGACAGAAAAAUCUUUUCAUCAAUUACUGUACCUUUUUUUUUUUGCAAAUAAAUUAAUUUAUAUAUACAUAAUUAGCUCCUACAGUGUUCUCUGUAGAGAGUUUUGAUGGAGAAGAGAAGCACCUCGACAUAUAAAAAAAGAACAUUUACAUCAAAACAGCCAGGACGAGACUGGUUAUUGACUUCUGAAUUAAAUUCGUUGCAAGGAUAUUUGCAAAGGAGUGAGAAAAAGGAUACUACUUGGCAACAAAAUGUGCCAGCUAAGAAUUAUUAGCUCAAAAAGAUAUAUAUAAUCAUCAUUUAAGAAUUAUUUUAUUCCCAAUUGGGUCGCUAAAACUAAAUUAUUCAAGGAGUGGUGUGUGUAUAUAUAUAUAUAUAUAUGACUGUUUCUUAAUCCAUGUAUGAAAAUUUCAACGGCUCAGAUCUUGAUUGAUAUGUUCGCAUGUUUUUUAGCACCAUUGGAUUGUGCAUUCCAUGGACAGAACGACUAAAGGGGGAAGGGUGGCGGCUUGUACUAAUUAUUGUAUUUCUGCACGUUAUUUUUAUUUAUUUAUUUUUUGCCUUUCUUACAUCGAAGUUAGAUCCAGAAAUAAGCAGAAAUAGUAUAAAACUGCAAACGUGUGACGCAGUCUAUGGAUCAUGUCAAGGUCAAAGUGGUAAGUCCUGACUCCUGAAACUUUUGCGAGCCGUGAUACUCUAGAAUUUGUCAAUUGAAUCGUCAUAUUCGUUAAUAUCCUUAAUACUAUCUCUUUGCACAUAAUUAUCAUUUUAUUUUUCAAUAUUUUUUACUUUCAUUUUCAAAAUUCAAAUUUGUGUGCUGCUUGGGGACCGAUCAAUUUGGUAAUUAAUUAAUAAGCCAAAGAAUAUUAAAGAAAUUAAUAUCCUUGCAGUGAAAUCAAUACUACCAAAAUCAUGCACUUUUAUCUCUAUUUUAUUGUUUGCAAUUGUGAUUCCUGGCCCUUAUGGUUAAAAAUUAUCACUAGUGCCCUACUAAUAACGUUGAAAACGUGUUGAAUCUUAAUUUUACAUAUGCAAUUAACCAAUAGAAUCAUGUGAUAUAUAUGUCUUUUGUAUACAUGUCAUUAGGGGCACUGAGGAAGAAAUAUGAUUUUCAUUCGGAAGGGUACAAAAGGAAGAAGCCAUGAACUUAAGUUGGUUAUCAAAUAAAAUCAAUAAAAAUGAGGGGGCAAAUAAUAACGACUAUAAUACCACCAAAGCUAAAACUUGAAUAGAUUUUGGCAUAAAUAUUUUAACCUUAAGGCCAACUUUAAAUUUGCACAGAUCUGGUAUCUGGGUCACAUGGUUCUCCCUCUACAUGUCAUAUUGGUUGAUUAUUCGUACUUCCAGUGUACGUAAGUUUUUUGCAGUUAACAAAUAAUACCAUAUUAAUCCUUGUAAUAAACUUAACAAUUAUAUUUGUUUGAGAUGCGCCUUUAAAAAUAUGUUAUAUAAUUGCUAACAACCAUUUACUUAGAUUGGUCGACAUCUCCUCCUUAGUUCUAAAGUAGAGAGUUCGAAUCUCUUAUAUAUAUACAGUAGAACCUCUGUAGAUUAAUAGGGUUGGAAACAUAUCAAAUCUACUAAUUAAAAGAGAAAUUAAAUAAUCGAUUAAUAAACAAUUUAUUAGUUUACAUAGUUAUAAGAUUCUUUUUUUAUAAAAAGUAUUUUCUCAUUAUUUUAUCAAAAUUAUUAGUUUAUCAAAAUUAUUAGUUUAGUCCAUUGGCCUACUGAUGACCGUGAAAAUUUAUUAUAUAAUCGAGAUUAUUAAUUUAUCGAGUAUUAAUUUAUAAAGAUUUUACUUUCUCUCUCUGUGUGUAGAGAGAGAGAGAGUCCUUUUUUUAUGUGGGUGCCCUCAUUUUUUUUUUUAUGCGAACACAUUAAUAAGUCAUAUGAUUUAAUGAAGUCAAUGUAGAUAUGCUAUUAAACCAUAUGAUUUUAUAUUAAACCAUAUAUGUAUAAGAAGAAAAUUACGGUGUACACACACACACACGCACGCGCACACACACACGCGCACGCAUGCACACACACGCGCGCACGCGCACACACACACAAACACGCGCGUGCGCGCGCGUACGCACACACUUAUAUUGAAUGAAACACUGAAUAUAUGGCUUAUGGCUUACUAGCAUAUCCGUAUAAGAAGAAAAUUAGGGUGUCCACACACACACACACAAAAGGAAAAAACAGUUCUAUCAAACCCUCACAAUUUUAAAUUCAAAAUUGCUUGAAUUAUAAAUUGAACCUCAUCAUAACUUUACAAAUAAUAUUUUGUCCCUCAAAUUUGAAGAUUUUGUAGUGUGUAUUUUUUUUUUUUAAAUUUGAAUAAAUUUGAAUUUGGCUGAAAUUUGAAUAGGUCCAAACACAAAUGGAUAACACGCUUUUCUUUUUUCAAUAUCUAAAUAUAAAUGAUAUCUUUUUUUUUUAUAAAUGAAAAAUAUAUUAAAUAUAGUUAUUUGACAUAUGUAUCUUUUUAAUCCAUAAAAAAAGAUUAGGUUUAUAUUUUAGAAAAAUAAAUAUAUUUAAUAGAGAUAUUGUUGAAUAUAAUAUUUACUUCUUGUUAGGGGUGGCAAAAAUACCCGCCCGGUCCGAACCCGGGCUGCACCCGGGUGUCGUGGGCUAGGUAUUACCCGACCUAGGUAUGAAGUCGGGUCGGUCUUGGGCAUUACUUGAUAAAUCCAGAGUCCGACCCGGAACCCGGAUUUUAUUAUAUAUAUAUAUAUAUAUAUAUAUAUAUAUAUAUAUAUAUAUAUAUAUAUAUAUAUAUAUAUAUAUAUAUAUAUAAUAUUAUUUUAAAUAUUUAUAUUUAUUUGACUCAUUUAUUAUAUAUAUAAAGUUUUAAACACUUCAAGUUUAUAUUUUCAUGUCAAAUUUUAUUGAAAUAAAUUUAAAACUUAUAAAAUUACCAAAAAAUAAAAAAAUUAUACACAUAUAAUAUUAACACAUAUAAAAUCCAGGUACCCAGAUUAAAACCCGACCCGGGCAUCUAAAAAUUGCAUCUGGGCCGGGUUCGGGCAUUGCAAUACCCGAACCCAAUCCGGGGUUUUGCCAACCCUACUUCUUAUUCAAAUAAAAAUCACAAAACUUCUCUUUUUUUAUUCAAAUGUAAAUGUCUGUAAAUCAUAUAUAAGUUAAAAAUAAAUAAAUAAAUUUUAAAAAAUUUGACUUCAGACGUUUGGGUGCCGCAGCAUUCUACCAUGCUUCGUAGGAUCGUUGCUAAUAGCGUAGUUUCACAUCCAUGAUAUCAUUGAUAAGGCCCGGCUCCCAUAUUUCCACGUCAUCGUCGAUGUCGACGUCACCGUUGAUCAUCUCGAUCACCGUCGACAUGCGAGGUCGGAGGCUAGAUUUUUCUUGUACACAGAGUAGGCCAACCUUCAGGAAUCGAACGGCUUCAUUUCCUGAGAAGUUACCGCAUAGCAUUGGAUCCACUAAAUGUUGAAGCUUGUCUGUGUUGUGCAUUUCCCAAGCCUGCUUGAUUGCACGAAAUAUUUAAAUCUCCAAUUUUCUCUGUUGUCUUAUACACUUUAUUUGCUGAAAAUUUUUAGAUGCAAUUUACAAAAUUGAUAUCGGAGCAACGCAUUAAUAGUUUUCAUUAUUUUUUUACUACUAAACACCGGUGUAUUGAUGCUCCAAUUCACAUUUUGUAAAGUAUGGAUGUCCCCACACUUUAUGAUAUCAAAUAUGGUACCAUUUUUGGAAAGAAAGAAUCAUCUGCAAAACGGAUUAUGAAUAGAUACACACACAUAUAUAUAUAUAUAUAUAUAAACACAUAUUACCUUCUCCACUAGAUAAUGCUCUCCAAGCUCUUUGUCAAAAUGAACUGCUGCUUGCCCGGUGACUAUUUGAAGAAGUAGCACUCCAAAACUAUAGAUAUCUGAUUUUGGAUUUAAAUGACCACUAACAGCAUAGUCUGGAGCGAGAUAGCCUCUAAUUUAAUUUGUACAAAAUUAAGUGAGCAUAAAUAAUUUCAACAACCUUAUACAAUAAACAGAGAAGAUUAAUUUGUGAAUUUGAAUUUAAUGUUAAGCUAUCAGCAUUGUGUUGAGUUUUUACAACAUUGUGAUUGAUAAUUAUUAGAUAAAAAAUGAUUUUCAAAAAUCAAAUAUUAAUUGUUCACUACUGUAAAUGCACACGUGACUAAUGAUUAUAAAAAGAUUCAGCAGAGACCAGCUCAAUAUUGAAUCUAAAUUUAUAAUAUGUAUGUUGUUGCACUUACAAUGUGCCAGCGACCCGUGUGCUAAUAUGAGUAAUGUCCUCUGGGAAUAACUUGGAGAGGCCAAAAUCUGAGAUUUUAGGAUUAAAAUUUUGAUCCAAAAGAAUAUUACUAGGUUUAAUAUCUCGAUGCACAAUACUUGGCUUAAUUUCCUCAUGAAUAUAAGCAAGCCCCCGAGCAAUUCCUAGUGCAAUUUCCCGCCUUGCUGUCCAGCUAAAUUUAGCUCUAUUUUUCUCCUCACCUGCCAUUAAUUCAAGAUUAAUUAAAAAAAAUAUUAAUUAAUUCAAGAAACCACGUUGCAUUAAUUAAGAAAACAGAACAUUACGGACAUGUAUAUACACUACUAUAUUGAAUGGGUCAACAUCGAGUGUGUUUUAUGUUACUGAUUUAACGUCAAGAUGCCAUAGGAUUAAUACAGGAUAUUAAAAACUUAUCAGGAUUAAAAUGGGUAAAAUAAUUUUUAACAGGGGCCAAAAUAUCAUUCCUUACAAGAAAAAAGUGCUUUUAUACUAAUCAAAUUACAAAAUAACAUUUUCAAACAAAUCCGUAAUAUCAAAGAUGGGGAGACAUAUAUACAAAUACCAAGCAAUGUUUGAGAGAGACUGUUGUUUUGCAUGUAAUCAUAGACAAUGAUUCUGCAAGGCCCUUCAAUGCAACCACCAUGAAGCUUUACAAGAUUUUCGUGACAAAUAUUUGCCAUUGAAGCUACUUCUGACAUGAAUUCUUUCUCUCCUUGAUUGGAUUCCACUGAAAGCACUUUCACGGCUACAACAGUUCCAUCUUGAAGCUUUCCCUUUAAGGUCCAACCAAGAAAUAAAUUAAUUUUUAUGCACAUAUGUUAAAAUUAAUUCGAUUAAUAAAAAAAAAUUACAGAAAAUAUACCUUAUAAACGGAGCCAAAUCCACCUUCGCCGACUUUAUUGGAUGAACAGAAGCCAUUAGUGGCACUUUUCAGUUCAUAGUAGGAGAAUGCAUUAAUAUUUUUCAAAAUUUUUGCACCUGAUUUCGUGAAAAAGUUAGCUACAUGAAGCGUACUUAAGACGAAUAAUUAACUUAUAUGUUAGGAACAAUGAUGUGAUCAUACUGACCAAUUACCACUGAUCACAUUGCUUGAUAAGUUGACAAUAACAACAUGUAAAGUCAAUUUAUAAGAGACAUUUAAGGAAAAAUUAAAAGGGUAAGUGCUCCUUUAGACUUUAAAGUUCGAGCUAAUUUCAUAUAUAGUUAGUUCUUAAAUUUAUAAAAAUUAAUUAAAACACCUUGUUGUAUAUUGUUCUCAUUAAAAUUUAUUUAUUUUUAUUUAAUUAUUCUCUACUUUUACUUAUAACAUAUCAGUUCAAUUUCACUAUUAAUUUAUAUUGGAUGGAAAUGAAGUUCAAUUUAUUUGACUAAUUUUUGAAAAUACAAAAACCAACAACCUAAUUGACCAAAUCCUAAGAUUGAAGAGGCAUUUAUCCUAACAAAAUUGACGAUAAGUAAUUUUAAAUAUAUUGACUACGCAAACUCUGAAAAAAAGUUGGUCAAAAUGAUAACAAAAUACAGAAGUUCACAUGAGAGAAAGACUCUUAACUCUAUGAAUGAACCAUAUGUAUGUAUGUAUGUAUGAGAUGAUCACAUGAGGAUGAAUACUAGAAAAAUGUUUUAGAUAUGUGCUUUUUGGAAAUACAAUAAUUUGUAUUUGUAUAUUACCUCCUACAGUGUCCUCUGCAGAGAAAUUUGAUGGCCAAGCAAAGCACCUUGACAAAGGAAAAAAGAACUUCAUCUCAUCAAAUUAUCUAUGUAAUUUACUUCUGAUCAAUGCAUGAAUACUAACGAAAGAAAAGAAAGAGAUUUCACAUUGAAAUGUAUGUGCCAGUGACUUUUAGCUGAAAACGUUUAUAAUGUAUAUAUAGCAAUCAUUAAAGAAUUUUUUUAUUGCCACUUGGGUAAUCAAUGAAGUAAUCAAUUAGCAAAUCUUUAAAUUAAACCGUGAUUCAAGUAAGGAGCGUUGGUACGUGUACGACUCUUUAAUUAUCCAUUAAAUUUUUGAUGGCCCAGAACUUUAAUUGAUAUUUUCGCAUGUUUUCAGCACCGUUGGAUUGCACAUUCCAUUGACUUGGUGGAGAGAGGACGAACCGGAGAAGGGCGGCGGUUAGUAUUAAUUAUUGUUUGUGCAUCAUGUAUGAUUGCUUUUGUUUAAUAUUUUUGACUCUUUGAUAAGCAAAAUUAUCAUAUUUAAAUUACUGAGUGUUUUGCAGUCUAUGGACUUCAGAAUCAUUAUAAUUACAAUCUAGGUCAAUGUGAGUUGUGAAAUUUUGAGGAUUUAGCCAGCCAUGAUGAUCUAGACGAUUUGUUGAAUUGGUAUUAGAACAAGAAGGAUGCCGCGAAAUUGUUAAUCGAGAUGAAUAAGCAAAAUUUAUAACCUUAUUAAUUAAAUUGAAGUCAAUACCGUAUCAUGCUCUUUUAUCCCUCAUUUCAUUGUUUGCCACUUGCCACAUGCUACCCUUACAGUCUAUUUAAUAUAUAUGGUUUUAAAAAAGAAAAAAGAGAGAGAGAUAGGAUUAUAACUUAUACUCAAAAAUUAGUUUAAGAGUUGAGAAUCACUUCAAGUCCGUAUUAUAUUAUCAGCUAAUGUGAUAUAUUUUCAUCCGCAAAGGUGCUAAUCAGAACUGAACAUUGCUUGUUAAACCCAAUGAUUUUGUUAUAGAACGUUAAGAAGAAGUGACGGAAACUGGGUUUGAAACUGUAGUCGGUUUUUUUUUUUACUUUAAAAAUUUGGAAGUUUUUUGUACUGCAUGAUCAAUUGGAUAAUAAAUUAAUAAGCCAAAGAGUAUGGCAGCGGCUCUUAAAAUAACUUAAAAGUAAUUAUUCAAUACAACAUAAUGGUAACAUGCAAAAUAAGUGAGAGAUUAUAGAUAAUUAUAUUUGGAUUUGUUAGUAGUUACUUAUACUGUAACUUAGCAAGAACCAGAUGUGGUGAAGUCAAUACCAUGUAUCAUGCUCUUUGAUCUUCUAUCAAUUUCAUUGUCUACCGCAGAACAUACCUUGCAUAAUCCUUAUCUUUCUAAUAUCAUUGUUAUAGUUUCUUGCUUUCCAUAAUUCGAAUUACUUUCAUCUAAAUUCUCGGUGAAAUUGAGGAUUUACUGACUAGAUACGACAACACAUUAAUUUUCAAAUCUAACUUUAAUCAUGUCAUUCAUAAUUUUCAUUUUAAGAAACGAGAGGGUGUAUUUUAAGUUCAGUCAUAAUUUUUUGACCAAGGAAUGAAUAGUGUCUUGUAGGUAAACUGACCUCGUUUUAUACUAAAUGCAGUGUUCUUUUGUUUUUUUCCCCCCCAAAAGAACUUCGUCCAUUUGACGACUUUAAGAAAUAAAAUCAACAUUUUCAAUUACGUUGAUUUUUUUACUAGACUACGAUGAUUUAAUAACGAAUCUGACUUAAUAAUCAAUAGAGAUAAAUUAAUCUUACUGCAACCCCCUUGAAAUUGCAAGUCCACUCUCUCUCCGAAAAUAAUAUCAUCCAAAUAAGUCCUUCUAAGACCUAGAUGAAGAAUUUUGGCUAUCAAAAUUUUCACGCAUCACUAUCGGAUUCAACACAACUUUUAACAAUUCUCAUUGGGAUUUGAAACACUGAUUGGGCAGUUGGGCCUAGACAUAAUUUAAAUAACGCAAGCUUUUCAAACGCAGUAGAUCUAUUAGCACCCCUCCAUAUUCCUGAGAAAGCCUCCUUUGUUUUUAGUUAUGGUCAUGACCCUGCUACUCAAUUACAACCCUGGACGACUUUUUUUUUUUUCCUUUUAUCAUUGCUUUUUUAUUUGAUUUGGAAAUUUCUGAAAAAAAAAAAAGGAAAUUCCAUUGAAGUCGUGGAGUAUAAACAAAAUUCCAGCUUUGAAGAAGCCACCACUGUGAAAAUCGAAGGCCAAAAUUCUAACUUUAGUAGAGUAAAAGUUAAGAACGAAAAAUUUUAAUUCUAUAGAAGAAAGAGAUUUUAUGGUAAAUGCAAAGUUUACUAAUGAUGAGAUAGAGAGCAUUCCAAAUUAAAAGAACAAUGAGUUAUAAUUGCAUUCGUGUUUUUAGAAUACUAAUAAAAAAGUGAGAAUCACCAAUAGUUACUUGUGAAUUUGUAGAAUAAGUAUUUCUUUUGUAGAUAUAGUGAGAAAUACAAAUAAAGUAGGGUUGGCAAAAAAGCCCGGGCUUAGGCCCGGCCCUCACCCAUGAGGGCCUGGACAAGGGCCCAAGAAAAAAAGUCCGGACAAAGCCCAAGCCCACUACUUUUUAAAAAAAAUUAUAAAUUAGAAUAAUAUAAUUAAAAUUGAAAAGUACUUUAAAAAUAAAAAAGAAAACUUAAAUUCUUAACUUAUAAAUCAAUUAUGAUUCAAAAAAACUAAAAUUAUGAUACUAAAUUCUCUCUUUUGUGUCAAUUAAUUAAGAGAGCGUUUGAAUUAGAAAAUCCGGUAUUAAAGAAAAUUAAAGUUAUGAGUUUUUAUUUGCUUUAUUUAUUAUUUUAAUUUAAAAUAUUGAUUUUCUUUAAUUUAUCUAUUAUUAUAAUAACUUGUUGAUCAUUAAUUUAUUUCAAAUUUAUAAUAAUUUAAAUUUUUAAAUAAAUAACUAAAGCCCAAGCCCGGCCCAGGCCUGCAAUGUGCCCGGCCAGGCCAGGCCCAGGCCCAUACACUUAACUAACAGAGGGCCUGGACAUGGGCUUGAAAAAGCCCGGCCCAGGCCCGCUGUUUGCCAUCCCUAAAAUAAAGAGAGAUUAUCAGUUUCCUCUACUAAAAUUAAUAUUUAAAGAAUCUCCAAAAGACUCUAUUAAAUUUACUUUUCAAAUAUUUAUUUGCUUAUUUAUGUGGUAAAAAUGAGAGUAAAAAAAAAUAUUAUUAUCCAAAAGACUCUUCAAAUAGGAAUAAAUUAAUAUUAUUUUAAUCAAAUAAAUAUUUUUUCAAAGAAAAAUAAAUGUUAAUUAAAACACUUCUCUCUCUCUCUCCAAUAAAAAAUAAUAAAAUAUAAAUUGAAUUGAAAAGGGAUAAAGCAACUCUACAAAAUUAAAAAGAAGUAAUCAUUUUUUAUUUGAAAAAUCUUAAUCAUAGUGUUUUUUAGAGUUUCAAAUGCUGAUGUGACUAUUCAAAUAAGUAUUAAAAUCUUAUUUGAAGAGGUUUUUAAGAUGCUCUUCUUACUAGUUUUUUCAUACUAAAAUCAAUACAUACUACUUACCUCAUUAUUGUUUUCAUAAUAGCCAUAAACUCAUUGCCAUCAUAAUUUUAUAAUGUUGUCCUUAUUUUCAAAUACGCUAUUUAUUUAUAUUUAUUAUUAAUUAAAUAAAUCAUAUAAACAAAAAUUAAAUCUAUUUAUCUCUAUUUUUCUUUAAAUUUUUUAUGUUAUGAGAGUUAUUAGUCAUUAUGAAAACAGUAAGAAGGGUAAGUGAUAUAUAUUAAUCUUAGUAAAGGGAAACUAACAAUCUCUUUUUUUUUAAUAAUUUUAUUGGAAUGCAUUUGUUAUAAAAUUAACCGUUAGUAAAAACCAUCACCUAAAUUGUAGGAACAUUCAUGUUGAGUUAUCAAAAAUCAAUAAUAAAAUAUGUAGAAGCGUUCCUAAAUCAACAAUGCUUAAUUACUCUCUAGAACUGUAUGGUUUAUCUUCCAGAUCAAUAUAUUAUCCUAGAAAAUCCUUUAAGUUUCUCUAGGCACUCUAUUUGAUGACAAGAUGUCAAAAAAGAAUAGAAUAUUACGUGUGAUAUGGGAACCAAAAUCACUUAUACAAAUAACUUUCCCACUAUCUUUAUGUACUUCUAUUUUAGCCGAUCAUUGAAAUAAAAAUUACUCUUAAGUCUCUACUUAUUAAAGACUCAUACCUUAUCAAAUACAUUAAAGUACAAAUUAUCGAAAACCUUAAUAGUUCAAUUUUACUUGAGAUUAACCUUAUAAGACAAUAGGCAACAUAUAAUUAUUCAUAUAUAAACCUAAUGUUAGAUUAGAAAUCCAACAACAUUUUUGAAAAAAAUGGUUUUAUAAUGAUUGUGAAGGGUGCUAAUAGCCACUCUUUAAAUUAAGGAGGAUCAUCAAAUCACUCCUCUAAUUAACAAAAGUAACAAUUAGGCUCAUAAGUUAAUUUCCCAUUUGUCUCAAAUAUUUGUCAAUAAAUUUGCAUAAUAACUGUAAGAACAAAAUAAACCCUUAGAACUUACUAUUGUAACAAAACAAUUUAAUCUAAUAAAAAAUUUAAAUAAAAUACUGAAAAAGAUUUGAUAAAUUGAUGGUAUUGUCUUUAGACAUUUCAUUAUUUUGCUAAUGGUAUUGGAUGGGUACGAAAAAUUUAAAACAAGCAAUGAACUUGUAUACCUUUUUUUUUUUAAUAGGAAUUAAAACCUUCAUUCAUUUAGAGAUCAAAGAAGAUACAAAAUGUUCUCUGGGAAUGUUCCCAUCCAAACUGCAGGUUCGUCAUAAUCAAAGGCUGAUUUAGCUAAAAGGUGGGCAUGGGCAUUACAAGUCCUUGGGAUAUACUGAAUUCUAAUUUUACCCAACUCUUUAGCCAGAUCUUGGACCUCCGAUAUCACCCAGAAAACCUCAGUUCUACUGCCUGCCUUUCUGUUGAGAAGGUUUGAAACGGUUUGAGAGUCAAUUUCCACUAUAAUUGAAGACACCCCCAAAGUUUUCGCUGUCUACAACCUCCAUUCUACAGCCUCAGCCUCUGCAAAAGUUACAUCCCCAUGAAACUUUGAUGUCUUUACUGCAGCUGCUAUAAACUUUCCAGUUGAGUCUCUAGCAACAACUCCCAAACCUACUGAUUUCUUCUCCCUAUUUAUGGCUGCGUCCACAUUGAUCUUAAGCCAUCCUUGAAGAGGUGGAAUCCACUGCUGUUGUUGCUUCUAAACUAAGCUCAUGUGCAGGUGUGAUUCACUUGGAGAUUUGAUUCUUUUAUUGGAUUCUAUAACAGCCUCAACUUUUGCUAAAGAGAUCAGAGGAUCUACUUUCUUCCUUUCAAAAAGGAAAUUGUUUCUUGCAUGCCAGAUUGCCCAAAACACAACCACCAACAAUUCGAAUUCUGCAUGAUUCAAACAUUUCUGUCAUCUUUUGCAGCACAUCUACCAUGCUUUGUUCUGUAAGAGAAUAGACUUUAUCUAUAAAAUGGACCAUUCUCCAUAUCUUUCGAGCUGAAUUACAGUCCACUAAAGCACGAGAAAUGCUUUCCAUCUCCCUUUUACAGAGUUGGCAGAUAGGUUCUGGUAUCACUUUUCUCCUCCAUAGGAUUUCAGCUAAUAGUAACAAGUUUUGGACAUCUCUCCACAUAAAUAUUUUAAUUUUUUCAGGCAGGGUACUAGCCUAAAUAUUUUUCCAAAUUCCUGGCUUAUUUGCAAAGCAGCUGGGAAGUUCUUGAAACUUUAUCCUCUGAGCAAUCUUAUAUCCACUUUUGACUGAAUAAUUGCCUUUCUUAUCAUAAUACCAGAAUAUCUGAUUGAUCUUUAGUCUUUGUGGGAAAAGAAUGCUGACUAUUUGAUCUGCACAUUCCUUUCGAAAAUAAUGGUACACUUUAGUCAAAUUUCAGCUUUGAUUAUUAUUAAUCAGUUCAGAAACCACAACAUCAUAUGGAAGGGUUGGAAUAGAAAUUGGUCUGAACGUUGUUGGUCUUGGGAUCCAAUUGCAACUGUAAAUCUGCACCUUAUUUCCUGAACCGAUCCUCUAUCUAUAUCACUUCUGGAUUACAAGUCUCCCCCAUAGAAUACUUUUCCAGAUGUAAGAAGGAUUGGACCCCAGUUUUGCCUGCAAGAAAUCAGAAUUUCUAAAAUAUCUUGCUUGCAAAACUCGAGCCAUUAAAGAAUCUGGAAACUAAAGAAUCCUUCACCCUUGCUUAGCUACCAAUGCAUGAUUAAAACACGAGAAUUCUUUAAAACUCAUUCCUCAUCUGCAUUUUGCUUUGCUGAGCCUCUCCCACCUUACCCAAUGAAUGCCUUUUCCGAUCAUUCUUGGAUCCCUACCAAAGUUUAGGUAUAACUUUCUAGAUAUCAUCAUAAAGUCCUUGAGGAAUUUUGAAUACACUCAUGGCAUAAGUUGGAACCGCUUGGGCUAUGGCUUUUAUAAGGAUCUCCUUGUCACCUUUGGAGAAAUGCUUGUGCUGCCAACUUGAAACUUUGCUUAUCACCCUAAGCUUUAUGUCGUUGAAGAAGUUCAUUUUGUUUCUUCCGAUCAUGGAUGGUAGCCCAAGGUACUUCUCAUGUCUGGACACAACAUUCAGGUAAAAAAUUUCUUUAAUCGCAGCCACUCGGUCAGCCUUGGUAUUACCACUAAAAAACAUUAAAGAUUUGUCUAGGUUGAAUAACUGGCCAGAAGCAGUAGUGUAGCGAUCAAAGAUUGUUUUAAGAUGCUUGCAGUCAGCAACUGUUGCCUUUGUGAAGAUCAAGUUGUCGUCUGCGAACAACAGAUGGGAUACUAAGAUAUUGUUUCCAAACCUCAAUCCAUGUAUGAGGUUUUGAUUUUCAACCUACAUUAAUAAUCUGUAAAACACCUCAGCACACAAAAUAAAGAGAUAAGGGGACAAUGGGCAUCCUUGUCUAAGCCCUCGUUGCGGUUUUAUCUACCCUUUAGCAGCCUUAUUAAUAAGAACAGAGAAAGACGUGGUGGUGAUACAUCUCAUUAUUAGAUCAACCCAGCAUAAAACCAAGCCUAAUAUGAGCAUUGUAGCUUUUACAAAGGACCAUUCUACUCGAUCAUAAGCUUUACUUAUAUCUAAUUUUAGUGCCACAAAUCCAUUUUUCUUUCCCUUGCUAUGCCUAAUUUUGUAAAGACACUCAUAUCCAACGAUCACAUUAUCUGUUAUAAGCCUAUUGGGGAUAAAUACACUUUGGGAGGGGGAUAUAAUUUAGUGAAGAAUUUCCUUAAGUCUAUUUGCAAUGGUUUUUGCCACAAUUCUAUAAAUUACAUUACAAAGACUUAUAGAUUUGUACUCAGCCACUUUCUUUGGUUUCUCCACCUUAGGAAUAAGAGCAAUAUAUGUGUGAUUUAGUGAAUCAAUGUUACCUUGCUCGUUGAGAAUGUGGAGGCAUGUGUUGAUAACUCCUUCACGGACCAACUUCCAGUGCUUUUGAAAAAAGACUGCCGGCAGUCCAUCUGAGCUAGGGGCUUUGGUGGGACACAUCUGUGAUAAUGCUGUUGUUAUAUCCUCUUUAGUGAAAGGUUGUUAAAGUUUUUCAUUCAUCUCACCCAUGACCUUUGGAACCAGAUCAGCUAAUGCAACCUCAAUUUGAGCUUGCGAGGGAUUCGACGACUUAAAGAGCUUGUUAAAAAAACCACAAAAUUCCUUAUCUACUUAUCUUUCCUCCUUAGUCUAGUUGCCUCGUUCAGUUUCAAUUCCUUUAAUUUUUUUUUCCUUCUUCUUGAUGAUGCUUUUAAGUGGAAAAACUUAGUGUUUUUAUCUCCCUUCUUCAGUCAAUCCGCUCUCGAACUCUAUUUCCAAUAUAUCUCCUCAUCAUCCAAAAUUUUAUCAAUUUGCUUCUCAAUUUUUCUUAUCUCAGCUCCAUCUACAUAGGAUAUAAUACUCUGUCUAGCCCUUUGUAGCUCAUUUGUUAAUGACUUUAGCUGUUUUGUUCUCUCACCAAACUCUUCCCUGCUCCAAAUCUUCAGCUGAGCCAUUGUCAUCUUAGCUGAUUUUUUAAACAAUUGUACCGGGUUCACAUCAGUCCACACCCCUUGCAUACUCCACUCAUGCUUGAUUAUUUUCUUAUAGGCAUCAUACGAGCUCCACAUAUCCUCAUAGUGAAUUCUUUGCACGCUCUUUCUUCUACUGUUUACUUCAACACCCCUCUCCUCAACUUCCAUUAUCACUGGGCUAUGGUCUGAGCUCCGGGACUCUAAAUUAAUAGCUGCCAAAUCAUGGAAUCGGUUGCCCCACUCAGAGUUGCACAAAAACCUAUAUAAUCUCUCCUCUAUGAAGUUUGGCCCAUAUUUUCGGUUUGACCUUGUAAAAAUUCUUCCUUUGCACCCCAUGUCAGUUAAAACACAUUCUUGGAUUGCAUUUCUAAAUUCAAACAUCAUAUUUACAUCCCUAUUAUUCCCUCAUUUCUUCUCAUGCAAGUGCAAUAUUUCAUUAAAAUCACUGAAGCAUAGCCACGGUAAGGGAGAUAAGUUUGCUAACCGUUUCAUUAAUGUCCAUGUGUGCCUCUUUUGAGUUGUUUCUGGAUGCAUGUAUACCCUUGUGCAUCUCUAAUUUUUCCCUCCUUCAUUACAAAUCUCGGCAUCUAUAUGAUGUUGACUGUAAGAGGCUAUAUUUACAGCUAUAUCAGAACUCCAGAGCAUUGUUAAUCCCCCUCUUAACCGAUUCCUACCAACUGUAAAGCAAUUCUCAAAUUUCAGCUCAACACGAACAUCCAUUUGCAUAGGCCGCAUCUUAGUCUCACAUAAGAAAACAAUUUGUGGCUUAUAUGUUUGGAGAAUAUAUUUGAGUGACGUCUGGAUAUUCCCCAAACCCCAGACGUUCCAGCUGAGGAUUUUCAUGGCUGUCGGCGGGCUGACUACCAGCCUCCGCCGUUAAUUCAUUGAUAGUUGUCUCAGUCACCUCCAUUUAUUCCAUGUCUUGUGUUUCUAGACUGGAGCUAAGCUCUGUUAUGGAGCAAUUUUCAUUAUGCGUUGCUUCCAUCCUCAUCUAGUUGUCUAUUUUUUAUUUUUUAACUUUUGGACUUAACUUUCCCGCUUUUUGCAUGGGCAUUUUCUUGGCAAUUUAACCCAUUUUAUUUUCAUCUUUAGUGCAAUUAUCUAUUGUCAAAUGCUUCCAUCUCCUUGUUUUAGGCCUCUCCAUAAUUGUUCUCGUUUCCUCUUUUACCAAUUCCUUCAUUGAAGUUGCUUGGGCUUUGUUUACUAAGCCCAUUGAUCCCAACUUUUGGAUGUCUUCUGCAUUUCCACCUUCCCGCCAGUUUCCUCCCGCUUCUUUGUCCACAUUUCCCAACAUCUCUUUCUUUCCAGCUGUUGUGAUUUGAUCUUUACACCCAAGUGGCUGCUGCAUCGAUUUCUUCCCUUUUAAUGUUAAUUGUUUAUCCAAUUCCACUGCCACGUGGCUUUUGCUUAUUGGUACUGUCGACUCGCCCGUUUCAAUCUGGAUUGCUUCUGACCCGGUUUCUGUAGUUGAGAUGGGUUGCCUCUGUCUUUGGUUAUGGUUCCUCAGAUCAUCUUGUUGCCCAUUCUCAUUCAUCCUUGUAUUAUUGCUUUUGUUCCACCUAUAUUAGACUUGUUAUGGUUGAGACGUUCGAAUACUAUUACAGCCUUUAUCCAUGGACCAAAAGUAAAGUUUUCUUGUUUAUGAGUUUUGUACUUGACACAUUCUCUGAACUGAUGGCCGAUGAUUCCACAACAAAAGCAAGAGUCUGGUAAUCUCUCAUAUAUAACUCGCAUUGGGACUUUUUCUUCCCCCUCUGAUUCGAGAAAGAUAAUAUUCUUUAACGGUUUUGUAUCAUCCACUCUAAUUCAGACUCUAGCAAUCUCCCCAAUAUAUUCCCCAUCUUCGUUUGUCUCUACUUUCUCUACACUACCAAUAAUAAUUCCCAGUCUUGAAAUUGCUUCUAUAUUCAUGGCCAUAAUUGGUAUGUUAAGAAUCUGGACCCAAAAGGAAACGUGGGUGAAUGCUUGCUUUGUAAUGUUUGCUAUUCCUUCUGGCUCUGUAAGGACUAUCAAAGCUUUAUUAAAAUAAUAGGGCUUGCCGGCUAGCACUAUUCUUUUAUCAACUUCUAAAGUAAAUUUGAACAUGAACACAUUUUCUCCCAAACUCUCAACUCUCACCCCUAGUACUGUUCUCCACACUUGGUGAAUCACUGAUCUGAGCCCUUCAAUAUUGACUCCCCUUGUGGUUAGAAAUUUUCCAACUAAACAUCCUGCAAUAAUUUCUGCACCUUUUAUCUUCAUCUUGUUGACAAAAGACACUUUGUCUUCUUCUUCUCCUUCUAAAGAAAUGGCAAUACAUAGUGGUUCCCCAAGGAAUAAAUUCUCUCACCAACCCCUUUAGUGUUUUCUUAACUUUUUACACCCUCUGCUUAGCUUGAACUAAUCAACAAGAAACUUUAUAGAGAGCCUUUUACUUCUGACUUUCCAGAACACUAAAGAAACAUCCACUCACUCAGCUAGGGGUGACAGGAUUGAGUCACUCGGACCCCAUUACCCUUUCAUUCAAAGUUCUCUUUCUAGAGAAAGAGACUAUUGAAGAAAGACUAGUCAACGGUGUCUUUACAAACGUGUCAUUAUAGCUUGUAUACCUAUUUGUUACCUUCGUAAAUCAUGCGGUUGAAUUUUAUAUUUACUCCUUAAUGAUGUCCUUGAAUUAUGCUUAACGUAAAAAAUAGAGAAGCUAUUCAUUAUCAAUUAUCACUUGUCUCAUUCAUUACCUUUAUCAUCAUUUUUUCUGUUAAUUAUUAAAUAGGUAGUACAAUGCAAAUAAUGAUAAAUAUAGCACAAUAAUUUGGGUGGAACCUAAACCCAGUUCAAAUUCAUCAACAUGUUGUCAAUGCCUAAACAUCUGAAACCAAAUAAACAACAUAUGACUAAACUUUCACAUCUACAGAGAGACUUAAAUUUGUUGAUCUCAAUGAAGAGACUGUCAAUUGACCAACUAAAUCGAUUAAGAAAUUGUUAGCAUUAAUCAUCAUUUUAUUUUUAUUGGAUUUUCAAUAAUGUGUAGUUAUUAUGAAUUGGAAUUUUGAUGUCAGUCACAUGAACAAUUAGUAAAAUAGUUAUUAAAUUUUAAAUUAGUUAAAAAAACAAUAAAGGGCACACGCACACGCACACACACACGUGUAAAAGUAGUGGUUGAGCAUGACCAUAUGCAAGACAAAGAUCACACCAUGUGGAAGGAAUGUUUGCAUGCUAGAAAAACAUUGGCAGAAGUAUAUAACGUGGAGCCCAUAUAUAAUACUCAUAGUCAUUACCUACAAACUAUAUGACUCUUCAGAAGAUGAACCAUUAUUUAUGCAUAAGGAUGUACUGUGUGAUGUAACAUAAAGUAGUAGUGAGUUAUAAAGUAAUAUUCUUUAAGUGAUAAGAUGUAAUGAUGUAUUGUGUAUUUGGCCAGAUCACAUUACCAAAUCUUUAUAUAUAUAUAAGAUUUUAUCUCAAAAGAUAUGACAUAUAAUUUAUUUUUUUUAAAUAUCUGGUGUAAGAUUAUUACAUUAAUUAUAGAAAAUAAAGAUAGCACAUGAGACAUGGCAAGUUUUAAUUAUGGUGAUGUAUGCAAUCUUGUUAGUUUUAAUUAUGUUCGAAUUUUAUGAGACUUAUUAUAUUAUAAUAAGAACAUUUAUCUCUUAUUAAUAAGAACAAAUUUUCAGAGAUUGAUCCAAAAUUUAGAUUCUCUCGCUGCUAAAGUCCUAAAGGCGAAGUAUUUUAAAAAUGAUGAUUUCCUGAGUGCUUCAAUGGGCUCAAAUUCAUCUUAUGUAUGAAGAAGUAUAUUGUGGGGACGACAAGUGAUUCUCAAGGGCUAUAGAUGGAGAAUUGGCCCGGGGGGGUGGGGGUGGGGAAUAUUUCAGUGUAUAUAGGAAAUUGGAUUCCAAGACCAUCCAACUUCACAGUCUAAAAAUGGCUCUUGAUGCUACUGUAUCAGUGUUGAUAGAUAAUGACAACAAGUGGAAGAUUAAUUUGAUUCAAUUCUAAAUACUUUUAUUAGAAAUAUCGAUUAAGUAUCUCUAUUUAUUUCAUUUAUCUCAUUGUUGAUAUAAAAGUAAUUUUUUAUUAUUAUAGGAUUAUGAAGAAUGACAAAGAUAAUUAUUAUGGUGAUUUGUACUUUGUAAUGUGACUUUUGUAAUGGAUUAAUGUUAAUGUAAGAUAUAUUGUAAAAAAAAAAUUUAUUUUUUACUUUAAUAUGAUUAAAUUAAAAUAAAAAACUAAAAACGUAUCAAUUAUUCGGGGAUCAGGUAUUCUUGUGGAUCCCCUAUUAUUAUUCGGGGAGGGGACGAGGAUUCCCUAAAGCAAUUUUGUCAGAAAUAAGGAGGAGAUGAAGAUAUAUGCAGAAUAUUAGGGAUGGGUACGGGCAGGUCGGUCUCCUCCCUUCCCCUUCCCCUUCCCAUUGCCAUCUCUAAUUCUAAAUGAAGAUGCAAAUGCAAUUUUAAGUAUUCCACUAUUGUGAAAGGGACUCACACAAGCAGUUGCAAAUUAAGUAGAAACAAAACUUUUUCCUUCUUUGUGUAAUUAAAAUCGGAUGUUUACCACAAAUAAAUAGGUAGAAAAAUAAACUAAAACAAUCCAAAACAAAAAUCAACCAUAAAAGAUACAGAUUUUACGUGGAAAACACAAAGUGAGAAAAAUCACGAGACUAUAGUUCAAUAUAAUCUUCCAUUAGAUUAAUGAGAUUACAAUACAAAUUCUUAUCUAGAUAAUACUAAAGGUUAACAAUAUAAAAAGUCUCAAUAUUCUUGACUUACAAUAACAGUCUAAUAUAUGUUUCUCUUAUAAAUGAAUAUAUCAAAUAAUAGCUAACAAAAUAAUAAAAUAAAAAUUUAGACAAGUAGAAUUAUAGAAGAUGAUGUUAGAAAUUUAUUCUCAAAAUUUAAAAAAAAAUUAAAAUUAAAAUUACCUUUCGAUCGUUUAAAAUCACUGUUUUUAAAACAAAAGCCGUGUUCUUUCACUCUCCCUCGCCUUUUUCGAUUACGUAAUUAGGGCUGCCGCAUGCUUUUGUUCUUUAUAUAGCCAACGUCCUUUUCAAAGUCAAAUUUUAUGGUAAUUUUCACAUAACUCUAACUUAUUUUUUUAAUUGUUUAAAUAUCCAAAUUAAUGAAACCUGGACUUUAACCAUCCAAAUGAAAUGGAUUCUGACACUAUCACAAAAAAGGGAAGUACUAAGUUAAGAAUGGAUACCAAGUGGUAGGGGUGGGCAUUUUACCCGAUCCGACCCGACCCGACCCGAUAAAUUUCGGGUUCGGGUCGGAUCGGGUCGGGAUCGAAACCCGAUCGAUUUGAAAUUUACAAACUCGAUCGGGUUGUGAUCGGUUCGGGUCAAAUUCGACCCGAAUACCCGAUCGGGUUCUUAAAAAAAAAAAAAAACAUACUGACCCGAAUUGACCUGAUUUCAACCGACCCGAACUGACCCGAACUAACCCAAAUUGACCCGAACUCAAUCCUACCCAUUUUAAAUCCAACCCGAUCCAACCCGAACAUAACCCGAAUUAAUGACCCGACCCGAACUAUGUUCGGGUCGAUUCGGAUCGGGUCAUUAAUUCGGGUUAUGUUCGGAUUGUUCCUUGUCUAACCCGAACAACCCAAAACCCGAUCGGGUUAACCCGAACCCGAUUUUACCCACCCCUACCAAGUGGCUUUAAACAUGAAAUUUUUGGAUUCACCUACAUGCUCUAACAGUAAAAGUAGCAAUUGGAGCAUUAUAUGGAUGCUUACCCUCCCAGAAAAGGAUCAAGAUUCAAUUGGAGCAUUAUAUGGAUGCUUACCCUCCUGGAAAAGGAUCAAGAUUUUCACCUGAGAAGCAGCAAAAAACUUACUACCACAACUGAAAAUUUGUGGAAGCGUAGAAUUAUCUAGCUCAUUACCAGCGCUGUGGGAAUAGACUGGAAAACACUUUGCAUGCUUCGGAUACUUGCUAAGCAGCAAAGAAAAUCUGGCAACUCUCACCUAUGGCAAGUGCAAUUCAAGAGAUGGGAAAUGCAGACCUUCUUGGGGACUUGAUGAUAUUGCAGAAGAAAUUAAGUAAAGUUGAUUUAGAGCUUCUGGUGACAAUUUUUUUGGGUGAUUUGGCAUGCUAAAAACAAAUUUGUUUUCAAAGGAUUGAAGUUAGAUCCAAGUCUAUCAAUGGCCAAAGCUCAAGCAAUUAAUGAGGCUUUUAGAAGACCCCAAUUUGCAGAGAUGCUGAAAGAGAAGAAAUUGCAGAAGAAGAAUAAAAAAGUAUGGGCUCCACCACCCCAAGGAUGGCUAAAAAUCAACGUUGAAACAUCUACUGAUACAAAAAGAUAAUGCCCUCGAUUAGGAGCAAUAAUCAGAGAUUCCACAGGGAAGUGCAUAGCAGCAGCCAUAAGAACCUCGAAGUUUAGGGGAGAUGUAUCUUAUGUGGAAGCAGAAGCAGCUGAGUGAGGUAUCCAUAUUGCAAAGGAAGUAAGGUCUGCAAUCAGUUAUUUUGGAAACUAAUUCUCAAGAGGUAGCAAACUUGAUAAAUAAUAGAGGAUGUAAGAUAACAUAGAUCUACUGGAUUAUUUCAGAAAUUCAAGCUCUAAAGAAGAAUUUCAGAUCUUGUGAAGCUAAGUAUGUACCUAGAUCGUGUAACGCUUGUGCCCAUUUUUUUAACUAGGAGACCAAUAGAAAAAGCUGAAUCAGUUGUUUGGUUGGGAAAUUUUUCUCCCGAAAUUAUGACUUUCCCUUUAAAAAAAUAAAAUAAAAUAAAUUUUCGGGAAAUGUAUGUCUCGAAUCGUAAAUGACUUAAAUGAAUCUGGGCAGAUACAUGAGUUUGACUGUCCAAUACCAAUGAAUCUUUGUCGAUGAAUCCGAGCCGUCCACGUCGGGUGGGCCCCACAUUGUUACCAAGUGUAUUUAUUCAUCCAUUCCUCCUCAACACAUUCGGAGGCAAAGGCUCAAAGUGCGCGCGUCUCUUCUCUCCAUUCCCUCCAAACACAACACGACCUCAUAUUCUCUUUCAUUCGCCAACCCCCACCCCCACCACCACCACCCGGAACGACGCCGCAUAAUCCAACCAACAAAACCGACCGAACCAGCCAUCAUUACAAAGGUUAGCUUCGUUUCUCAACUUUCCAACUUUAUUAUUAUCUCUUACUUCGCUUAUAAUAUUAUAUGAAUUUUACAAUUUAAAUCUUUGCUAAUUGCAGAAGCAAGAAGAAGCAAAGUGAAUAUGGCUUUGUGUUCAUCAUCAACCUCCCCUGAGCUUAAAUGUUGUUGCUUUGACAAUUUGAGAGGUAAAAAUCCGAGCUUUAAUGAGCCAAACCAAUUUCUAAGGAUUGGUGAUUGCUAUUCAAACAAGGGUCGUGUUCAAGUUCAAGCAUCAAGCCAGCUAAGUGGGCACUUAGAAGGAUCCUUUAUGGAAAAGAAACGCCUCCAGGAACCACUUUCUCACAGGAAGCUUGAAUUUGUGAGAACAUUGUUGAUUGAUAACUACGACAGCUACACUUACAAUAUCUAUCAGGAGCUCAGUACCAUUAAUGGCGGUAAGUUUCUUCUUCUUCUUCUUCUUUUCAAUUUUUUCCCUUUGAAAACCCAGAUGCAAUUCUUUUUUCUUGAAAUUUUCAAAAGAAUUUUUGUGGACACAAUAUGCUGUCUUGUAAACGUGUAUCGGGUUGUGUUUUCGCUUGAUUUUUGAAGUUUUGCAAAUACUGCGGCUAAAGUGUUUGAAAAAAAAAAACAAAAAAAAUCACUUUACAGUUGGCGGCUAACGUGUACCAACCACUCGUUCACCUACCCAUUUAUAUUUGGUAUCCAAAACCUUCAAGGUGUUUGAUAUAUUUCAAAAUGUUCGUUAAAUGUGGUAGGUCCUAUUUCUUUGCCUCUCAUAUGUUGGUUACUAGCAUAAAUCAAGGCUCUGUUGCGUGUCAUAUUGGAAAAUGUUUUAAGUACUAGAAGAUAGAUAACCGUGACUUAUGUGUCUCCUUGUUUGUUUUAAUGCUCUGUUGACUUAUAACUGUUCAGGGAGUAAUGAGUUUACUGUUUUCCUUCUUUUAGCAUUAUCUUGAAGUCAGAUUAGUUUCCAAAAGCAAUUCUGUUUGGCCACCAGAUUAGAUUCUUGGCAGCUAACAUCGUCAUUAUGGUCAAGUCAGUGAGAUUAUGUCUUUCCUGUUUGGUAUCAUUUUUUAAGCUGGGUUCUAUUCAAAGAAUCAUUUUGUUGGGUCCGCUAGAAAAAUGGUGACAACUCUCACAGGAAAGAUGGUUGUUCAUUGAUUGAUUUGUUCAAUCUUUGUGAUCAUAAAUGUUAAUACAAGCCAAAAUGAUCAUUGUUUUGACACCUUUAUGUUGGGUUACUGUUCCAGUGCCCCCUGUUGUGGUGCGCAAUGAUGAGUGGACAUGGAGAGACAUUUGUCGAUACUUGUAUGAAGAGAAUGCAUUUGACAAUAUUGUAAUAUCCCCUGGACCUGGUUCGCCCGCAUGUCCAGAAGAUAUAGGUGAGAAAGCAAUAAUUGCUUGAUAUAUAUGUUGCUUUAUUUUUUUCUCUUUACAGCUGCUCCAGAUAUAUAGUCUAGAAAGUACAGGCUGGAUGUCUACAGGGCUUUUGCAAUCUUGAGGGGUGGAAUCUCCCAUCAUAAGUCACAACCAAAAUGAUUGCUAUUGCGUCCACAUAUAUCUAAUUGUUGCCACAUCCUGCAUAGAGUGGUAUACUACAAUUUGAUUGUUCAUACAACAACUUGAAUGUAAUUGGGAUAAUCUUGCCAGAUCAACAGAGAAAUUUUUAUCUAUUCAGACUUCUGCUUAAUUUCUGUCUACAUAAGUCUGCUUCUUAUUUUUUAAAUUUGAAAAAAUCAUGUUAAAUUUUUUUUACAGGAAUAUGUCUACGUGUGCUGCUUGAGUGCUGGGAUGUGCCUAUUUUGGGCGUUUGCUUGGGACACCAGGUAUCUCAUUUUUAAUAUUUUAUUUUUUCUUUCGUCGCUUUGGGUAUGUGUGUGUUUAUAUUAAUCUGAUACCCUGUUAUCACUAUUUCAAUUCAUCAGUUGGUAAGCAUGGGUUUGUAUGUUCACAUAUUGAUUUGUAUUUUGUUUAAUUGUUCUUUAGUGCUUUAACCUGGCUGUUGCCUCCUUUGAAUCUAUAAUAUGUUUGUUUACUUUUCCCAUUUAAGGUUUCAUGUUAUAAUCUUGGUGGGAAUUUUGUGUUCCCUCUGAGAGCUGAAGUGUAGAAUUUGUCAAACAUGGUGCUUUAUGAAUAUUGAACAACCUUUACCAUUCUAAUCAAUUUCCUAAAAUUUCCUAAUCUCCAUGGUUUUAAUAAAUUAUAGAUGAUGAUGUGAGUACUGACAAUUUUGCAGGCUUUAGGCUAUGUGCAUGGUGCUGACAUUGUCCAUGCACCUGAACCUGUUCAUGGACGCUUGAGGUAUGUUCAAAAAACAUGUUCUAUUAGUGAUAACCAUGAAUAUAUAGUUUUGGUUGAUACUGAAUCUCAUCUGUCUGACUUCAGUUAACAUUGAUAACAAAUCUACAUUUUUUUAUUUCCUGAUAAAGAAUGCUUGCUGGUGUGUACUCCUAUUUCCUUCAUUAACCUAUUUGUUGUCUUGGACAGCGAAAUUGAGCAUAAUGGGGACAGACUGUUUCAUGAUAUUCCUUCUGGCCAGAAUUCAGGAUUCAAGGUGAGUUUGUCAUCUUGUCUUUUGAACAAGUUUGAAUUACCUGUUGUCUCUUUGUAUGCUAUAACAACUACUAUUUGAUUAGUCAUUUGGUUAUUGGCGAAGUAUUAGCAUGAGAAAGUGGUGCUUUCAUUCAUGGAUUCUCAGAUUAAUACUUCUAGCAUUAUUCUCCUAUAUCACAUGCAGACAUUCUGAAAAUACUGCAAGAUUUCAAAUUUCUUCAUGUUCAUGAUUCUACUCUUCAAUCUUAUUACAUUGCAGAACAAGUUGCAAUUUGCAACUUUUGAAGCAUGCUGAAGCCAAAGUUUUACGUAUUAGAAAUGUUUUCUGAUCAUACAGAAUUGUGUGAAUACUCUGCAUAUAUGGCAACUUUGAUUUGAAAAUCCAGUGAACCAGAGUUAAAAUUAUUAAAGGCCUUCUCGUAUGUGAUUUAUCUUUCUAUGCAAUUGAAGUAUCAUCUUAGCUUCACUAUGGGUGUCAGUCACUAAGGAUUCCAGGACACUUCGUUUUUCUUCAUACAUCUUAACUGGAGGGGAGUUUUAGAAUAUAUUCUGCUCAUUUCUGUAUAGGGUUAGGUAGUCUCUUUUGGGUUAAGUCACACUUUUGGGGAUUGAUACAGUUCUGUAUAGCUUUGAUUGAUUUUGCAUGGAUAACUGGUCCAGUACUAAAGUGCUUUUGUCCAUUAUUUAGUGAUCCAAAUACUCAUAAUUUCUUAUUAAAAAAAAAAGAGUAUCAUCUUAGAAGAGUAAGCCACUGUUGAUCCAAAGGGUGUAUGGGCAUUGCUUUUGCGCUCAUUUAUUUAUUAUUUAAUGCAGGUCGUUCGAUACCAUUCACUUAUAAUAGAUGCAGAUUCCCUGCCCAAGGAACUCAUACCUAUAGCUUGGUCCAAUUCCGCAGACGGGUUUUCUUAUCUUGGGACCCUGCAGUCUGGUGAAAUCCCAGAUGCUUAUGAAAGUCAGAGUAGGCAAAAAAUCCUUCUCAGUGAUAUUUCAACCCAGAUAAAAAAUGGAAGUUAUCGGCAUUCAAUCUACUCUAAUAGAAUGCGCAGAGAAGUUCUCAUGGGUAUCAUGCAUUCUACCAGGCCUCACUACGGUGUGCAGGUGCAAGUGUAUUUGUAUUACCUCAUAUCUGAUUUUUGAUUUUUUGACUUUUACUCUUUUAUUUAUGUUCCACUUUCUUGACUUUCUUCCACGAUUCAGUUUCAUCCAGAGAGCAUUGCUACCUGUUACGGGAGCAAGAUAUUAAGAAAUUUCAGAGAGAUAACAGAAGAUUAUUGGAAGAGAUUGAGAUCACCAUUUGUUAAGGAGAGAAAUGUUCAUUAUACUGGUAAACAGGAGCUCUUUAAAAUUAUGAAUGAACUGCUGUUCUUGUUUGCUAAACCUGAGUUUUAUUUACUCCACUCUCCCUUUUCUUUUUAUACAUACAUAAACAUGCAUUUCCAUGCAUGUAUUUAAGGAAUCUACUUCUUGUUGGCUACUUCAUAUGCUGAGUAGAUGCCUAUGUUAAUUCACUUUUUACGAGGAAUACCUGUGAUUUUCUCUGGGCAGUGAACCGUUUAUAGAUGCAUGCAGGUGCUGAAAGCCUACUUCUCAGAGAAAUUACUAGAACUAGCCGAUCAGUGAAUAACUCUGAUGAACUUGGUAGAGAAGCUCUUAGACCUAGGCAAUUAUUUUGUGAUUUGGGUGAUAGAAGGUUCGGAAUUCAACAUUCAAGAAGGUUUGAAAUUCAACGUUCAAGCAUUGGAGUAAAGUGUUUAAAGUUGACAUGGAGGAAAUUUGAUCACUUGGCAAGUACAGUUGGAGGGGCAAGAAAUAUUUUCUGUGAACUAUUUGGGAAUAACAAGGCUGAAAACACAUUUUGGUUGGACAGUUCCUCGACAGAGAAGGUUGGUUUUCUGCAUAAUGACUUCUGUUACUGAUGAUGUAUUAACAUAUAAAAUAUCUUUUAUUUUGUUGGAGGUACUGUAACUUAUGUUGAAUCAACUUCAGUUGAUUGGAAAUUUUAUAUUUCUUAGUUUUCUCUUCUAUGAUCAGGGAAGAGCACGUUUUUCUUUUAUGGGGGGUAAAGGCGGAUCUCUUUGGAAGCAAGUGACGUUUAGAUUGUCUGAUCAAAGGUUUGAAUAAGCACUAGCCUUGUGAAUUAGUGCUGAAAUUUUAAAAUUUCUUUUGUUGAUUGUGUUUAGAAUGUAAUAUCUGUGUUUUUUUAGGUUUUCAUUGUUAACCAUGUACCUGGUUAUCCAUUGAACGUUAAGUUGAACAACUAAUUGCAAAGUUUCCAUAUAUUAAGAUUAUCAUAUACAAUUUGCAGAAAUGAUAUAUGAGACAUAAUUGUUUCAGUGAUGUGAAAUUUACCUCUGGAGGACAUUUAUUGAUUGAAGAUGCUGAAGGCUCUAUUGAAAGAGCAUAUCUGGAAGAAGGAUUUUUUGAUUUUUUGGAUAAGGUAUUCAAUGUAUAUUACUAUAUUCUAUCCAUAAGAAUUCUUUCUCCUAUAUACAUACAAUAAUUUAAUAAUGUUUAUACCAAAAUUAAGUCUGUUACUUAAUUCAUUGAUAUGUCUCUCAUUAUUUGAUCUCUGUAACAGGAGCUUCUUUCAUUCCAUCAUGAGAAAAAAGAUUAUGAAGGAUUGCCAUUUGACUUUUACGGUGGAUAUAUUGGUUAUAUAGGGUAUGUGGUAAAUUUUAUUCAACAAGACAUUCAUCAAUCCUUUUUUUUUUUUUUUUAUCUCUUACAGUUCUUCACUAAACUAAUAUGAUUCAGGGCAUAUUUUUCAUAUUGUUUUAUAUUAUGUGGAGUAAUUAUCCAAUUGUUGAUGAUGUUUAAUUAAAGCACCAUGUUAGAAGUGUUUUCAAGUUUUGUGCGUGUCAUUAAAUUUCUCUUCUUUAAUUUCUUUACAACUGUGUAGCCUGCCUGAUUAGCACCAUAAUCAUUCUCUUCAGAUACGUGAAAUUCUGACUUCAGUGUUCUUAAUCUACCCGGAUGUAAAUAUAAAUACAUUUAUAUUUUCCAUAAGAUUGUAACUUUGAGGUCGUAAACUGUGCUCAUGAAUCUCUUUUCAUUUCUUGAUUUGAAGUGGGGAAACCCAAGUUCAAGAUAUUGGAUAUCAUCAAACAAACAGAUUACCGGAGGCAGUAUUUUUGCUAAAAUUUAAUCUUUAUGUUUUGACGGAUCUUAGUAUCACUUAUCUUACUCCAAAUAAGAGGUUAAACUCCAUAAUGUUCUACUUUCUUUCUGAUAGGAUCUGAUAUUGAUUUUCUUGUAAUGCAGAUAUAACCUUAAAGUUGAAUGUGGUGCGGCAUCUAACCAUCACAAAUCCAGGACUCCUGAUGCUUGCUUCUUCUUUGCCGAUAAUGUUGUAGUUAUAGAUCAUCUUUAUGAUGAUGUUUAUAUAUUGUUGCUAAAUGAAGAAAACACACCAAUGUCCACAUGGUUGGAUGCUACAGAACAGAAGCUUAUUGGCUUAAGAGCUUCUUCAACAAGGCAGUUGGAGGAGCAGAAUUUACAUGCUCCAACAGUUUCUCGAAAUAAAUCAGCCUUUAUUUCUGAGGUAUCAAGAGGGGACUACGUAAACAAUGUUGAGAACUGUCUGAAAUACAUAAAAGAUGGAGAAAGCUAUGAGUUAUGUCUUACAACCCAGCUACGAAAAAGAAUUGGGGAAAUAGAUUCUUUGGGGCUUUACCUUCACCUUAGAGAAAAAAAUCCAGCACCAUAUGCUGCCUGGCUUAGUUUUUCUAAGGAGGAUUUAUGCAUUUGUUGUUCUUCUCCUGAGAGGUUUCUACGAUUGGAUAAGAAUGACUUAUUAGAAGCAAAACCCAUCAAGGGUACCAUAGCUCGUGGAUCCACACCAGAAGAAGAUGAACAGCUCAAAUUGCAACUGCAGUAUAGGUAAUAACAAUUUGCUAUUCGAGCAGUCUCGAAAAAUACCACUGCACUUUGUUCCCUUUGGCUUAUAAUUGCAUUUUCUUGAUUAGCUAGGGUAGUGUCUCAUCGAGUAAAGCAUAUCUCUCCUCUAGGCAUCAAUCCUGCGCAGCUUGCAGAAAAAUUUGGAUUUUUCAUCUCUCAUCUUGAUUCUGUGAACUAACACAUCCUCUUUUUCUCGUCCCUUCUUUCUGUUGACAGUGAAAAGGAUCAGGCUGAAAAUUUGAUGAUAGUGGAUCUUCUAAGGAAUGACCUUGGUCGUGUCUGUGAGCCGGGAUCUGUACAUGUCCCAAAUCUCAUGAAUGUGGAAUCAUAUGCAACAGUUCACACCAUGGUGAGUACAAUCUGUGGGAAAAAGCAUUCAAAUGUUAGUGCAGUUAAUUGUGUCAGAGCAGCAUUCCCAGGUGGUUCAAUGACUGGUGCACCAAAGUUGAGGUCGAUGGAAAUUCUUGAGUCUAUUGAGAGUUGUUCUCGGGGUAUCUACUCUGGCUCAAUUGGGUAUUUCUCAUAUAAUCGAACAUUUGAUCUAAACAUAGUCAUAAGAACAGUUGUCAUACAUGAGGGUGAAGCUUCCAUAGGAGCAGGAGGAGCUAUUGUUGCCUUAUCAAAUCCUGAAGAUGAAUAUGAAGAAAUGAUUUUGAAAUCAAGUGCUCCAGCAAAGGCUGUGAUGUACUUUGAUUAGCGAUUAUUCUGAAUCCAGAGGAUUGUUACUUUCAUCAUUGUUCGUUUGGGGCUGCAGAGAACUCUAGCUGAAAAUAUAGUGUAGCUCAAUUCAUUAUUGGUUUGGUGGUUUGUUUCUCCAAAACAAUAAACAUUGUUUUCCAAGCAAUGCAAAAUGGUUCAAUUCUUUACUUUCAAUGGAAUGGAAAUGCUAUACACAGUUGAUUUCCUUGGGUGACCUCUACCUUGGUAACCUUAGAGCACAUGAUGGUUUUUUCUUCUUUCAUUUCUCUCUUUUAAAAAAAAAAUCCAAAAUACCAUUCUCUUUAUUUUAAACAACAAAUUGCUAUAGAUCUACGGGUAGAGACACCAAUCUAGGAGAGUAAUUUUAAAGGCCAUUUAAUUAUUAAAAAAAAAAUUUCUUUGAUGACCUGAGUGAAGUACAGAAACUCUGUCAGUACGAAGGCCUGUGCGCUGUAUCUGAAGUCAUAAACUAAAACAUGUAGAGUCACCAAUAAUCCCCACAAGAACAAACACCAUCCUUAAAAUGGUGAAACCGAUGCAUGUCCCUUACAACAAUGAGCCGAUUCUCAAUCUUUGAAAUCAACUUAAUUGCAUUAUGACAGUCUCCACAUAUCCUGAGAUUCUUGGUGAUGCGAAUGGUAGUACCUGGAGCAGUUUUGAUGAGACCAAAAGCAAUGGCCAGCCUCUCACUGUGGUAAGAAAGUGCCUCUUCUUUUGCCUCCUCUUCAAUAUCAUGAAGCACAAAAUCUGUCAUAGGAAUAUAACCUAAUUGUUUCAUCGGAGCAGAUAAUUCUUGAAGUGCAGAAUAAAUCUUCUCAGAUUCAGAAUGAGACCUGUCUCCUACCCCAAACUUAUAAACUACAUUGUUAAACUCAAUUAAACUAAAACCCUGCUCUUUAGUAGCUCCUCUUCUACCCAUCAUCAACCUCACCUUUUCUACUUCUUUCCAUCUAGAUUUAGCAGCAUAGAUAUUUGAUAGUAAUACAUGGUAGCCUGAAUUAAAGGGGUCCAGCUGAAAAAUACGAUCAGCAAUUUUCUCUGCUAAAUCUAAAUUACCAUAAAUUCUGCAUGCACCAAGCAAAGAUCCCCAUAGACUUGCAUCAGGUUCCAUUGGCAUAUUCUCUAUAAGUUUCUCUGCUUCAGAAAGUUGUCCAGCGCGGCCAAGAAGAUCUACCAUACAUGAGUAGUUGUUGAGUUUUGGUACAAUUCCAAAACCCUUCAUCGCUUCAAAAUACCUCUUACCCUCUUCCAAUAACCCAGAGUGACUACAGGCUGAUAGAAUACAAGUAAAUGUUAUAUAAUUUGGCCUCACCCCAGCUUUUACCAUGUUAUCGAAGAGAUCAAUUGCCCUCCGUCCUUGUCCAUGAAAUCCACAGCUAGCGAUCAUUGCACUCCAACAAACAACGUCUUUCCCUUCUGUUUGAUCAAAUAAUUUAUGCGCCAAAUCCAAACUACCACACUUGGCAUACAUAUCCAUUACAGCAGUUGCAACCAGAACAUCAGACUCAAAACCAGUGUGAAUCACAUAACUGUGAAACCACUCACCUUUCCUUGAAGCCCCAAGAUUGCCACAUGCCAAAAGUACACUCAAGACGCUGACCCUAUUUGGCUUUACUCCUAAAUCACGCAUCAAAUCAAAAAAACUCAAUGUUUCACUAUUAUAUCCAUUCUGGGCAUACCCAGAAAUCAUCGAAGUCCACGAAACCAAGUCCCUCACAGACAUUUUAUCAAACACAGCACGUGCAUCCUCGACAUUGCCACAUUUUGCAUACAUAUUUACUAAAGCAGCAUUAACAAAAACAUCAGAAUCACAACCACAACACACCAAAUGCUGGUGAACUAACUUGCCUAUCUGCAAGUUAGACAAGCCUGCGCAUGAUUUUAGCGCGAAAGGGAAGGCAAACUUGUCAGGCUUGAAACCAUUUUGCAUCAUUUUGGCAUACAGAGCCAAAGAUUGGCUGAAUUUGCCUUGAGUGGCAUAUUCUCUAAUCAAAAUAUUCCAAAGAUAGCUGCAUGGGUUUGAUAUAUAUUCAAAAACAAGCCUUGCAGUAUCUAACUUAUUGAAUUGAACAUAAAAAAUAGCUAUUUGGUUUAGUAUAUUAUUGUCAUUUUGGAGUCCACAAACAAAAUUUUUUGCAUGGGACUUCUUUACAGUGUUUAAGCUAGAGCAUUUCUGCAAACAAGAGGUAAGGACUAAUUUACUCAUGUGUUUACUUCGAAUGCGAGCCACGGCAGCACAUUGAUGAGCUACAACAAUGGUUAAGAUCCUAACAUGGAUAGGGCUAAUUUGUGAUGCUUCAAAAGACAGUCAAAUGAGCCUGUAACCAUCUCCUACAAAAAUUAAAAAAGAUUGCACAAAGAUUUGAUGGGGGCAUUUCCAGAGAAACACCCCUCCAAAAAUAGGCGUAUGCCGCUUUAAAGCGGCGAGCACACGGUAUUCUUUAGUAAAAGGCGAAAGAAUAGUUCGCUCUGUGCUCACCGCACGGCUCCGUGAAGCCAAAAGUAGGAGGAGCGUCUCAUUUUGUGUGUGGGAGGUGAUUACUACUAGCUUACUCGCUUUCGAUGUGGGAUUCACCAUGCCUUUUUCCGGUCAUUUUCUUUUCAAAAUUUUUGUGCUCUUUCCAACUCUAUACGUCAGACUUAAUUAAUAUCAUUGACACAGGGAGGAUUUAUUUACUUCUUUACUAGUGUAAUUACAAUAACUAGCUACCAAGAACUCCAAGUUCGAUCGAUCAUUCAUUGAAAAUGCAGCAUAUAGCUAAAAAUGGCUUUUAACAGUGUCAAAAUGUUUCUAAAACACAUUGCGAAGGCAUUCAUUAUCAAAGUUUUGGUGACAAAGACAUUAGAUAUUGUUAACUCUGUUUUCCUCUAUUCUACCUAAACAAAUGCAUCUAACUUUUGAAACUGUAGCAUGUACUAAAUAGGUUGUAUCAUAGUGAGAAGAAGCAGGCAAAGAGUACAAACAUGUAAUAUCCCACACCAACUUCGCAGCCACAGCAGAAACCGACAGCAGGUAGAUUUUGGCAAAAACCUUACCUUUGAAGAGAACCAACAAAAAAUUGAGAUCACAAAGUUAAAUUUAAAAUUCGAUAAUGGCAUAAACAAAAUGACUUUACAGUUUGAUAUCAGAAAACAUGCAUUGAGCAAUUCUUUAGUCCAUUAAUUAUUAUACUUAAGGAAAAAAUUUCAUCAAAUUUCUGCCUCAACAGAAAUAAAAUAAACAGUUCGAAUUAUUGGAAAUUCUCAUUCAUAUUCGCGACAUUUGUAAGUUCAGAAUUUGAGAAGAAGAAAACUAAACCCGCCAUUCAGCUCAUCAAUUCAACCCAACGACUCUAGAUUAGUGAUUGAUAUAUAUUUGCUUGAGUUCUUUUGCCAAAGCAAUCAUUGUUUUGGCCUUUCUUCCAUUGUUCCAAAGAUCCAAGAAAAGUUAGCUCCGUAAAAGUCUUGGGAGUCUUAAAAAAUUUUAAAUUUUUCUUUAAACUUACCUUAGGAAACCAUCUCAGCAUCCCAAAUGUUUUCAGUUAGUUUUGAUGGGGGCAAUUCCGAAGAAACACCCCUCCAAAAAUAGGCGUAUGCCGCUUUAAGCGGCGAGCACACGGUAUUCUUUAGUAAAAGGCGAAAGAAUAGUUCGCUCUGUGCUCACCGCACGGCUCCGUGAAUUUAAAGGGCGAAGAAGCAUUUCAUUUUGUAAGGGGGAGCUACUAACCGCAAGCUCUCUCGCUUUCGAUGUGGGAUUUGAUACUCCUCCUUGCCAUCCACUUUCUUUGAAUUUUUGUGAUUUUUCCAGUUUUAUUCAUUAGGUUUAAUACCCUUGACAAUUGACAACAGAAGGAUCUGCACUUCGUACUUCUUUGUUAGAAUAGAAACAAUUAUUAGCAAUACAACUCCAAGUUAGAUAAUUCGUUGACGAACUUAACUGAAUUCACUGCUUUUCUCAAGAGAAAAAUAUUGUCGUCACAUACUGCUUUCCAUUAUCUGAAAUCACUUCAGAGUUUAGACGGUGUCAAAAUACUUGCACAUGUUAUCAUAUUCAUUUUUCGAGUUUUGAUUCCAAGAUAUUCUUUGUUAACGUUCUUUUAACAUAACUUUGCUUCUCCAAAUGCAAGCAUAUUUAGUUGUAUCUUUGUUAGAAUUGCCACAGCAUAGCAGCCACGGAAGAAAAUCUAGAGCAGAAAAAAAUUUCAUAAUCAGAAUCUGCAAAAAGAGAUUGGUAGUCUGUCAGACAACCGUGUGACCACCCCAGCCAGAGGAGCCCAGCUGAGAACGAUCCUCUACAGCCUCAGCAACCCCAAGGGUCAGUGAUAGCCGUUACUCACGCUCUGAUCAUACGGUCAUAGUUCAUCCACCAGACUUGAUAUCCUGUCUCCUUAGAACUCAAGGACACAGACGUACGAGCCUAUAGAACAGAUCCUGUUCAAGUAAGGUCGUGGCUGUUUGACCGUGCAUGCUCAAUAAGUAUUCUUUUUCCAUUGCUGAAUUUUCCAAUGUGGGAUAAAGGAGCAAAAAGAAACAUGCUUUUCUUGCUCAGAAAUGUUGUCGUUUUCCCUUGAAUAAAGGUUUUAAUCCUCAUACAAAACGUUUCUUUAACACUUUACCACUGUUAGUUGUUUAUGCUUCUUGUUUCUGCAGCUAACUGGCUGACUACUCUGCCAUAACCUCACCCAAACAAACAUAUAACUGUCAGAGACUACUUCCAACUCAUUGAGUUCCCCCAUUUUUCCAACUUCUAAGAAGCUUUUAAAAAAUUCCAAUGCAACAAAAUGGCAUUAAACUUUCAAAGUUUUAGGCACCUUAAUCCAGAUAAUGUAAACUUCAUUUUCCGCUCUGAAAGAAAUUAAACACUUUCAACAUAUUAGAUUUCGUAUUUAUUUUUAUGUUAAAAACAUCAUGAACAUUUGAGAAAUAGGCUUCUAGGGAAUCUUCAAAAUUAUUUUUCCCUAAAGAGCAAUUCAACAAAUUCAUUGUAAUUCGAGUUUGACCUACUUAUCCAGCUCAAUUCCUUGAUGAUGAUUCUAUCGGUCCAUCCCAGAUCGUAAUGCUUCAGAUUGGCAUUCUUUUUCAGAUAAGUUCAAAGACGAGAAGUUUGAGCUUUGAAGAAUUAUUUUUGAACUCACCGAAAAACAUAAAUGAAUUUACAAUUUGAUAUCAGAAAACAUGUAAUGAGUAAUAACACUUUGGUUAAUUGUUUCUAAAGGUGAAAUGCAGAAAAAUCCUGCAAGACUUGCUCCACCACAAUACCACAGGCAAAUAUUCCUACAGCGAAAACUACGGGCUUUGCUCUCGAUAACUCAUUUCUAUCAGAAUCUUUGGAUUCUUGAUUGUGCACUGCCCACGCCAUUGCUGGCGGUAGAACUCCAUAUAGCACUGUCAUACAGUAGCCCCCCUGCAUUAAUGUGUCAACAGGGUGAGUUUGAAAUGUUGUUAAGUUUCCAUUGCUUGAUGUAUGCUUAAACUUACAGCAAUAUCUGUAGCAGCGGAGAAUGCAUCGGGUACUGUUGUCGAGAUGAAGAGGGACGGAGCAACAACCAUUGCCAUUGCAGUGAAGCUGAUCUUAUUUCUUCCCCACCAGUUCCUCAGCCCAAAGAACUCUGUUGAUUCCUUUUAUGCAAAGGUAUUAAUGGUUUGGAACAAAAUGUAAGAGGAACUGAAACUUAAUUGGAAAAAAGAGUCAAACCUACCUUAGACGUUUUUGUAGGGGAAGAGUUCCAUGACAAGCUUUUGAGCUGCUCCUUGAAGAAUUCUGAGAAGCCCAAGAGAGUGCCUAUUAGUGAAGUUCCUACCGCCAUAAGCGAAAAUGCCUCCACCAUUACUGAAACACCGCUCCAUCUCACCCUGAACGUAACUUUGAUAUCAAAUUUAGCACAAAAUAUAAACCAGAAAAAGAAUAGGCAAAUGAGUACAAACAAGCAUGAAAUUCAUUCCGACAGCAGUCUUGAGAUCAAAUUAAAAACUAAAUUCAGAACCGGCAAAAAUGAGAUUUCGAAGUCUGUCAGACAACCGUGUGACCACCCCAGCCGGAGUAACCCAGCUGAGAACGAUCCUCUACAGCCUCAACAACCCAAGGGUCAGUGACGACCAUUACUCACGCCUAUUAGUGAAGUUCCUACCGCCAUAAGCGAAAAUGCCUCCACCAUUACUGAAACACCGCUCCAUCUCACCCUGAACGUAACUUUGAUAUCAAAUUUAGCACAAAAUAUAAACCAGAAAAAGAAUAGGCAAAUGAGUACAAACAAGCAUGAAAUUCAUUCCGACAGCAGUCUUGAGAUCAAAUUAAAAACUAAAUUCAGAACCGGCAAAAAUGAGAUUUCGAAGUCUGUCAGACAACCGUGUGACCACCCCAGCCGGAGUAACCCAGCUGAGAACGAUCCUCUACAGCCUCAACAACCCAAGGGUCAGUGACGACCAUUACUCACGCUCUGAUCACACGGUCAUGACUCAUCCACCAGACUUGAUAUCCUGUCUCCUUAGAACUCAAGGACACAGAGGUACGAGCCUAUAGAACAGAUCCUGUUCAAGUAAGGUCGUGCCUUUCUGACAAGACACUACUUAAUAAGAAGGCUUCUUUCAUUGCUUAAUUCUUCCAUGUGGGUUUCGAUAUGAACAUGGUGGUUUUUGCUUAUCUAUUUGCCUGUCUUGUGUUUAACAUUUUCCAUAUAUGAGAAUACAAUAUUUUAUAUUUUACAAAAGAUUGCAGCAUGCAGUAAUGCAGUGGCUGUCCCCAGAAUUGAAGGUCUACUAUAAAAGUGUUCUUAUCCACUGACCAGCUUGGGUUGUUUAUUUUUGUUUUUGCAGCCCAGCUGGCUACUCAUAAAAAACUAAUGCAUUUCACUAAGCGAAUAUGUUAAUGGUUAUCAACUUAUACCUCAUCAGCAAUUCAACAGGAUCAACAACUUGGUCAGCCUGAGCUGAGAGGCCAAGUGAAAUUGCAUCCCAAACAAGCAAUGACAGCAAUGGAAUAAGGCUACCGAGCAAAACUGACGCCCUUAAGCGUGGAAGGUCACCACCCAAGUAAGCACAAAGAACUGCCAAAAAGAAUUAACUAAAAACAUAAACCAGGGGACAUCAUUUGACUCAAUUCCAUUGCUCGAAACAUGAAGUAGAGUUAUUAAAUGAACAGUCAUCUUUACCUGGUGCUAGAUCAUGAUAUACCAGAGAGAAGAUUAUCACAGGAAUUGUAGCUGGAACUUUUCCCCAAUUCCCACUUCCAUCCAAUCCUGACCACCCUCCAAACACAACUGCUAUCACCUCAAUCGCUACCAACAAACCUAUGCAUAAUGCAUCAAUUUCUUAGAAUUAAUAUGUUGCCACUAAGAACAUUAUAUAAGAAGGCCAUUCUUUCAUCAAUCAGAAAAUUUUUUAAGCACUUGGAAAGCUAUGCAACCAUUCAUCACAGUACUACUUAGGCAUCAAGAUCUAGUACUAUAUGCUACCUAUCAUAGAAGCAGUGAGCCAUUGGUUGAACUGAUCAGUUGCUCGCGUCCCGCCAAUUGAGAUGAGCAAGGUGAAGACUGUAGUGAACAAGAAUCCUGAAACCGAUUCUGGGAUAUUGAGCAAAUGGUAAAGGAUCUCACCAGACUUGGAACAGUAGGCAAUCAUGGAAGUGUAACCCAAGAAAACAUAAAAAACAGUGGCUAAAGUUCCACCCCAGUCCCCUAGUGUCUCUUGAGCCAUAGUCCUUAUAGAAAUAACCUCAAAUUCAUUCUCUUCUUCUCCUUUCCUCUUCCCACGCCGCAAACUCACAUUGAUUUCAAUGAGUAUAAGUGCUUCAAUUAGAAGAAAACCCCAGCAUACUAUCAAUGAUAUUGAACUUGGAAAGAUUCCCUGCAGCGUAAAACAGAAUUAAGCACAACUAAGCAUCAAGAGAUGAGACAAACAGAGAUGGUGGUAGAACGUUUUACAGCAGGAGAAGCUUUCUGUGGAAGAGCAAGAAUCCCUGAACCAAUACUAGUACCAAUAAUAAGAGCUACUGCACCAGCUAUCGUGCCUUUUUCCUGAUCAUUCUUUAUAGUCUCUUCUUCCAAUUGUAUAAGGCCUUUCUUUGCCUUGUUCAAGUAAGAUGGUUUUCGAGUGAUCGAUAACUUCUGCUCUUGCCUCCAUUGGCUGCAGGCAUAAGGAUAGAAACUGAUAGUUACAACAAUGAAAUUCACAACAGAAGCAGAGAGUUAGAUCAUACAAUCUUAAUUUCAAGCAAAUUAUCAAUCUCUUUUGAUGACUUGUGUUGCAUGAUGGAGUGGUCUUUAAUUGUCUGUGAGCUCUUGUAUGCAAGGAGGAAGAAGGACUGCAGUGUAAGUGUAAAUCCAUGAGAGCAGGAGAUAUAGAAACGAAUGGACUGUAAAUGCAAGCUUCCCAAAUAUCUUGGAAAUAGAUUCUGGAAGAACAUAAUUGGUCAGUCUUAUACUAUAAAGAUUCUACUAUAAAGAAGUAAAAAAAAACGAAGGAAAAAUUUGGACCACACACGAUUUUUUCAGUAAUCACUAGAAGCUAGCUAGUCUAGGUUAAAUUGAAUUAAUUUGUCACCAUUUUUGAAUUUGCUCCACAUUAAUCUUGCAGGUCCAUCUGAUUGUGGCAUAACUUAGGAAGUGUUCAACGUUUACAAAAUGAUGAUUUAAAAAAAAAAUGGUUACUGUUUGGGAAAUUAAAUAGGGUAACCAUGAACUCCUCCAAGUAAAAAUGAGAAAUGGUUUAGCAAACCACCUCAACCAGAUGCUAAUUUUGAUGACCUCAAGCAUAACAUCUCCACCAGGUGGUAAUUUUGAGACCACCUUGAGCAGACCACCUUGACCAGGAGGUAAUUCUGGUGACCUUGAGCAGGCCUUCUCCACCAGGAGGUAAUUCUUGUAAUCUCGAGCAUAUGGGUUUGAGGAGACCAUAAUCUGUCCAAAGACCCCAAUUAAGUUCAACUGACGAGUUGCUCUCGAAAAGUCGGGCAUAACGUCCACGCACACCCAGUUGCUAUAAUUGCAGCUCAAUAAUAACAGGCGCACUAACGCAUUAUUCAAGCGAUGCAUUCAACCCAAUAAUGCCAACGCAUUGAAGAUGGUGCGAUAAUUCUGGAUGCUUAUAAAAAUCCUGAAAAAACCAAAGCAAUGGGGGGGGGGGGGGUAUUCUUAGGUUAUUAACUGGCGAUCACAAGGCAUCCUUAAUGAUGGGCAAGUCGUUUCACCACCAAAUAAAUUUAAUAUUGAUGGCAGGGAUCUAAGAUUAGGGAUGGCAAUUGCGCCCGCAAACUCGCCCACCAAAACCCGCCCGCUGCUGAUAAUUUUGCAGGUUGCGGGCGGGCUUGGUAUUACAAAUUGAAACAUGCACUUAGAUGAGUGUGAGUUUGGUAUUAACCCAAUAUCCAAUGGAUACCCGCAUGGAUAUCUACUAGACCCGUAAUUUUUUUUUAAUAUUUUUAAUUUAAUUUUAAUUAAAAAAAUAUUUAAAUCUAAAAAAUAUAUAAAGAAAAUAAUGCAAUUGUGCAAAGUGCCAAAUAACUAAAGUGUUUUUGUAUGGUCUAUUUUUCUUUAAUUUAAUGCAUGAAUUAUUUCAUUAUUAUAAUUUUUUUCUUUGAAUUAAUAUUUGAAAAGUAUUAUUCUUUGAAAAAUAUUAAUGUUAAUCAUUAUUGUAGGCAUCAUGUUGGAUGGGUACUAAUGAUGGUGAAUGAAAUGAAUAUCUUCUCUUGGAGCUUACGUUGAAUGAUAAUAUGAAAUAUAAUUGUUAUUUUUAGAUACUAGUUUGUGGUUUUUUUUAAGGAUUUGUGUAUUUUAUAAUUCAAUUUGAGAAUUUGUGUUGGAUUGAUGUUGAAAUUUUAAUUUUUCAUUUACAUUGGUUAAAUUUAAAUUUGAGUAUGUUAUGUGGAAUUUGAGGUUAUUAUUGUAAAUUUAUAUAUUGAACAUUUGUGAUUUUAAAUGUACAAACCUGCAAAAAAAUCUGUUGGAUACCAUUGCGAAUUUGGUAAUUGUCAAAACCCGUAGCGGGUGGGUUUUCUUAAAAAAAUUUAAACCUGCUACGAGUGGAUUUGAUAAUUUAAAUUUUGUGCGGGUUUGGGUUUGAUAAUAGCAAAUAGGCGGUGCCCAUUGUCAUCCAUAUCUAGGAUCGAGUCACUAACAAACUCAACCAGAUUUCGAUAACAACAAUUGUAAUCUACAAAUAUUACAAUAUGAGGUCUAUUGAAAUUUAAAUAUAUAUCGAGAAUAGUUUGAAAAUAUGUUCUUACUAAUUUUUUUGGGAAGAUAUCUACCCAACCUAUAUUUUUUAGAGGGGAGAUCUUUGGGUUCCCAUGAAAACUCAGACUCGGGCUGUCAACAAACAUGAUGAAGUUUGAACUAAUUUGAUUUGUGGAAAACAUUAAAUAUGAUUCGAAUCUGCUAGUACAUGUUGUCCCAUGCUGAAAAUUAUGUUGGGAACUUUGACUGGCAAAUGAAAAUUGGCCCAACAAGUAAACGGGCUUCAAGUAACAUCAACAUCCUUCAAGCCGAGAGUAGGCCCAUAUCCAGAGACUUUUCGAGCUCCAUUUUGCCUUGUUCUGUUUCCUUCUGCUAGCGAAGCUGAUGAGUACCUUUCAGUUGAUUGACGCACAAAAUGUCGGAUUAGCACCAAAGGCAAAAACCAUAUGCCACCGAAACGGGAAAAAGGUGAAUUUUUUUUUUUUUUUAAAAAAAAAAACACAAUGUAAGUGUGGUUUUCACAAGUCACUACUCGCUAGCGAUGUAGCUGGGGGAGAGUGUGACAUGAGGAGAUAGAGGUUAAAUAAGGUUAUGGGUUGACACUUUUAAGAGAUAAAUGCGACAAUGACUUCUGAGUUAUGGAGGGACAUUGCGACAAACAACAUCAGGCCAUUUUCUUUUUUUCUUUUUUUCAUUUAAAAAAUAUAUAAUUUUUAAAAAAAAAAUGAAAAUGAAAAUAAAAAAUAAAGCGGUAAGUAACAGCAAACAGCAAGCAUCGAGCAGGGCUUUACUUUGGCUUAAAACGACAUUGCUUUGGUGUCUGUCUGUCUUCUUCAACUUCAAUGCUGUGUCUCUCACUCUUCACAACCACAGACGGUUUCAACCCCAUUCCCUGACUCUGCCUUACAAAAUGACAAAACACAUCACAACUCUUCGCACGUGCAUCGCAUACAUAAAUAACAAGGAUAUUGUAAUUUUCAUAGCAUGGUGCUCUAAAAGAAGACGUAGCAUAUUGCAUUUACAUAUAUAGCCUGACAUUGGAUUCCAAGAAGGAAUUUUUUGUGUCAAAAGGUUUAAGGAAAGAAAACUUGAAGUUAAUUUCUCACUUUCACCCCUGAACAGAUCUUUGCUUGCUUUGUGAUUUGGCAAGGUAUUAUUUCUAAUCAUAAGGUUCGCUUCCCCCCCACAAUUAGUGCAUUAAUUGAUCAUUCCAGAUGAAUCUUCCCUAAUAACUGUGACCCCCAAAUAAAUUAUUGAAUAAAUUAAAGUAUUUCUUUCAGAGUAUUUUCCAUAAAAUUUUUAGUUGUGAUUUAAGUAAAGGGCCUACUUUUGUUGCAUCGGAUGUUACUUGCAAGGCGACAAGCAUUAGUUAACAACUACUUAAAUUUAAAAAAAAGAAAGAAAGAAAGAAAAUUUGUAGACCGAGAACAAAUUAUUAAAUUUGGAGAAAUCAAGGCUAAAUAGUAAACUUUCUCAUCAUUAGCAUCAUGCUUAAGUGCAGUAGGGCAAGUGGGGAGAAAAUUACUUAAUUUCACACCGUCCUUGUCAUUUAUUGACAAAUUUCAAUUUCCUCCUAAAUUUAUUUUUAGUCUUCAUUGCACCGCAUUAUUCGUUUCCAUCGUUUAAGUUAACUCCAUGAAGGGGAAAAUUAUACUUUCAAAUUGUUAACUUAAAAACUUAAAUUUUUUUAAUUAAUUACAACAAAAAUUUAUAUAUUAGCAAGUGAUAUAAGACAAUCCAAGUCAUAUAUAAAUAUACACUAGUUAGAUUCUCAAGAAUGAUAGAAAAUGUCUAAAAGUUUUCACCUAGAAUCUAGACUCCUUAGAUAAUGUAUAGCUUUUGUAACAGAACUUUUCUAAAGUACUUAAACUUACUUGUAAGUCACUUACACACUUGUUACAAGAUUAUAAUAAUAAAAUUGAAAUAGCAUUAAUACAUUAUAAAUUACAAUAAUAUGUAAUGACAAAAUAAAUAAUUAAACCUAAGGCGUAUAAAGUACAGUUUCCUUAAAAACAGAUUCUCCACUUUCUUAAUGAUGAUUAGGUUAUACUGAUAUAUCUUAAGAUGCAACAAAUUCAAAUACCCUUGGUAGUACAACCUCACUAUCCCAGUGAACUUUUAUUAAUGUUUUAACACUAUCACACUUUUAUUAAGUAAAUGCAUGCAGAUUAGGCAACCAUGUAUGGCCACACGAGCUAGUCUAAGAGGCCUUGUGUGAACAUGCUCAACCGAUGCAAGGCCCCACAAUUUAGGCAACCUGCAUUAUCUGCUUGGUUGAUACUUGAAUUAUGGUAAGUUUGAUCAUUGUUAUUUGCCAUCUAAAUUGUGGUUUGUUUUCUUGUUGAUAAAUUAUCGAAAAAGUACUUGAGAUUUUAUUUAUUGAAUUCUUUAUUAUUGGUUUCCUUUAUUGAAGAACGAGAUUUCUUUAGGGGGCAAAAGAGAGAGAGAGAGAUUUCUUAACACUCUCCAAAUUAUUUUGUGUUAAAUUCUUAAAUCUGUUUCCUCAAAUUUCUUUCUUUAUCCAUCAUUUUAUUAGUUCUAUUCCAAUUAUUAUACCUUUUAACUCUUUUUUAAGUUAGCACAUUGGCAGAUCUAGAAGUUAACUUAGCAUAGUGGCGGAUCUAGAAAAAUGAUUUGUCAUAGGCUCAAUUACAUAACAAAAAGUUGUGAAAAUUAAAUGUGUUAAUGAUCUUCAAAGGUUAUUUUAAUAAAUUUAAUAAGGCUAAAUUAAAUAAUAAUAAAAUCACCUAUAUUAAUUAUUGUGGGCUUUAAAUUUUUUUAAUUAAAGUGUGAGCUUUUAUAUAAUUCUUAAAGUUAGUGUUUAAAUUUUAUGGAUUUACGGGUUUGUAAGUGCCAAAAAGAUAUAACCAAUUACACCUUGCAUGUGUCUAGAAAAUAUACUGAAAAUAAAUGAUGAAAUGUUUUCACAUUACUUCGAGUCUACAUUUAAGAGAAGACAACAUGUGAUAAUAUAAAAAUCACAUGACAACUUAUAUUAAGCCUUAAAACGAUAGAUUCCAAUUAAGGAUAUUACUAGUAAGAGGAUCACCAAAAGACUCUUCAAAUAAGAUUUUAUUACUUAUUUGAAGAGCCAUAUCAAUAUUUAAAGUUCCAAAAGACACUUCAAUUAAGAUUCUUCAAAUAAUAAUUAAUUCUCUCUCUUCAAAUUUGGAGAGUUAAUUUCUCUCUCUCCAAUUUAUAUUUUAUUAUUUUUCAUUAAAGAAAGAGAGAGAAGUGCUUUAAUUGCCAUUGACUUUUCCUUUAAAAAACUAAUUAUAUGAUUAAAAUAAUAUUAACUUAUUUCUAUUUGAAGAGUCUUUUGGAGAAUAUCAUAUUUUUUUACCCUUCUAUUUGCCACAUAGGUAAGUAAAUAGGUAUUUAAAGAGUAAAAUUUAUAUAGGCUUUUGGAGAUGCUCUAAGUGGUACAUGAUUACUAAUAAAAUGACGUGGCAACAAUUUAGACACAGACAAAAAUGGUUAAUAAAUUCAAUAGUGUGAAAUGAAGUAAAAAGAUUAAAAACAAAGAAUUUAAAUUUAAAAUUAAAUUUCCCAUCAAGUCCGCUUUCUUCGAUCUAUAAAUAUAGAGCCCAAAGGAUUGAGAAAGGUUCUUUUGGCAAAAUUCUCACUUGAGCAAGAGAAAUCUAAAUCUCAAAUUCAUAAAACAUCAUAAAAACAAAUAUUGACAAAGAGUCGGAGUGCCUUACUAGUACGUGCUCAAGUCUAAUAUUUGAAGAUUUUCAAGAACUAAGGAAGAAAAAGCUCAACUAGAUUGAAGGAAAGGUACAUUUGAUCUUUUUUAUUUAAAGGAAAAUUAUCACUUGUAUACCUUAAAUGGUCUUAUUAUCAAACAUACUAUAAUAUUUUUUGUUUAUAUCAUUCGUUUAGCCAAAAUUAACAAAAUAUAUUUAUCAUCCACUAAAUCAUUAGCUGCCAUUUAGAUGUUAACAGAAUUGUAGCAAAUUGAUGAUUUUGUCCUUAAAACUCAAAUUAAAGUAAAAAGACAUAAUUACACGACAGAUGCCGCCAUUAUAGUCACCCACCACGCCAUUUAGCUAGUCAACACCACUAUUAAACUUGUCAUCCUCCAUUGACCAAAGCCUAUUAGCCUCUGUGUGAACUAGUCGCGCUGCUACUGCUAAAGCAACCCAAUCUUACUAGCCAUCACCCUAAUAUCUAUCGCCUACAUCCCUCACCAUCAUUGAUCGUCAUUACUGUUACAAUCCCUAGCCGUUGUCCAACAAAACCCGACCAACAACUAUCCUUAACCACUGCCAUAAGCUGCUGCACAAACAACCCUCAAAGCUGCUAACUUUAGUGGUAGGAUCUACCUCAACAAAACCCGACCAACAACUAUCGUUUUAUAUUUUACGCUUGUGCCUCAUUCAUAUUUGAUUUUAGUGCAUAACUGAAUUAUUGGAUAUUUGAAUUGUGAGAGAAUCAAGAUUUAGAGGAGAACGGUGCACGAAUCAAAGAGCUAGUAAUUUUAAUGAAGGAUUGAAAUUUAAUAAUUAAGGCUUUUUCUAUAUUAAAAGAUCAGCUUACCUCUCUAAUAUCAUCACAUUAGUCAACUAACAAUUUAGUGCAAGUCAAAUACAUUUUAUUAAUUUUGGAUGGACAAAUGAUAUAAAAUGAAAGUGUUGUAAUAUGUUUGAUAACGAUAUAAUUUAAGAGUAUACGAUUGAUAAUUUUCUUUACUUAAAUAUUUCCGGACCACUGAAGGUUUUUUAAACCUUCAGAGUUUAUGAAACUAUUUUUAUGAGUUUAACGGGACUAUUUUAAUAUAUUUGACAAUAAUUAACUAAUAACUAAAGUAAUUUUUUCUUUAUUUUUUAAAAUUAUUUUCUCUGACGGGGACUCGAAGUCCCACUGAUCGUGAGAUAGAUCCGCCUCUGGCUUACUAUGCACCCACCCUUAAAGUAAAUAUGAUCCCUUCAAAUUAGACCAUGGACCUCUACAUACGUUACAGAGAAGACAAAUCAACCGAGCUAUCUUUUUGUUCAAUUUCAAUGUCCUUAACUCCUUAUAUGCUUACAUAUCAUCAAGCAAAACUCAAGAGAAACAAAAACUGGUUCUUACGAAUAUUAUGGAUCCAGUCUGAUAUCUUUCUCAUGCAAUAAUCAUACUAGAACUUUUAAAACUGAAAUAUUAUAUAUAAUUUAAGGGCACUUUUCUUUUUCACACCGACAUCACAUUUUUUGCAAGGGACAAAUAUAUACAUUCAUCGGUGACUAAGGGACAAAUAUAUCCAUUCAUCAUUGGUCAGUCAAAUAUUGUCAACUGUUCGAAUAAAUGGAAAAACUAACGGUGUAGGGACAAGAUGUAGAUUUAUAUAUCUUUGGGGUCUGCUGAAAAUUUUCAAUAAAUGAUGGGGGUAUGGUGAAAUUUGUCCCACAAGUAUUUUUGUAAAUUCGGAAAUGAUGGAAAUUUGUCUUAGAGAUAGGUUUAAGGACACAAAUUUGAUUACUUGUUGACAUCGUGGGGCGGGCUUAUCACUUUAUCAACGAGAUGCCACCAAAUGAAUGGAGCUAAGAUGAUAAGUGCCGUUCUUCUAGGGUUCUUUCAAUCAAUUCAAGAUCGAGUUUUUCUCUUUGGAUAAUAAGCUAAGAUUAUAUAUGUGUGUGUGUUGAUUUAUUUAAGGAUUUUAGAUUUUAUUAAAAUCUGAGAAAAUUAUUAAAUUAUAUAACUUAAUAGUAUAAUAGCAGACUUUAACAAAAGUUAGGAUCCUGAAUUGAAACAUUUAUCAUAUAAAACUAUACGUGUAUCUUAUGAUAGAGUUAUCCUGCCACCUUUCUCUUUCUAUAUAUAUAUUACUAUUUUUUAAAUUAAAAUAAAUGAAAACAUAAUUUGACCCAUGAGAUAACAAACAGUAGAAUUGAAACUGAGAUCUCGAUGCAGCCAAACACCACAUCUCAAACCACUAAUCGAACUGCAAGACGCUUGAAGAUUAUAUAUGAUAUGUCAUAAUACACACACACACACACACACACACACACACACAUACAUACAUAUACAUAUAAAUAUAAAACGACGACAAUGUGGGCAUCAACUCUGACGUUUAUUGUUGGAACAAAACUUAGGCAGAAAAUGGAAGAACGAAUACAAGCUAAAACGUGUACUGUUGAGGAAUAUUUGACAAUGUCAAUAAAUUUUUUCUUCAUGAAUAUAAGAAGAUCCGGAAUGGAAAGAAACAGAUCAUUGAAGACUGAAGAGGACCUGACGUCAUGACUAGUCUUGCUCAAACCGAGAACAGAAAUUUCAACAAUGUUGUUGUUGUUGGAGACUUGGUUUUGUUUCUUACUGCUUCCUAAAAAUUACAGGGACAACGGUCCAUUUAGUUUUGAGCAUUUGCUCUUACUCUGGGUGAUUGUAGUCAAAGCUCCUCGAUUUAUGUGUCAACAACAAUCUCUUUUAUUCUCUUAUCCAUUUCGUUUACCCGUUUUCUGCCUUCAUAUUACCAUUUCCAAAUAAAAUAAAGAAUAACCGGAAGCAUAUUUUUUGAGAUUUUUUUAAUUGCAUAGUUCGGGAAUAUGUACCUACCUACUACCUAGAAUAAGCUAUAGUUCCUUGUCUGUGAAAAUUUUAUAUCAAUACAAUAUUAAUGCCCUAAUAUAUAUCUUAUAUACUACUAACUACUAAGUACUGAUAUGUUAAAUAUGUAAAGUUUAAAAUUUUAUUAAUUUCAUAUUUCUUUAAAUUUUUACUUAUUAAAUUUUUUAACUUAUGUCAAAUUUUUAAGGAUUUGCAGCUGAAUGGAAAAAAUAAUUUUUCAUGAUUUUUUGUCUAAAUUGAAAAAGAUUUAAAUGAGAAGUAAAUAUUAUAUUCCAAAAGUAUCUCUAUUAAAUAUACACAUUUCUUAAAAUAUAAAACCUAUUAUCUUUAUUUUUUUUUGUGUUUUGAUUUAAAAGACAUAAAUAUCAAAUAACUAUUUUUAAGAUUUUUUUUAUUUAUAAAAACAAAUAAGAUGGCACUUGUAUUUAGAUAUUAAAAAAAAAUAAACAUAUCAUUCAUAUAUUUAUAUUUAGACCCAUUUAAAUUUCAGACAAAAACAUAAACGACUAAAAAAUAAAAACCCACUUGGAAGUGAGAGUUUCACAUUAAAAAAAAAGCUUAAAUAGAUAGUUUAAAUAUAAUUUAGCUAAAAUAAUUUUAUAACAUUAUACUAUUUAAGAAUAUUAUCAAAAAACUCUUUUAAUUUUACUUUUUAAAUGAUUAUUUGCUUAUCUAUAUGGUAAAUAGAAGAGUGAAAAAGGGGAGAUUGUUAGUUUCCUUCAUAUUGAAAUCAAUAUAUACAAUUACCCUAUUAUUUUCAUAAUAUUCAUCAAUUCCCCAAACAUAAAAAAUCUAAAGAGAAAGAAGGGUAAAUGGGUAAUUUAUUCAUUAUUGAUCUCGGGAAUAUAAAACUUGUAUUUAUCAUAAAAAAAUACUUUAAAAUAAAAAAUUAUAAGAAAAUAAUUCUUAUUAGUUUUUAAAUUAUUUUUAGUAUUUAUUUUUUAUUCUUAUCUCAAUCUAUGUGAUUAAAUUAAUUUAUAAUAAAUAUGAAUAAAAGUGCAUUUAAAAAUGAGGGUAAUUUAACAAUAUUAUUUUAUUUUUUUAUAACAUAACUUUAAAAAAUUUAUCUAUUAAAAUAAUUUCAUAAAUUUUUAAUAAAAAUUCUUAUUGAAAACCAAACAACUAAAGUUUUUUUAAUAAAAACUCUAUUUAUAAAAGUUCUACUUAAAAAACUGUAUCAAAUAGAGCCUUAGCCAUGGGAUUUCUUCAUUCUUUGUCGGCAGCUUCCUUUGACAAUCAAGACCUCCAUCAAGGUCAGUAGAAAUCGGUCAACAAAAGCUAGCUGAGACCACUGCCAUUUCUCUGUUGAUAAUGUUGUUGCUGGGAGGAUGGUGUCAUGUGAAUCCAGCAUCACUUGGGUCGGAACGAAAUAGGUUGAAAUGAUUGGUUAGGAGUUGAGAAUGAGAGUGAUUAAAUAGUUUGUUAAUGAGGUUUGCAGUGAUGGAAUAUGGAUGAUGAAGCACACCACGAUGUCGUUUCUAGAGAAUUUGAGAAAAUGGUUUGUUGUUGUUUUCCCGAAGAAAUGGCGAUUCAGUGUGAGGAGGCGUUGACGAGCCGUACGGCAGCUUCCAUUGGAUUGGUGCAGAUUUUUUUUUUUCCCAGUUUCGGAGUUACAAAUAGUUCAAAAUGGUUGGUUACCAUUUUUUAUUGAAGAAUUUUGUCACUUAACACUGACCAAUUUCAAGUUGUAUUACUUAUACUAAAUUUACUCAAUUUGCCUUUAGUGAAACUGAAUUUGAGUUUGAAAAUCAACCAUCAAUGGAGGUUCUACCGAUGAAUCAACCAUUCAACAUGAAAUUUUUUUGAGCAUUUAUUUAGGGUAAAACUGUAAUUUUUUAUUUGGGUGGCAAAAUAAUUAUACAUCCAUGUUUCAUUAGUUCUCUUAAUAACACCUAUACAGAAAUGGAUGGGUGUAAGAAAAUAUUAUUUUAAAUUAAAUUAAGAGAAAAUAUUAUUUUAAAUUAAAUUAAGCCAAAAAAAAAUGUGUAUUUUAAACAAAAUUAAAAAAAUAAAUAGUUGAUAAAUAAUUACUCAAAAUAUUAUUUAAAAAAUAUUGUGAAACAUUUAACAUUAACGUGGCUCUUCACAUAAAAAGUUAAAUCUUAUAAAAGAAAAUUCUUUUAAUAUACCACAAUCUAAACAUUGUCGCAUCGAAAAUUUUUAUUAUUUUAAUUGAAUUUCUUAUUAUUUAGUAGUGCUGAUACUCUGGGAUGCCAUAUUUUUAGAAACGGACGCCGACUAAAAAAGUUACUCGGGUGAUUUGUAAUUGUGCAAUUAUGAAAAAAGAAAAAAAAAAGAAAAAUUAUUCAGCCAAAGAAAGAAAAAGUCUGUUUUGUGAACUGACAUAAGAUUUGACCGCACUUAUGCCCUCAGCACUUCCACAUUUUGCAUCUAUGUAAAGUUGACCCCACGAUUUAACUAUUUUCUUUUUCUAAAUCAAUAAAAAAUAAAAAUCAUGAACAAAAAUUUGCACAAGAAAUUAGCGAAAACUAGCACAAUUAGUGCGUCUCCAGUCAUCUUGCCGACGGAAAAUUGCAACGGGGUCCACGCGCAACCACAAGCGCGGGAGAAAAAUUAAAAAAUAUAAACAAAAGUAAAUGUUUCGUUUUUUAAUUUUUAAUUUUUUUUUAUAUAUUGGAACCGGACCGUUGAUCACGGACCAAUGCUGGACAAACAGUAUGGGCCAUGAGAUCGAGGAAGAUUGAACAACCGUCGGUCACGUAUUGGGCAACGAUUAAAAAAUAAAAUCACAGCUUCAAACCCAAAAACGGUCGGAUUUAUUCAGAUAAAUUAUCGAAAUUCGUCCUUAAAAUUUACAAGAAAUUAAACAUCUCUACAAAAUUAUCAGUUAUCCAGAAUUUGUCCACGUCAUUUAACUCUGUCAGCAAAACCGAACAGACGGAUGACUUACAGAAAAAUUUUAAAAAAUUAAUACCGGUCAAACAUGUAAAACGGUUAAUUGAUAAUGACUAAUAUGAAAGAAAUACUAAAUUUGCGGGGAUGAAUUUCAUAAUUCUUCAGGAAAAAAAAAGAAAAGAAUAUAAUAAAAAAAAAAAAACGUAUAUAAAAACAGACAUGCUCUGCAAAACAACUGCUGUGUUCUUUGCCUCCUUUCUCUGGUUCUUGUUUUGGCUUUUGUAUUAUUAUCAUCGAGUUUUUUUGUUUUUGAGUGCAAGCUGCCUGGUCUGGUUGGUUGGAUUUAAUCUUUUCACUUACGUGUAUAUUUACUGACAUAGCCCACGUUUAGCUCAACAUAGCUCUUAGCUUUGGCGUGGUCUCUGCUAAAAGAGAAGAAAGAGACACAGCGAAAGUUGAAGUUUGAAUUGAUAAUUGAUUGAACAAAAAGUCUUUUCUUUCUUUCUUUCUCUUCUUUUUCUGGUGUUUAUAUAUAUAUAUAUAUUACUUCAACGUCAGUGAAAGAUACAGUUAUUGUUUUUGCUUUGCGUCAAUUCCGAGGUUUAGAGUAAUGGAAUGAAAUUGAAAUUUUUUUUAUCAAGUUAUUACUGAGGAGGAAUCUUGAAGUGAAGGGAAAAGAAAGAAAAAAAAAAAGAAAAAGAAAGAAUGGCCUGUAAUCAAUCUUCGGAAAUGCAAGAACCGAGUAUCGACACGGAUAAGCUAAGCUACGAAAUCUUUUCAAUCUUGGAAAGCAAGUUCUUGUUCGGCUACGAUGAUCAGAAGCUUUGGAUUCCCAAACAGAUCCCUCAGACGACAAUGGAACCCAAACCCGAGGCGGAGAACGGCGUGUCGUCUAUCAAGAACCAGCGUGGCAAAAUUUGUAUACUCAGCAUAGACGGCGGCGGCGGCAUGCGUGGGAUUCUCUCUGGUAAAGCCUUAGCUUAUCUCGAACACGCGCUUAAGUCCAAGUCCGGUAAUCCGAACGCCAGAAUAGCCGAUUAUUUCGACGUGGCGGCUGGCACUGGCGUCGGCGGUGUCUUUACGGCCAUGAUUUUCGCCACCAAAGGUCAAGACCGCCCGAUUUUCAAGGCCGAUGACACGUGGCGGUUUCUUGCUGACCAAGGCAAGAGGUUUUACCGGCCGUCGUCGGCUUCAAGUUCGGGGAGUUUUCUGAAACGAAUUUUCAAGGGCGGUUCGGGCUCCGGUUCCACCGGUGCUGCCUCUGGCGGUCUGGAGAAGGCCGUGAAAGAGAUGUUCACUGAGAAAGGCCGCAGCUUGACGUUAAGAGACACGUUAAAACCAGUGCUGAUUCCGUGUUACGAUCUGUCAAGCGCGGCGCCGUUUUUGUUUUCCAGAGCGGACGCGCUUGAAACGGAGAGUUUUGAUUUUAGGCUUUGGGAAGUUUGUCGCGCCACGUCAUCCGAACCAGGUUUGUUCGACCCAGUCUUAAUGCGGUCGGUGGACGGUCAGACCCGGUGCGUGGCGGUUGAUGGUGGGUUGGCCAUGAGCAACCCGACGGCUGCAGCAAUCACGCACGUGCUGCACAACAAGCAAGAGUUUCCAUUCGUGCGAGGAGUCGAGGACUUGUUGGUGCUGUCGUUGGGGACCGGGCAGCUACUAGAAGCUAGCUAUGACUAUGACCAGGUCAAGAAUUGGCGGGUCAAAGAUUGGGCUCGACCCAUGGCUCGGAUUUCUGGUGACGGCUCUGCCGAGUUGGUGGACCAGGCCGUGGCCUUAGCGUUUGGUCAGUCUAAAAGCAGUAAUUAUGUUCGCAUUCAGGUAUGUGUAAUGGUCCCAUAUCAAAAACGUUUCUGAUUCUUGUGUUUUUUUUAUUAUAGUCUUUUAAGCAACCAGUUUAUUUCACAAUUAAUAAAAUUAUAAAAUGAUCGAUCUUUUCAAUUUCAGCGUUAAGAGUUUACAGCUCACAGGAGAAUCGAUUUUUGGUUUAACAUUAGUGGAAGAGACAAUAAGAGCCAGGCUGGUGGGGUUAAUGGCACUUGUCUUAGCUUGGGGGUAAGGAGAUGAUAUGUUGGGGGGGUGAUGGGCAUUGAAUAGGCGGCGCAUGUUUUAUAAGGCCUCGUAUAAUGGGGUCAUUUUGUGGCCUCAGUUGCCUUGCCUGUAAACGUAUGCACAGUAAUAGCAGCAGCAGCCAAAGCCAAUUAGAGCAAUGGGGACCUGUUUCUUGUUCUUUGGGUUUAUGGGGGCGCUGCUUUUGUUGUCAAACGAUGGAUUUUUUAUUUUCUGUGUUUGGUUAGCUGGCUCGAGAACUUAGGUGGUGCUGUGGUUUUGUUUACUUGUUUCAGCUGACCAAAGUUAACACCAGGUGCACUUUAGCAUGUCCUGUUCUUAAUGGGUUAAUGUCUUUUCGGUCAAGGUGUCAGUCACUUUCCUAACCAGACCCAGAGUUGCUGAAUUGUCUGUGAAAAUUCAUUUGGUUAGCUUUCAAUUCAGCUGUAAAUUGGCAGUUUUUUUUUUCCAGAAAAUUUUCUUUCAGACUAUUUCUUUACGCCAGAAACUGAAACCCACGUUACCCAAGAAUUAGGAUUGAUAAUGGGAUAUAUUCUUUUGGCUAAAAUUUUCUUAGAGCAUGAACCCUGUUCCGAAAUGUUGAACAAAAUAAUUUAAAAGAUAUUUUUUUUGUGGGGAUAUUGUGCCAUUCAAGUGGGUGAGAUUAGCUGGAUAGUUGGGCGAUUUUGGAUUUGUUAGGAGUAGGGAGAGUGCAAUGAGUGGUCAUAAAAUUCAGUCAUGAUUGAUCAUUUGAUCUUCCUAUAUUGAUUUGAAAAUAUGCUUCCGUAAUUAUGGUUAGCUUUUAUUAUUAAGGCCUCUUCUGAUCUAUUACUUUUGUGUGCUGUCAAUGUACCAGAAUAAGGUCGCUGAGUUUGCUAUUCUUGUGCGAUCCUAAUGUUGGGCAUCCAGUGUUUAUAUUAUAGAAAGGAAAGGAGAAGUUUGUUUCAAUUUGGGUCUAGGUUCUGGCCACUUGAAUUUGGGAUACAAAAUGGUAAAAUGACCCAAAAGAAUUAUUAUGAUUGUAGAUAAUGCUGCAAUUUGCAUGCCUUUCUGCGGCAAAAUUUGCUCUUUCUGUUACAGUUUUUACCAUUUUGAUAGUGGAGUAAAGUGGAAAAAGGAAAAAAGUAGAGCACUAAUAAGAGGUUGUAGACCAAAACUUGUUUAAGUAUCUAUUCUAGUGGUCCACUGAAUUUGGUUUGGCUAAGUGGUUGAAAACGUGGCUGUAAUUAGACCUAAUGAUUGAUCACAACUGCUGAAUUUUGGUAGCUUUGAGUCCAUAUAUAUAUAUAUAUCACCUCUUAUUUUCAGUUUGUUGUAAUGUGCAUAAGCAUUUUAUUGUGGAACAAUUUUGCAUUAAAGUCAGUUUGCUUGAAAUAUGCAAGCAUUAUGCUGAUUUGCUAUUAAUUUUGGUACCUCAGGCAACUGGGUCCAGUUUAGGCCGGUGCGGACACAAUGUUGAUGUAGACCCUAGUCCCAGCAAUGUAAAAAUGCUGAUAGGGGCAGCUGAGGAAAUGUUGAAGCAGAAAAAUGUUGAGUCGGUGCUCUUUGGAGGUAAAAGGAUUGCAGAGCAAAGCAAUUUCGAGAAACUCGAUUGGUUUGCCAAUGAACUGGUGCUUGAGCAUGAGAGGAGAAGUUGCAGAAUAGCUCCCACUGUUGCUUUCAAGCAGGCCACUUCCAAGUCCUUAUAGACUUAAUUAGAAAAGGUAUUCAAUUGUUACUAUACAUUUUCAUGCAUCCAUUUUAUCUAAAGAAAGCAUCAUAGUGGACCCUAAUUGAGUGGAAAUAAUUAAAAUGUAGACCCUUCCGUAUGACCAUGAGAUGGAGUCCUUCAAAGGAUAUUUUUCAUUUUUUAAGUACUAAAAUUUUUGAAGACUUGAUUUUUCUCAUCCUUCUUGGAAAUCCAACUUCAUUUUUUCAACUACGAAAUGUCUCUAUCAAUUGAAAUAAAUUUCACCUAAAAAAGGAAAUGAGCAGAUAAAUAACAUGCAUAUUCGAUCUUUCAUUCUUCAUUUUGGUAUAUCCAGAAUGCAUUCCACCUGUGUAAACCUUGCUAUUGUCAAACUAAACUUUUCUUUCUGCCCAAUUUUGAUGACUUUGUAUAAUCACGACUCACAAGCAGGUAUUAGAAUUGUCAGUUAGUGUUAUGGUGACCCAUCGUGGGCUCGCCUUGUCUUUUCAUUUUUCUAUUCAAGAGAUGAAACCUUGCAACACCUUGCGGUUGCUGCUGCUGUUGUUAAGUAACAAAAAACAAUUAGGCAAUUCGUGAAAUAGUUCAUGUGGGGAAGAUUGCCCCCAAGGUUGUCGGUUUACCGACACUAAUUCAUGAGACCCUCCCCUCAAAAGGGUGUUUUGGUCAUUCAACACAGAAUCAAAUCAUUUAAGGGUGGCCAAAAGGCAUCUCCGUGGUCCGGAAUAAUGUUUUUCUAUUAUCAUAUCUGGUUGGACCUUUGAACUUGAGACCAUCAGGUGAAGAAGAAGGGCAUUAAUGUAAUAACAAAUCGACACAUAAAUUUCUCUUUCAGGUCCUUAAAACGUAUCCAUCAUGAUUUAGGCAGGUGUCCUUGUUUCUUCUUGUUCUCUGUACUUCUUUACUUCAUAUUGUUCCUUCAAAGAUUAAAAGUUUGGCUUAUUUUAAUUGGGUGCUUAAUUAAAAUAUUUUAUUUACACUUAGCUUGUGAUUCCUCCAUGCGUCUCAUUGGUGUCUUAUUCUUAAUUCUUGCUUAAGGUAGAGGAGAAGGAGAUUGUCCCUUUCAUGAAUUCUCUUUUAAACAGCCGAGCAAAAAAGCAACCCCUUGCUCGUACUACAUUCCAAUCUUAUUUUUGUGGGCCAGCAUGUGUUCAAAAUCAUCAGCUUAUAUUUCAUGUCUGCAUUUGAUAUUAUUAUUCAUUAUUAAGUCCCCUGUUUCUUCUGAUUAUGAAUUUUGCAGGGUGAAAAAAAUAUAUUUAAAAGAAGAAAAAAGAAAGAAAGAAAAGAAAUGAAGAAGAAAAGGUGAAGUGCGAUGGCAGCAGCUUUUACUUUUUGGAAGUGAAUGAAUGAAUAUAGGCAAAGAAAAGAAGAGGAGCUCCGAGAAUUGAGUGAAAAAGACUAAUAGUGUAAAAACUAAAGAAGUGUGAGAAAGGAAGAUCUGAGUGGGAUAUUUUGCCUGGUAGAGGACAGGCAUUGUGGCGUCCACUUUGCCUUUUGCCUCUGAUAAGUAACCAAGCAAAAGCUAGUGCUACCUCAGCUUUUUCAAGGUCAAACUUAUGCAACAAAUCUGGAGUGACCCUUUUCAUUUUAAAAAAUGAAAAUAUUUUUAGGGUUGGGGGGAACAAACUGUUAUUAUAUUGUUUAUUUUCAUCUUCAUGUAAGGGUUCGUGCUGGGGCUAAUAUCUUUUGAUCAAAACCCAGAGAAAAGUAUAGUGUUUUUUUUUUUUUUUUCUUUUUCUUUUUCCCCCUUUUUCCUUUUCUUUUUUUGGGUUUAAUUUUAGGAAGUGUAGUAGUUUAAGGAACUGACCAUGUAUUGGUUACGAGGAUAUGUGGGAUUGAUGUAUUUUUAAUUUACGUUAUUUAAUUUGUGUGAACCCAAUACCCAAGUUAUUACUCUGGAUUGGGGGUCCUCUAAUCUCUAGGUGAAUUGAAAAUAGUCAUGGUCUUAUGAUUGCUUAAAGCAAGAAAAUUGUUGAACUUUUUUGUAAAUCAUUUCUAAUAUCAAAAGGAGUGGUUGUGGUCCUUGUGGUUAGUGGAUAAUAUAUACAUGAGUUAGGACCUAAUUAGGGAUCGCAAUUGAAAUUAUUGGAUCCAAUUGUUCUUAAAAUUUGCACAUGGUGGGUUCUACUAUGUGUGGAUUUUAAAAUUGGAAAAAAAAAGUCAUUGAAUUCAUUAGAUUUGAAUCAAAUAGCAUAAAUUAGAAUUCGAGAUCCCUUAUGCAUAUACAAUGGUGCUCGUAUGCAGUAUGCAGACAUCUACAAAAAAAAAAAAAAAUACCGACAAAACUAAAAGAUAAGAAAAAUAUGGAUUUCAACUCAUUAUUUUUUUGGUCUUUUAAUGUAUUGAAAUUUACUUUUUUUAAUUUUUUAACUUUUUCAUGUGGACUUCUAUACUUAAACAUAUAUUUUCUUUUUGAGUAAUAUUUUAAUAUCUCAUAUUUUAUUAAAAUAAGAGAUCCCCUAAAAAUAACAAAAAUAUACACUCUAAUAUACUAUAAAAUUAUAUAUAUAUAUAUAUAUAUAUACCUUCUAAUUUAACUCAUCUCUUAUUAGAAAAUUACACAUUCUUUCUUUAUUUGGGUGUUGUGUGUGUUAACAUGCACUGUUUAUCUCUUAUCGACUCACUAUAUAAAUAAGGAAAUGAUUAUAAUUUAUAGAGGUCGGUAAUGGAUGUUGAAGAAUGAUGCAUGCGUUGCUAGGGUUUGAAAAUUCUUCAUGGAAUAUGCGCAUGCUUUGUCUUUGCCUACCUUUUUAGGGCAACUUAAUGCGAUAUCUCUUUCUCAUUUCAUUAUUCUUCAUACGCCAGCAAUAUAUAUAUAUAUAUAUUGUUGUGGUUCCCGUGUGGAGCACUAGUCUUUUAGAUGAAGACCAGUGAUCUAAUAAUAAUCAAUAAAUGAUAAAUACGAAAUUAAUCGGGAUCGAAAAUAUUUUGUAUCCAGUUGAUGGUGACACAAAAACACUCGGUCUUAGCCCAUCUAGAAGCCAAUGACCACUCGAAUGAUGUCAGUCGUAGCAUCAAAAGGAUAGCCCGUCGGUGUAAUAAUUUAGUUGGCCGUGAAUGCGUUUUGCAUUUGUGAUGAUCUGGGUUUAAUAAUAAGAUAAAAAAUAAUAAUUAGGAGCUCUUUGGUUGAGUGAAGCCUUUUUGUUCCUAUCCAAACAUUGUAAAAAAGAAAUAAAUAAUAUCAAACGUUAAGUAGUUUACUACAUUAGUAAAAUUGAGAGUUUGAACUCUUCCGGUGUGAAAUGCAUUUGUGGGAAUAUGUUUUUAUUUUUAUGUGGGAGUAAACAUUUCUUUUAUGGUAGUAGAUUUUUGAGUUGAACUUCAUCUAAAUUGCCUCGAAUGAAAGUUCCGUGGACUCUCAAUUUUGAUUUUAUUUAUCAAUACAACCAAAACUCUGAGAAAAGAAAAAUUAUUUGGGAAGCAUCAAGGAGUUGGUGGUGCUGACCCCCACAUAGAGUUAACAAAAUUAUAAUCUCAAUUAUGAAAACGUCCACGGGUGUCGUCAAAUCAAUCAAAAAUCCAAUUUGCCCCAAAAAUCUUGUCAACAAAAAAAUCAAGACACCCACUUAGCUCAAUUAGAGACAAAUUACCCCGCGUAAUAAGGCUUUUAUCAAAAUUUAGUAAUUUACUUACACCCACCGAGUUCUGUAAUUCGUGCAUGAAAACAUUCAAAUUUACUCCCUACUUUAAUGACAAAGCUAGUGUGAAGACUUAUUACAAAGUGCUUUUACCUAUGAAUUUAUGCCAACUUUUUUUUUUGGGGACAUUUUUUUGAUAUUGCAAUCUUAUUUAUGUCAAAACCCUAUCUAGCUAUGUCCUAGUCUUUGAUCCUUUCCGUCCUAUCCCACCAAAAAUUUCCUUUAACCCUUUUUUGUUACCUUUUUUUUUUUAUCCUUUACGUUGUUGACCACAAAAAGUAUUACAUGUUUUAAUCAAUAUAGAUGACUAGAUGUGGUGAAUAAUAAGGGCUAGCAAUUAAGCAAGCUAAUUAAUUAACUGCCUUAUGAUCUUUAGUGCUAAACAAAAAUAGUCUUUCUACUAAAUUUGAUCAAUCCUACUCGCAUAUAAAGUGGCCAAUAAGUGCUAAAAAUACUACUAAUAUUAUUAUUCACGUCACAUGGAGAAAAAAGUAUGUAUAAUUAAUGUCUUCAUUCGUGUCUGUCGGUGGUUAUAUGAUAAUAUUGCUUAACCAAAUUUUGAUUAAGCAAAGAAACUAAAUAAAAGGUUUCCGAGUUAUUUGAUUGAAUAAAAUAAUUAGCUAUUUACGUGCUUGCACCAAUAAUAUCAAAAUGAAGCGAUAUGGACCGUCUAGUUUAGAUGAUGAGGUGAUAGCAUUAAUUAUAUUAUUUUGCUAAAAGUUAUUUUUCGGUUGCUAAGUCCUUGUUAAAUCAAAUUUAUAAUAUAUGUAAAGGGUAUGUUCCUUUCUGUCAGCUACUCAGCUUCUCUUGAGUCAAUUCAAUUAUGGAAUUAUUGGACACUUAUCAUCAUAUACACACCCUACAAGUUUUGUUUCUUUGUAAUAUCAACGUUUGGUAGCCCAUUCUUCUACUGUUAUUGUUGUCCUCUCCUGAUAAUCAUCUAAUUAUUAUUAUAAAUUUUCUAAACCUAUUUCUCUUUCUUUCUCAUUUUAUUCCACUCUUAAUAAGUUUCAAUUAUUUUAGUAUACACAUACAAACACCAUAUCGAGUCUAAAUUUAAAUUUUACUUCAAAAUGUAAAUUUGAAACUAAUCACCAAUAUCUGGCUAUAAAUAUUGUGUAAAUUAGAGCUGGACAAGGCGACUAACUUCAAAGCAACAUUUUAAAUUUUGCAUCAGAACAUGAUAAUUUUCAUAUGUAUACAAGUUAAAUUUAAAAGCUUUAUGCGGUUCACGGGGUUAAAGAUAAACGUCCUUGUUCAUAUUAUAUAGUACGUAUUAUAUCAUUCUUAUUACUAAUUUUUUAGACCUUAAGAAAUAAAAUUAUAUAAAAUGGAAGACAUGCUUUAUCAAUAUUGGAAUCUUACUUUAUGGCUCUCGUUAUCAAAGAGUUUUAGCCUGUUGUAUUAUUAUAGAAUUGGAGACUAUUCUUCUAUCCACACACGUCCUACUAUUACUUUAAUGGAUUAGGAUUGUGAUUUUGCAAAAGUGAUCCAGACAAGACAACUUGUUAAAUAAAAAAAAUAUAUAUAUUAGUGAUAGUUACUCGUACUUUUUGUCGAUUCUCCCCUACUUUCUAGUACUUAAUUUCUUUUAUAUUUCACCAUCUUUAUUAUAUAUAAAAUGUAUAUUUACAUGAUUAGAUUACUAACUGCUAAUUACUAAUUAAUAUCUUCAUAUAUAUAUAAAAAAGAUUUUGAUCUAUUGUACGACUUCGCAUGUGUUAAAACAUGAUUGAGCGCCUACGUGUUAUAGGCCCAAUAAACAUUUAAUCAUGUAUUGACGCACACGACAUCGCACGCAAUAAGAGUGCUCGUGUACUAUAGACUCAACAGACAUCUAAUUAUAUAUUAACACGCACGACAUCACAUACUAUAUUUACCUCUAUAUAUGUAAGUAAAUAAUAAUAAUUAAUUAAAUUAAUUAAAAAAGAUAAGCAACAUAAUAUAGUAUAAAUGCAAAUUGAAUUGUAAAAAAAGAGUAUAAUUUAUAAGUCUAUCUUAAUUUUGAAAAAAAAAACUGGUGGGUUAUUAUUAUUGUUGUUAAGGAAAAAAAAAAGUAAGAGAAAGAGAGAGAAGUAAGAAGAGAAUUAAAAAAAAAAAUCAUCAAUAGAGGAGAAUAAAAGAUUAAGGCAGCAACCACGUAAAGAAUAAUGAAAGUGAGUCUAGUAGUUGGGAAAAUGAUUAAAAGUUAGUUCAGCUUAUAUUAUAUCGUAUGAGACCGAACAAGAUAUAUUAUAAAUAAUGAUAAAGAGGUGAAUUAAUUAAUUUAAAUACUGAAUCAUUCAAUUAAAAGAUGCGAAAUCGAUUAAUCUGAGAAUGAUGGGGGAAAACGAGAAUCACGUGUGCGGUGGUCUUGUAAUUUGCUAUUACGUGCCGUAGUCGGAAACCUUGUGUGUUUGCUUUCAAUUACUAUAUUUUCUAAGAAAUUAAAUGAUAAAAACUUUUUCUUUAAUUUUUUCCUCUUCUUAUAUUAUAACAAUAAGCCCCAAAAAAAAAAAAUGAUUAUGUUUCCAAAAACUUCACUAAGUAGGUUUUAAACAGUUUUAUUCAACUAGCUACCGAUUUAUAUUUUAUUGAUUGAUUUUUCAAUAAUUUUAUUUGAUUGACUAUUAAAAAUAAAAUUUGUACUUUUACCCACCUUACAAAAAGAAUAGCAAAAAAAAAAAAAAUAAUAAUAAUAAAUAAAUUUUGUUUUGCUAAUUUUAAAACAUCAUUAUCUUAGUAAUAGGAGUUCUAAAGCAACCAACAUAAAAGACAGAGCCUCUCAGUAAUUUUGGACUUAUGAACAACUAAAUGUAGGUAUUGGGCACUUUCCAAGAGAGUUUUUGGAUUAUGACAUGUUUCUUUCUAAGGAAGGUUCCUGCCUUUCACCAUUAUUUUGGUACGUAUAGGGAAUUUUUUUUUCAUUUUUUUUUUGUUUCUCCAAUUUUUGUUAAUGUAAGAUUAUAAUAUGUAACAUGAAAUACUACAAAUUUUCAGCAUAUAGGUCAAUGUUAACAGAAUGAAAAACAAAAAUAUUGCUUCACUUACGAGCUCUUCAAUUUUGAUUCAAUUGAUAUGAUAAAACUCCAUUCUGAUUUUUUUUUUUUUUUGGGUUAAAUAUUCAAAUAUUUGUGUGCUAUAUACAGAACGAAAACCAAAAAGGGUAUAAUCGAGAGCUCUAAAAUUUUCAAUAGAAUGUGAGAGGCAGAGGCUGUUAUUAGCAUACAGCUGUUGUACUGUAUGAUUAUGAUAUUACUUGAUGGACAGAUGUUGCAACAUCGUACGACCAAUCUUUAAAGAAAAGUUAACCACAGCUAGAGAUGCUAAUGCUUAUGAAAUUGAAAGAUUAGAUGUUGGACCAAGACAAUUAACUGAAAACAAGUCAAAUUUUUAUGACAAGAAGCUAAGCCUAAGAGGGGGGAUGUAUGUUAUAGGUCAAAGUAUUAGGGCGGGCGGCAGGUUUAAAGUAGAUGGAAGACAGAUAAAUUCGGUUUAAUGUAUAGCAGCAAAAGUUUGACCAUUUUUUACACCUCCGGCAUCCAAGCUGAGCAGUAGCUACUUUUGUCUGCGUUUUAACAGAAUUUUUUUUUUUUUUAUUACAUGAGAUUAUUAUUUAGAUUAUAACUCAUAUUAUAUGAGACUAUAAUUAAUAUUUAUAAAUCAAACUAUUAUUGAGAUCAACUUACAUCAAUGCUAAUGGAGUUCUACCUAGAUUUUAACUCUCACAAAUAUUCGAGAGAUGUCUACUCCUCACUUAUGAGUAAGAGAGAAGACUAUAUUCACUCAAUUAAUUGAGAAAAAAAUACCCCUAUAAUACUUUUGUGGAGGUUCGAACUGCUGCCCUCCAAGUCUGGCCAUUCGGACUGAGCCGAGUGGUUUAACAGAAAACUAGUUUUUUUUUUUAUUACAUGAGACUGUUGCUCAGAUUACAACUCAUAUUACAUGAGACUAUAACUGAUAUUUAUAAAUCAGACAAUUAUUGGGACCAACUUACAUCAAUGCUAAUGAAGCUCUGCUCAGAUUUUAACCCUCACAAAUAUUCGAAGGAUGUCUACUCCUCACUCAUGGAUAAAAGAGAAGACUACCUUCACUCAAAUUAAUUAAAAAAAAAAUAUUUCCAUAAUAUUUUUGUAGGAAUUCAAACUACUACCCUCUAAUUUGAAGUAGAGGACAGCAGCCGUGGCCACUCGGGCUGAGCCGAGUGGUUUAACAUAAAACUAGUUGAAAGAGAAGGAAAGAGAUUUGAAUACUCAGCACAGCAAAAGUUGUUGAACAAGUGCUGCCAAAUUUUUUCUUUGACAGGAAAUGGAACAUAUGAUGUAACAAGUGAUUUUGUCAGAGACAAAACUGUCAUCUACUUGAGCACAAGAAGUUCAAAACAGUUGGAGGUUUGGAAUUUCAUCCAAAUUAUGAGUUCAUGUCUUCUUCAUUUUCACUUUUUUUUUUUUUCUUUUGUCCAAAUUGUAAUUAUCUAUUGAUAUAUAGUAAUUUCAAAUUUAUUGGGAGUUUAAAUACGUAGAUUUUAUAGUAUAUAUAGCAUAAAAAUCUGUCGAGCAUUAGUUUAAAAAAAAAAAAAAUUUACUUUCGCAGUUAAUCUGAGAAAUAUUUACUCAACUAAAAUUUAGGAAAAGAAGUCCAUGUAAGAACUUGGACGCCCAAUUCUAGUAAUUUGGCCCUUAACGAUUAAAGGAAAGUUCACGUUCAGAAGCAUUGGGCUGGAUUUUAACAAAAAACUAAGUAGAGUAAUCUUAAAUGCACUACUUGAUAUUUCUCAGUACACCCAGCUUGAGAAAUUGGGUGAAAUCAAAUAAGAGUCCUAUAUAAUGCUGUAACUUUUUUUGCAGUGUUAAUAAUGUAAGAAAUAUGUACCGUUCGGUUUAAUCAAUGAUACACUUAAUCUUUAUUAAUAAAUUUUUUUAAUCAUUUUAAAAAUAAUAUAGCUAGUAUUUUAAAUUUAAAAAUAAAAAUAAUAAGAGACACGAUAACAUACAACAUCUCAAGUUCUUUUAUUUGAAAUUGAGUUCUUGACAAAUUCUUCUAUUGAAUUCUUGACACAUUAAGUAAGUUUCGUUGCAUAAUGUUUAUAUGUGCAUCUUCAUUUAGAUAAAGAUAGUGUAUUCAAAUAUAAUUGAAAUAUAAAGUGAUUUUUGAAAGUUAAGAGUCUCAAUUAAGCUGCAAUUAGUCAUUCACCAUGCUUUCACAACAAGAAGAGAUCUAUUUAAAGGUUUGUAUAACAAGAGACCUAUUUCAAAGUUUGCACAAUAAGGUAUCUAUUCUAACAAUCGAAGAGGAACAAUGGAUUUGAUCCCAGCAAGCAAAAGAAAUCUUGUGUCAAUGUCAUUGUCAUACGACCUUAGCAGAUUUUCUCUCAGUUGCCGAAAUUUAAGUAAUUUACUUGUAUAUUAUUCUAAAUGCAUUGCUAGAUAUUUGAUUGGAUGUAAUUAGUUAACUCUCUUUGGAUUAAUAAUAUUUAUAUUAGCAAUUAUUUGGUUACUGUAUUUAUUAGAUGAUAAGAAAUUUUUAAAUUGAUGAAACUAUACUAAUAAAAAGUGGAUGCACGCAAACUGGAUAAAGAAAUUAGAACUUUUUAAUUAAUUAAUUAUCAUUAUAUUGGAUGGAUGACUAAGAUUAAAACACUUAAAUUUGAGGGUCCACAAUAAUCCCACCAUCAAUACUAUAAAAAUACAUACCGCAUCAAAGAGAAAUCUAGAGAGUAAUUAAGAAAUCUCUAUCAAAAAGAAAAAAAAAAAAAGAAAUCAGUAAUUAUCAAGUUUCAGAUAAGCUGGUGUUGUUACUCAAAAUUAUUUUUGCCGAAUCAUAAUGCCCAAUGAAAAUUUCGAAAUCAAUGAUCCGCAAUAACUUGAUUCCGAAGAAAUAAUGGCAAAUAUUAUUGCUUCUACAAAAUAAUUUAUUGUGUAUUUUUAUGUUACAACAAAACGCAAAGGAAUCCGGGGAUUGUAACAUCCUAAUUAAUCAUAAAUUACAACGAAAACACUCUUUACCGGAAAUGAAAAAAAGAAGGUAAUGAACAUUUUGGAUUCGCAAUGCCAAAGUGCCUCACAUUAACUCGAAAAAAACCUCUAAUCAAGGAUAGUGGCAAUGAUGCUUAGCUUAGCUGCUUCAUUACCUUUCACAUUUGAAAGUUGGCUGGCUCAAGCUCUGGCAACUUCAUUGUUCCUUGCAAAUCCGGAUUGAUCGGAAACAGAUGACAUUGCGCAUGCUGUGCCAUCAAUUGGUCCAUGAGCACCAAAGCUACCAUGGCUUCGACCAUUGGUACCGCUGCCACAGCAAAGCCACAAAGACACCUGAGUGAGAUUUCUUUUUCCAUUUCGUACAAACUUACCAUUUUAAUUUCCAUAAAACAUGAGAUCGGGUGACAUUUAAAAACACUUCUAUUACACUAUACAAUAUUUACUGCCAUCUCAAAGGAAACCAGAUAACAAUUCUCAAGGAUUUGGGAAACCAUAAGAAAUUGGGAGAACCAUUGAGGAAAUAUACUGUCGUCACUUGAUUUGGUGGAUAAUAUAGGAAAUUGGAAGAACCAUUGAGGAAAAAUUUUUGAUAUCAAGAGAGGACUACAUAAGAAAUUAAGUGUAGAUCUACCAAACAAGUACAUACCUCGUGGGACAACACAAGGAUCAUGACGACCACGGGCUAUAAGUUCUGUCUCUUUCUUCUCUCUUGUCACUGUAUUCUGUUUUCUCUGCACAAGUAUCACAAAUCAUAUAAACUUUUAAGGAUGAAUGUUUCAAGAAUCUAAUAACAAGUGCUUUAAACGGGCUUAUAUAAAUGGGAAACAGGCAAAUAUCUUAAGCUAUGUGCAAAAUAGAAAGUUAAGAAGUGCAAGCCGUGCGGUAAAUUUUACUGACACAGCAGGAAAGUAUGAACAAGGCACAUAGACAAUUUUUUGACUCCACAAAAGAAGUAUAUAUGACAACAACAAUUUCAGAUGUGAUAUGAAAAGUGGAUAUGUAGGUACAAGAGCACUAGCAGCACCUCUUUUACUAAUACCCCAUAUGGAAGAUUUUGUUCAAAAUGUCGAAUUAAUAAUAUAGGAAGCAACAAUAAGAGCUGCAGAAACUAGGACAAGAAUUCAUGGCACAAGAAUCAUAAUCAAAGGAACUAUCUAUCUGAUUAAGAAAUUACAACCAUAUGGCAAUCAUAGUUAAAGGAUUAAGAUGGAUAAGCAAGAAAAAGCACUCUUGACUGCAUGUCAACAAGGUGGUGUUCAUAAUGUUAUUAAUAACGAAAAAAUGACACCAUUGGCUUUCUACGACAAACAUAUAUCAAGAUUAAGGUUCAUGACUUGCAGUUCCUUAAUAGUGUUGCCAAGAAAAUGUCAAGAACAAAGACGGAUAUGAAAGAUAUGUGGUAAUGAAAAUAUCAAGCAACCAUAUAGAGCAUUAACGAGUAGGCAAAAGCACCAACAGCGCAAAAGAAGGCUUGCUGCAGAUCCAGAGCAACAGUAUAAAACACAGGCUAUACAUGACUAUAGGCAAUGUGGUGCCAACAUGAGAGUUAGUCUUUAUUGAGAGAGGCAGAGAGAUCAAACUUACUCCAAUUGUAGAUGUUGGCUUGAAAGCUAUCCUCAUGUUUAUGAUUUCCCCAUUCGAUAUUCCUCCCUGCAAGCCAACAUAAAAAUCUUGCUCGGUAUAACACAUUUCUAACAUUUUACUUCCGAGAUGAGAGAAACAAAUCACUUUUAGUAAACACAUACCUGAAUCCCACCGGACCGAUUUGUUCUUGUCCUGAUAUUUCCAAAUUCAUCCGUGUAGAAUUCAUCAUUAUGUUCACUACCAGUCAAAAAAGUACCUGCAAAGAUUUUCAUCAAAAUUUCAUUAAAAAGAAAAUGCAUGCAUGUAAUUGCAUUUCAAGUAAUCAUUUUCCUGCCAGUCAGCUCAAUUUAAAAAAGAAGGCCAAUAAAUACAAAGUAGCAAAUAAAUUCUCAACCUGCAAACCCACUGCCAACUUCAAAGCCCUUAGUAGCAGGUAACGACAUCAUGGCUUUAGCUAGUUCGGCUUCAAGUUUGUCAAAAACUGGUGAACCAAGUCCCUGGCAUACAAUUAUAGAAGUACUUCAACCCUCAGCAGAACAUCCACAGAAGGUAUAAAAGCCACAAAAUGAAGAACUUUCAAACUGGCAACAAUUGAGGUAUACAUUGACAUAUGCAUAAUAAUCUGUCCAUGAAAACAUGGACAUAAUCAUACAAAGUGCAUGCAACCAUUUGCAAAGAGUGUGUACGUGUGAGUGAGAGAGCUAGAUAGAGCAUACACGAGGGCAAUUCCUAACAAUGCAUGUAACAACACCACCAACAGAAUCCCCUCUCACUCGGACAGCAUCAAUUGCAGCAAUCAUCUUCUCUGCAUACUCAGGAUCCGGACAUCUGACAAUGUUACUCUCUACCUGAUAAGGAACAUUCAGAAAAUAAUUAGGGUGGUAAGGAACUCAUAACGAAAUGUCAUAAAAGGGAUCCAGAGAAAUGGACAAGAUGCAACAGUUCAAAAUAAGAUAAAUAGUAUCUACCGAAGCCAGCAAAGAACCCAAUGAUAAAGCAAAGCACAUUCCAUGUUAUUUAACACAGCCAACGACAACAACAUAGUCUCGCCAUUCUUUUUUUCUUUCUAUAAGAAACUCAAAAUUAUAUUAAAGGUAAAGAGUCAAUAUAGUGAAGUGGACCAGCAGUCCACCAAGUAAGCGAAAAGCUAAAAUUUUUCUGUGCUAUAAAAUAUACCCUAAUCCUUAGAAACUGAGAUAAACAAAGAUGAAUCUUGGAAGUUGGAAAUCCUAGAAACUGAAGCAAAUGUGAAGGCGGAAGAUGAACUCCCCGCAAUUCUUUAGCAUAUCCAAAUUUUUCUCCCAGAAAAUAAAAAAUUUAUUUCCUGCCAUAUUAUCGAAAAUAGAGCUGACACUGCUUUCCAGGGAGUUUUAGCCUUUAUUCCUUUACGAAAAUUAAAGGAAUUUUCCAUAAGGAGAGUCACAAGAACAGUCUUACUCUUUUGAAAUCAAGAACUAAAAUAUUUCGACCAAGCUUUUGAGAAGCUAGAAUAAUAAAAAAGCAUACAUGCAAUGAAAUGAGAGAGUACCUGAUACAUGCAUAUAUACCAUUACUCUAAAUAUAUUUCACGCGUGCCUCUCAGCAAUUACAUAUUUACUGCUUUGAAAAUGCAUGUCUUAUGAUUUAAUAUCAGUUAUACCUGAUCGAGUGUCAACAUCUCAUGAUCAACCACGUCCUCCGGAAGCACAACAUUGUGCACUUGAGAGACAUAAGCAAGAAUCUGAAGGCACAAACGUUGAGGGAAAGGUUUAGCAAGAAACCAUGGCUAAUUUCAUCAAUAGCAGAACAGACGUUAUGUCCAAAAAUAUGGUUAAAGUUCUGAUAAAAAAUAUAGAUAAACCUAUGACAAACUCACUAGCCAGCAGAUCCCAAGGUUUUUUUGCCCAACAAAUAGAAAAUUAUAAACUGAAUUAGGAAAUCCGAAUUCCAAAUAGCCAAAUACCAACAUCUAAUUGAGAGGUAAAAUCACCAGUAUGAUAUCUUAACUUAAUGAAACUUCUUCAACUUUGGCAUAUUUUUUAAUUUGAAAAAGGUAUCAAAUGCAAAAAACAAGCAUCUCAGCAGUACUGAACCAACUAGAAUUUUUAUGUAUAAUUCUGGAAUCAUUGCCAACAAAAUUAAAACUAACAACAAGCUCAACCAUCAAGUCAUGAGAAAUAAGACAGACCUCAGUUCCUGCAAAUUGCUUCAGAAUUUUCUUUGCAACAGCUCCUGGUGCAACUCUUCCAAUGGUUUCUCUAGCUGAAGAUCUACCACCACCCUUCAAUUACACACAUUAAAAUCAGAUGAAUCGGGCCAACAAAUUCCAAUUCAUAAAAUUUUAACUUUUCAUCUUAUGAUGACUCUAGAAAUUAGUACCUGUACUGAUCUCACACCAUACUUCAUGUCAUAAGUCGCAUCUGCAUGAGAUGGCCUGUAAGCUACUGACAUUUCACUGUAAUCCUGGAAAUACAAUGACGUGAUUAUUGGCCUUCUACUAUUAAAACAAAAAUUCACAUAUCAACUGAGUGAAGUGUUUCUCAGGCAUACGUGUAGUUCUGUCAUGAACUUCAUAUGCAUUACAAUCAAAUUGUGUCAUCAAAAUUAAAAUGAAUCUCUAGAUUCGCCUAUGGGCACCUAAUCAUUUUCGUAUUUCCAAAAUAACUGCCUUACAGCUACUUUAGCUUGUUUCAUUUAUUAAACAGGGAUAUGAUGGAAAAUCCCAUGAACUACAAGAGACCAGUGAUAUUUUCUUGUUAUACACAAUUUUGAGACCUGAAAUGAAGCCAUCCCAGAAUACUAAGCUAACAUUACAAAUAAAUAAUGCAACUGGAAAAACAUGAAAAUAAAUCCUACAAAAUGAUCUUUGGAAAGCAAUUAACACAGAAAAAAGCUCACAUCAGCCUCUGGCAUAGAAUACUUACAUGUCCUCUCUGAUCAGUAUUAGGUACAAAUACAUGGAUGGGUGUUCCAGUGGUCACCCCUGCAGUAAUUUUUUUUUUCAUAAAACAGUCAAUUUAUAAAAUUGAAAGAAACAAAGUAUUUGCUUCUUUUUAUACAACAGAACAAUAAACAGGCAAAGUAUUUUGAAUAGUCAGACCUUCAGAAACUCCUGAAUAUAUUUUGCAUGUAUCAGUCUCCUUUCUAGGGGUUGUAAUUCGGCUCUGGCCUGGCCUCCUGGACACCACAAUUCUGAACAUUAAUCCUUGUACAAUUUUUUAGGGAAAAUUUUAACAUGAUAGAGAUGAAUGAAACAUGCCACAACAAAUAGGAACACAAAGGUUACAUGUAUUGCACAGUUUAAAUUCUUGACUGCUGGUACGUUAGAUAAUGCACAAUGGAAAAUGAAGCACAAAAGGCAGCAGCGAUGAAGAAAAUGCUACCUUCUGUCAAGGUCAACUUGCAUAUCAGCUUCUGAAAGAGGGAUCCUGGAAGGGCAACCAUCAAUAAUACAACCAACACCACCUCCAUGAGACUCUCCAAAUGUUGUGACACGAAAAUAUGUUCCAAAUGUACUCCCAGCUGCUUUUACUUCUGCAGGUAUCCAAGAUGUGAGGACUUAAAGCAUUUAAAGCCAAUCAUACUCUACGACUCUAAGAACAGAAAUCAAAUUAACUUUGAGACAAGGCUUUCCUUUAUCUUCCACUCGCAUGAACAAAUGACAACAAACAAGUCCACAAAUCCAUGAAUUCAAUUUGUAUAUCUUCUACCAUGGACUGACUGCCACAAGAUAACAACUGUCUUACAUUGUGCUUGGAGAUGUCAGUCCUCAAGUUUCAUAAAGAAAAGGAUCUCUAAUCAGAUCCAAUUCGAAUUCUACAGCUAACAAGGACAUCAUUUAUUGGAAAAAGAUAUAAUAGUGAUUACUGAUCAACAAUAUGCCAACUUGGGGUUCAUCGAAAGCUAUGAGACCAAUAACUCUUAAACAAGAUAUGGUUACUUUUGAUUCCUAUCACAUCCUUCGAAGUUGAUAAUGCUGUAACAAUAACAGAACCAAUACAAAUUUCAUAUAAACAAAUGCAAACUCUAGCUGUAAAUAAAAUUUUCUAAACAAAAUGGAAAAUAUUUCAGCUCAUCAGCAGAAACUUCUAUGAACUUCAAAUAUUCAAACAUCAGUAAUUGGUUAUUGAUACGCAUCAAACUAACAACAUAAGUAAACGAAAAACUGAAAACACAGCAUUCCACAUAAAGAGAGAGAGGCUCAAACUCACGGAGCUUCUUUGGGGUACGAGAGCGGAUCAAGAUUUGGACGUUAGGUGAUGGGGGUUGUCGUCGAAGAUCCGACGGCAGAAGGGAACCCAACGACCCAUCAGUUCUGGGAGCUGCAAGAAACGUUUUUGAUGCAACAGAAGAAGCCAUUGAGAUUGAAAAUGAAGAAAGAUUCGAGCUUUUUGUUAUGUAAUUAUUUUGGAAAGGGUUGGUGGGUGCUGUGGGUUGGCUUGUGAGAUUAGUGAAGUUGGGUCGUUGCUUGCUAGUUGAGUUAAUUAAAAAAAAAUUAAAAAUUGCCGAACUCAACAACCCUUUUUCCCUCUUCUGGUCUUCUUCAUAAUCCAAUCAUUUUUCAUUUUUUAUUUUUUGGGUGGGUGGACUUGGCUGGUAGGUGGUGGGAAAAUUUUAAUAUAUCUAUCGGUAAAUACUAAAUACAAUACAACUCACGUGCGAAAAAAUGAGGCAUAAAGUAAUGUUUUAAUGCCAAAAAAAAAAUAAAGAUUUUUUUUUAUAUUAACUCUUUCAAGCUUUUAUUCAUGAUCUAUAAAAUUAGAGAUUUUUUCACUUUUCAUUUUACAAGACAUUUUUAUAUCUCUUCAUGAGAUAUUGUUGAAAAAAUUAAUUGGAAAGGCUAUGUUUUUGUGAAGAAAGGGCACGGCGGCCCUGAGGCAUUAUUUAGAAAUAGUUCACAGAAAGGGUACUAAGUGAAUAUUUUUAUUUUGUAUGGGUUCAAUCAGCACUCCAGCAGUCAAAGAUUGUGUGCCAAUUACGAUCUCUUAUACUGCGUAUAUGAAAGUGGAGACCAAUAAAAAAUCCAAUGGAAGCCAAGUUGCCAACUAGCCUUUUUUCGUCCCACGUGGACAAUGUAUAGUCUCCAGGUGAAGUUUUAAUGAGUUGACGCUCACGGUAGAGAACAAGACCUUACUAGAACUGGAUCCGUUCUAUUGGUUCAUAUGCAUUCUAUUGGACUUGAACUCUUCGUCAGUUGUUUUCAAAUAUCAAACAAGACUAUCAUUGGAAGAUACUCUAUCUCUGGGCCUCUGGUAGAUGAAUUAUGAUGCUGUGAUUGUGAAGAGUAAGAUGACAAAGAAAAGGAAAAACUUAAUCCCACAUUGAAGCGAGAGAGCCAACAGUAAGCAGCUCCCGCUUACAAAAUGAGACGGCUCUGUUUCGUCUGAUGUCAUAGAGCCGUGUGGUGGGCACAAAGUGAACUAUGCUUUCGCCUUUUACUAAAGAAUACCGUGUGCUCGCCGCCCGCCUAAAGAGGUGUGCGCCUAUUUUUGGAGGACUAUUUCUUCAGAAAUAACCCAAUCGAUUCUAAGUUUAAUUCUUUUCAGGCUUUGUCGAGCCUCUAAUCUGAUUUAAAGACUCAAGACAUUGGAGACUGGAGAGCCUCUAUUCUGAUGUCAUGACUCAUUGCAUCCAAUUGGUAGACGCAAAAUAUAGAACUGGGUAUCAAGAUCUAAUUUUUCAGUUUAUAAAAUGCUCCUUUUCAACCCAAUGGAAACAUGUUUUCCUUUUGCUCGUUUAUGCAAAUGUUAAUUGCAAGUAUUAUAUUUCUCAACACAUUCACUUCAAAAUGUUAAUGAACAUGCCGCCAAGGCGACCGAAAGAUAACAAGCCACUGAAGAAAUCUUUAUCAGAAUUUUCUUUCAAGUUAUCUGUGCACUCUUGCGAGGAGGUUGAAAAAUAGUGUUUUGAUCAUAGAAUAUUAUUUAUGAUGAUGGGGCAGGGGAUUCGUGAAGUUUGGUGACUUUAAAAGUUUCGGUGUUGUUUGACAAUAUUUUGACUUUCCCACAAUUCACUAAGUAUUAGCUGAUCAGAAGACUUCAUCAUAUUAUUUGGUAUAAAGUUGAUUUGUCCUGUCUGAUCUCUGAAAGUGCGUAGUGAAAUUGAUUAAACUCUAACCCGGCACAUGACAACAUCCUUGAACAACUUGAUUUUGGAUUAAAAAUGGAACGAAGUCGGUUGACAACAUCUGUGAAACUUGACAGAAAACACAAAAGAUUAUUAUCUAUUUAGUUUGCUUGAUUACUAAAGAUGAAUCUGUUCGGUCAAAAGACUUUGUGACCAAAUAGACUAAUCCUCUACGCGGAUCAAGUGAGGGGGCCACUAAUGAUCUGUAAGAAUAUAUUAUACACUGUCUGGUAUGCAACAAGGGCACACAAAAUGUUUACACUUGAACUCCCAUCAGCAGAGUUACCGUGAAUCCAGAAUUGAUUGUUCUGUUCGAGUCCUUUUCGGAUUGUUGUGUAGAUUGGUUUCCAGCUGGAAUAAUUUGAGGACUAUUCUUGAUCGAGCCUGUGUUUUAAAAUAUGAAGAAAUUGGUUGAUCUUGAGCCUUUAAUUUCUGGAAAACAGCUUAAAUAUUGCUCUGCAGUUGCAACUUCACCGGGGCCAUCGUUUUCAGAAUGAUUAAACCAUCAAAGUGCCUUUCGCCACAAACACUAAGUUUUUCAAACUUGAUUUCUUUCACUAUCUGUAUCAAUUCCCGAAGGACAAACCCAUGUCAAAUCCUGUGUAGACAGAGCAGGAAUUAAAGGCUUUUAUGGAGCUCACCUUCAAAAGUAUCUUUGAACAGAAAUAUUGUUCAAUGCAUGCCUUUCUGAUAUCUAACAGUGAAAUUCAUUUGCGUUUCGUGACUUCAAAUUUUGCCAACAAUGCACUUCUCGGACUGAACGAGCGGAAAGCACCACAAUCAUGGGAAUGAGCUUGAUGAGCAUAUACGAUAUUUCCCCAUUUCCAACUCAACGAAAGUUGGAACUAGUCCAUGAUAAUUAUUUAUUCUUUUGGGUGAGGAAUUGCGCAAAGCAGCCAGUUGUGCUGCAAAAGCAAGAACAAUAAAACGCUGACGGUGGUCAGUGAUUAAAGAGCAUUUUUAUUUUAGUCUUCUUAAUCUAGUGAACUACAAUACGUAAAAAGUGCAUUCCAGACAUUUGAAAGAGACUGAUUAUUGAGCAUGCACAGAGGCCAGAGGGUGUCGUGGAAGCUGCAAAUAAGUUCAACCCAAGGGAGGCAAAGGGAGCCUAAAUUAAUGACACCUUUUGGCCUUUUAUCCCACAUGGAAAAGUUGAGCAGCAAAAGAAGAAUAUUUAUUAUGUGAUGCACCACCGGCCUGUCACGACCUUACUUGAACAGGAUCUGUUCUAUAGGCUCGUACCUCUGUGUCCUUGAGUUCUAAGGAGACGGGAUAUCAAGUCUGGUGGAUGAAUUAUGAUCGUGUGAUCAGAGCGUGAUUAACGGCCGUCACUGACCCCUGGGUUGCUGAGGCUGUAGAGGAUCGUUCUCAGCUGGGGGUUCCCCUGGCUGGGGUGGUCACACGGUUGUCUGACAGACUCCCCUUUUUGUUUUGCAGAUUCUGAUUAUGAAAUUUUUUUCUGCUCUAGAUUUUCUUCCGUGGCUGCUAUGCUGUGGCAAUUCUAACAAAGAUACAACUAAAUAUGCUGCAUUUGGAGAAGCAAAGUUAUGUUAAAAGAACGUUAACAAAGAAUAUCUUGGAAUCAAAACUCGAAAACUGAAUAUGAUAACAUGUGUAAGUAUUUUGACACGGUCAAAACUCUGAAGUGAUUUCAGAAAAUGGAAAGCAGCAUGUGAUGACUAUCUUUCUCUUGAGAAAAGCAGUGAAGUCGGUUAAGUUCAUCAACGAAUUAUCUAACUCGGAGUUGUAUUGCGAAUAAUUGUUUCUAUUCUAACAAAGAAGUACGAAGUGCAGAUCCUUCUGUUGUCAAUUGUCAAGGGUAUUAAACCUAAUGAAUAAAACUGGAAAAAUCACAAAAAUUCAAAGAAAGUGGAUGGCAAGGAGGAGUAUCAAAUCCCAUAUUGAAAGCGAGAGAGCUUGCGGUAAGUAGCUCCCCCUUACAAAAUGAAAUGCUUCUUCGCUGUUUAAUUUCACGGAGCCGUGCGGUGAGCACAGUGCGAACUAUUCUUUCGCCUUUUACUAAAGAAUACCGUGUGCUCGCCGCUUAAAGCGGCAUACGCCUAUUUUUGGAGGGGUGUUUCUCAGGAAAAUGCCCCCAUCAACUCUGGAGUUCAAUAUUUUAUAUCAUUUCAGCUAAGUCUGAACUUUUUGUUAUGAAUUUAUUUGAGUCUUGUUUGAUCUUUAUAGAGCUUCUGAGCUCUUAAGCUUUUAAACGUUUGUAGCUGAGUUUCUAGUUUUAAGUGUAUAGGUAAAAUUUAACUAUUAUUAUUAUUAUUAAUAACCAUCAAAAUUAUCAUCGGAUUCUAGAAGUUGCAUCUGUAAACAUCAAUUAGCAUUGGCACUGGUUUUAGGGGCAGUAAUUUUCUUAUUCUUUGAAAGUAAUCAACCAGAAAUAUCUCAUAAUAAAUUAAAGAAAAGACAUACAAAUAAUAACUAAUCAUCGCCAAUCUGGAGAUUGAUGUUGAAUGAAAAAAUCGCAGAGAUAUUUAGGCCAUUGAGCUUAGACAAGAUCCUAGUUCUUCACAGUUGUCGUGUGCUUCGGCAGCAUCGGCACAACAUCAUAGUUUAUUCAUGCAGCCCGUGUCUUCAGGUAAUGGCUCUUUUCCUCUGUUUCAUGCUCAAGCCACUUCACAUUUGCACCGUAGUCCCCACUACUGUCUUCGACAAUGCAUGAACAGAUUCUAGUUAGUAUUUGCAUGACAGAAAAUCAAGGUGAUAUAAGGUGACCUGCAAAAUUCAUUAAUUCAUGCAUACAAAAAAGGACUUGAGAAAUGAAAAUGAAAACAAAAACUCAGUUAUUUGUGAAUCAUCUGAGCUUUUGAGACAAAGAAUAAUAAACCUAUCAGAUGCCUGCAAGUUCACGUCAUUACGGACAAACAUUACUUCAAGAAUAUAUUUGCUCCCAUCCGGCAUUUAUGUGUAGUAAACUCAGAACUGAGAUUUGAAUAUUGGGGGUAGUAACCCAUUCUCAUACAUCGAACUUUUAAAAGCAAUUCUCUUUCCCCGAAAAUUUAAAUUCAUAUACCCCUGCAACCUUUCUCUCAAAGUCAGCCUCAACUUGAAACCGAAGAGCAACCUCCUUUUACGUCUUUUCUUUGGCCCGCUUUAAUCUAGCCAUUUUUGCUGGAAAAAAAAAAAAAAAAAAACAGAAGUAAGCAUCAAGGACUCGAAUGACAAGCGGUGCCAUCAUUAUAGCACUCAACCCAACUAGGUGAUCAGCAGUGCCUGCGAUUGUGCUUGCAAAUCUCUCAAUGGAACCAAGCUUCAAAGAAAGGCUAUGAGUAUAAUCAGCCAUACAUACCACAAGAAACAGUUAUAUCUCUUUCUCUCUUUGAUUUUUUGAGGUCAGGUCAAGACCGAGAGACUCAGUCUCACCUCUUACAACGGGAUUAGUUGGAAUAAGUAUCGGAAACCCUUUCCAACCUCCUCUAAGGCAGGUUUACUCAAUAUCUCAUCUCACAGGAAGGCGGGGUCUCCAUUGGAAAAGAAAGAUCUGUAUUUCUCCUUAAGAGAAGGAAAAUUGAUAGUAGACAGAUCUUAAGAGGCAAACAAACGAACUAACAAUGAGUGUAAUAUUCAUCACAAAACCCUACAGCCAUUAUCAUUUUGUACAAAGCAACUGACAAACAUGAUUUUCAGCAACAGCAAGUCUGUUAAGUACAAUAAUAGUAUCAAAAAUAACAAUUAAGAUGAAAAAGAAGUACAGACAUCUUACAUUUUUGAAAAAGGAUGAUAAAAUAGAAAACAAGAAGAGAGGCUUGCUGUUUCUGGCAGUAUUGUCAAUUUGCUGAGCUUCUUGUUCUGUAGCCAGCAACAGUUGAAUUCCAUUCUGUACCCUGCUGGCUUCCAUACUUUAUAUAAUUUCUUAAAUUAAAAAAAUUGAGAUUUUUUUAAUGAAAUUAAUUUUGGGAUCGUAUUUUUAUUACAAUUUAAAAUAAAUAUGAUUUUCUUAAUUGAAGUUCAGAAAUUGUUAAAUUCUUCGCCAAUAUUUUAGUCUUCUUUUUUUCUAGUUAAUGAGUAUGCAAUGUCAAGUAUUUGGUUAUUCUUUUUUUUUUUUCCGUCUACUGGGAGCAAAACAUAUUCUAUUCCAUUAACGAACAUCACCCUAAUGGUUGCUAUAAGGAUGUUUUCAGCUUGAGAGGUAUUUUUGUCAUUUUAUUAUUAUACUAACCAUCAGUGGAUGGAAAUACAAACGGCGGGAGAGACUUUGUAAUUACGGUCAUAUUUUUUAUCUAGGUGUUAAUACACCAAAACUCAAGGGAGGUUUCUAAAAAUUACCCCAGCAACCACUACAAAUCUCAUUAAGCGCCAGAAUCUAACUCAACGGCAGGGCGCGAACCAUCACCGCCCUUGGUAGCGCGUGAGGCUCUUUCUCUCAGCCACUCCACCAUCUCUCCAAAAACCAACUCAAUAUUCUCCUCAGGUUCGCCCAAUCAGCUGAUGCCACAUGCCUGGAUAAAUCCUUAGCGUCUUAUCCUUACUGCCCGCACGUUUAUACAACUCCUCAACGCAAGCGGGUAAAUCCGGCGCGUGUCUCGGGAUGCCGUGUCUCAUGUUAUACUAAUUAUUUAGGAUGAAAUUUAAAAUAAAAUAAAGUUGGAUGCUUACUCUUGCAUAAAACCUUCUGUUUUUUUUUGGCAGAGUUAUUUUGAAACUAAUAAUUUAAUUUAUGAAUAUAUUUUUGUUUAUCAAUAAUAACAUUUAAUUUGCAACUGUUGGGAUCCCUAUUCCCUAGUGUUGGCUCAAGGAGAGUUUGGCAACAACCAUUGCGACAAAUCUAUGACAAAUUUUAUCGCGACAAUUACUACAAUUACUUGUUAAUUGAUUUCUUUGCACUUAAUGUACAAUACAUAUCAUAUUAUAUCAAUUUUAAAGCUAUAUAUUAAGAAUUCUAACAUAAUCAAAUGAAGACAGGAGCAAUUAAUUGACAAUCAACGCCAAUUGGAAAAGCUAAACCUAUGUAAGGAAUUUGUUGAGUAUCAGUAACAUAGUAUAAAUAUGGUAAAGUUAUGAUGAGAUAUUUGUGACAAAAAAAUAUGUCAAUAUUCAAUUAUUAAAUACAAUUUAUGACUAUAUUUGGUAUUGAGCUGUUAUGAUAUAAAAAAAUGAUAAAAUAUGGUAAUAUGUAAUAAUUUUGAAAGUUAUUAUAACUUUUUAUUAUAUAUAUAAAAUAAACUUAUAUAACUUUUUAUUAUAUAUAUAAAAUAAACUUAAUUUUUAUAUUAUAGCAGUGAGUAUUUAUUAAGCAUGUUAGAGUUAGAAUUUAAAAGCUAUGGUUUCCAACAAUAAUUAAGCAGGGCGAAUAUCUAAAAACAAGUCUAAUAGAAUUUUUUUUUUUUUUUAGAAAAUAAAAAAUGCAUGUGAUAUGUAAUUUUUAAGGAUUUGAAGUUACAGCAGCAGAGGAAACAAAAGAAUUUAAAAAAGAGAAUUGCUUUAUGAAAUAACUUGUUUGCAUCCUUUAUUCAAACAGCUUUAGGCUUUUUAUAAGAGCCAAUUGGAAACACGCAAUCUACACUAGUAACUGCACUUGGAACAACAAAAGACACCCUAGACAAUAACACAUGAAAUACGAGAAAUAAUAGAAAAUAUGGGUAAUAGACCACGUGUCAAGCACCCAUUUAUUUCAAAGCUCUUAUUACUAAGUCCUAGACUACUCUUCUCAAGCACACGGCUAUCAGGUACGUGGGAAGCUUGUUAAAUGCAUGAGUUCUUGCUCGUCUUUGGGAGACAUAUCAGCAUGCUUGGAAAGAGAUACACGCAAGACAAUCAACACAAGAUUUGCUUUAUUUCUAGGAUGCAUGGGCAAUGCACUCUACUUAUAGAACUCCAUAACCCAGAAAUUACCAAUAGCACGUUCACAACUGAUCCCACUAAAACCAGCGGCAGUAGCCAGGGUCAUGAAUUCAUGCCUUGUUCUCUCCUUUCCACCGGGACUUUGAAUCAUCAUAAGCACGUCAUAAUGGGAAUUUAAUUUUGAUUCAAUGCUUGUAUUCGGAACUUCAGGAAUCAUUGACUCCACAACGAUUACCUUUCCAUCUUCUGGAAUGCUUUUGUAGCAAUUCUUCAACAACUUCAAGCAAUGUUCAUCAUUCCAAUCGUGCAGUAUCCACUAUAUAAAUUCUCAUAUUAAUCAAACUAUUGUUUGUAAAAAUUUAAUUUAAGGAACUCCUCGCAUAAUAUGUCCUUAAAUUAUAAUAUGUCCUUAAAUUAAAUUAAAAACUUACCUUCAAAAAAACGGCAUCACCUUUUGGAACACUUUGGAACAUAUCACCCCGUACAUGCUCAAUACCUGUAAAAUAUUAUACAAUUAAGAAAUCAGACAAUUAGAAUUAUGCCACUCUAUUUUCAUUAGCAAGAUGUAUUACGUCAAGAACUGUUUGCUCAAACUUAAUUACUCCAAUGUUAUGGAAGUUCCUGAUAUACAGGCACACACACGGAUGUCCUCAUUUUUUUAUAUACAGAUUUGGGGUUUUACAAGAUUUUCAUAAUAGUAAACCACUGAAGAAUUAUACAAACACAUAUAUAUGAGAGCAGGUUCAAGGGAUUUUUUAAAUACAAUUUUAGAUAUAAAUUUCUAACAAUUAGGUUAAAGUUUAUCACAUGGUUAAUAUUAAAACUGUAUGCAGUUUUAUAAUUCUAAAAAUUAAUUAACUAGACGUAAGUCCCUACGUCAAACAAUAAACAUGAAACACGACGCUCUUUCCUCUCUCUUAUCAUCUUAAUUUUAUUUAAACUAAGUAAUUUCAUUCAAAGAUUGAAAUUACACUUCAUUUCGGAGGAAGAUCUUCCAAUCAAAUUACAGGCAACUUAAAAUUAAAAGCUGCCUUAGCUAACACGAGUAUGCGUGUUUCAGGCUCUUCGGAUGAACUGAAUUCUAAAUCAGCAUUGUCCUUUAUUUCCUCCUCAAUGUCCAACAACACUUAAAAGAUUUCCUUUGCUUGACAUCAUGUUUAGGACAUUCAUAUAUUUCUCUUUUUAACUUAUGUGCUCAUCUCCUUCAAUCCUCCCUCUACUCAUUAUAAAACAUUUUUUUAUUCCGAUGGCUGUUGGAUGGAUGUUACUACUACAAAUUAAAAUAUAAUACUUCCCUAGUUCUCUGUAUGUUUACUUUAGUUAUCCAGUAAAUCGAAACGUGAUUAGAUGGCUAUGCUUUGAUAAUCUUAAAAAAAAAAAAACGUAGAAACGUUUGCCAACAUUUUUUUUUUCCCAAUAUUUACAUUUGGUUUAAUAAACAAAUUUAUGUAGAUAAUAUCUUCUUCUAUGACUACUUAGAUGUGUUCUUCAGUUCAUUGGUAAUUUAGAGAGAGAAAUAAAGGGUAAUACAAAGGUGAGAGAAACGUAAUUUACUUUAACUAUUAAAUUUAAUCAUAUGGCACCUACACAAAUUAACUAGUUUUUUAAAAUAACAAAAUUACCCGUGAGCUUUAAUAUUAAUCCUUGGAUGAACUCUAUUAGAAAGAUUUGUUUCUAAAAGUAUCUUUUUUAAACUUGCCCCCAAAAUAAGGAAUCUUCUAAAAAAAGGAAAAAGAAAACACACAUUUCAAGUAUUAUCUUUAGUUUAUCCUUUAUUUUAAUAAAGUAAGGAACCCUUAUAUAUAUAUAUAUAUAUAUAUAUAUAGUAAUGAUCUAAUCCAGAAUUUUGGGUUUUGUUAAAAACCAAAAAAAUCAUAAUUUUACAUGGUUCAAUAGUUCAUUAUACUAUUAAACCAUAUGACUUAAUAAUUUUUUCGGACUUUAACAAAAUUUGUAUAGAGAGAGAGAGAGAGAGAGUCCUUCUCUAGCAAGGAAAUCUUAACUUUUUUAAAAUGAGGAUGUUACUAAAAUACAAAAAGAAACACAUAUUUCAAUACAUUAGAAACUGUGUUUUUUUAUCUGUUAGCAGCAUUCUCAUUUUAACAAAGUAAAACGCGCGCACACACACACACAGUCCUUCUCUAAGGUGGGUGCCCGUAUUUUCUUUUUAAUGCGGAUAUGCUGUUAAACCGUGUGAUUUAACGACGUUUUCAUUAACUCUGUUAAAUUGCACGGUUUAACAAAGUGUUUGCAUUAAAAAAAAUGAGGGUGCCCGUCCUAGAGAAGUACUAUAUAUAUAUAUGAGAGUUCUUGUACUUUAAUAAAAUGCAAGAAAAUUGUUACGGCAUAUGGUAUGAUAGUGUGAUGUCCCGAUAAGUACUCGUAUAUAUAACAUGAGAUUAAUAAUCAUACGUGGAUGUGGCGAGGCGUGGUCAAUAACAUGAGGCUGGUCGAAAUUGAUGCCCUUAAUAUAGGGGUACUUGGAAGUGAUGGCUUGAAGAGUAACGCCGAGAUUGCCACCAACAUCGACCAGUUGCUUGAUGUUGUCGAAGCCCUUGUAAGAUUCAAGAAUGUUGCUAAGAACCAGAGAGGUAUAGUUAUACAUUGUUGUGUUAAAAAGUUUAUUGAACCUAGGGUCCAAUCCUGCGUACUCAAAUAUACGCAUUCCAUGGGCUCGAUUAAAUGGAAUUCCUCCUUCAAGAAUAGCAUCUUUGAGUUGGGACCUACAAAAAUUCCGAAAAACCAAUUUAUCAUGCAUCGUAUAUAUAAAAGCUCCAUGCAUGCAUGCAUGGUCUAGCUGAUCAUUUACUGAGAAAAAGAGAGAAAUAGAAAUUAAUGAAUUACCAGCUCUCCAGAAGGACCUUGUCCUGAAUGAAUUGUAUUAGGGAGCCUAAUAAGACGCCAUCUUUGUUAGGCACAUAGUAUUUGGAGACAAUAUUCAAACUAUAUAGUCUUCGGGCACAAGAAGUAUCAAGUGAGCAUUCAACAACACUGUAGCUAGCCAGAAGCCUGAGAAUCCGAUCCAGCAUCAUGGGUGCGUCUUUGUUCUUAGUGAGCAACUGGGCUGCAAUAUCUGAAGCAGAGAGCUUUGCACCAGGACCAGCUUUGUCUAUGAUCUCGAAAAUGCCUAGCUCAUACACCGCUUGCAUGGCCAUGGGUAGCACUGUACCCAUCGCCAAUUGAUCAGCAUAUGCAAAGCUUUGGUCUCUUUCUCCAUCAACUAUAGAAUCCAUUUUAAGUUUCUUGAAUUUCUUCUAUGCUUUGCGGGGUUUCUUGUUUGGCCAGGGGGUUAUAUAUAUAGACUUGUUCAUUCAAAACUAUUAGGAGAAGCAUGUCAACCACAUGUUUUCUACUGUAUCAAAUCAUAGUUUGAUGAGGGGCGUCUCUUCCUCUAGGUAAUUUAGGCAAUUGCCUAGGGCCCACUGUAAAUGAAGGUCCCAAAAUUUUCUCCAACAUUAUAACUAUUAAAUUAUUCAUUUAUAUUUAUAUUUAUUAUUCUAUAAUAAUCUUUGUUCAAAUAAAUUAUCAAAUUCCCACAAAAUCUCUUUUUAAUGUUGGAAUAAACAAUUUUAAUUCUAUUUAUUCCCACAAAAUCUCUACUUAGUGUUAUUUCAUUUAAAACUCUAUAAAAGUCACACAUUUGUUAACUUAUUGUCCAUUAAUAUUUUUAUCAAUUAAAAGAAAAAGCACGAGACAUUCAAUACUUCAAUGCAUAAGGAAAAAAAGUUUUAUUUAUUUAUUUUUACUUAAGAGAAAAAUUAACUAUUUCCAUUGAUCAUUGCUGUUUAAAACUUCAAUCCAUCAAAUAUCCAAGUUUUUUCUUCUUAAUUAGUUGUGUUAUUCAAUUGUUAUUGUUUCUUUUUUAAAUAUUGUUGUUGUUUUCUUUUAAUUAUCCAACAUAAUUGUUUGCUUGUUUUCUCUUCUUUCACUAAAAAAGAAAAAAAUGUCUAAUAGAAAAUGUGCAUCAAGAUACAAAAAACUUGGAAAAAAAAGAGAAGAAUGAAAAAAUUAGUUCGAUUUAAAAAAGGAGCUCUUGAUAAGUUUGUCAAAAAUAGUAAAAAAAAAUAUGAAUUAUAGUGAAGAAUUAGUAAUUGACGAAGUUUUUCAAAAUUAAAAUUAAUAAAACUUAUUUAAGAUCAAAUAAGUCAUAAGAAAAGUUAAAUGAUUUAUCUAUAUUGAGAAAAAUAUAUUAGCGAAAUUAGAAUAUAAAAAUUUCAGUAAUAAUUUUGCACCUAAGAAAGUUAGAAAAAUUAAUUUUAAAUAAAUAACUUUUUAGCAAAAUUAAUACAUAUAUUUGACCUUAAAGUUUUUAAAAGGCCUAAUUAAAGUAAUUCGCCUAAGGCCCAAAAUUAGUUGAGCCGCCCAUUCACGGGACAUAUCCAGACAAUAGACAUUAAUGCUGCGUUUACUUUUUGGAUUGGAGUGGGAAUCCUGAGGAGUGAGAAUCCUUGGAUUAGGAGUGUGGAGUGGGAGUGGGAGUAGGGUGUUUACUUAGACUAAAUGAAAGUAUAGAUUGUCAAUCAGAAUCCUAAUUAUUUGUUUACUUUGUCUUGGAUUGGGAGUAAAUUAUUUUAAAUUACAAUUUUAUCCUUAUGUACAGAAUUAUAAUUUGUAAUUAAAAAAUUAAUAAAAAAUAUAUUUGAAAAAUAAAAUAAAUAUUUUAUUAUAUUUAUAAAUUAAUAAUAAUUACUAAUAUUCUUAAUUAUGUAAAUCAUAAUUUUUUAUUAAUUUAAAUUUGAAUUAUGUGAAUAAAAAUUAUUAUUAAUAGCAACACAAAUGAAAUAUUAUUAUUGAUAAUAUAGUACAAAAUUAAUAUUUUUUUAGAAUAAAAUAUUUAUUAUUAUUAAUUAAAUAAUUAAUUAAUAUUUAUUAAAAUUAAUGUUUAAUAUUAUUAAUUUAAAUAUUUAUUUAUUUAUUUUUAUUUUAUUAAAUUUAAUAAAAUAAAUAUGAUAUAAUUAUUAUUUUUAAUAAAUAUGAUAUUAUUUAUUUUAUUAAAUAUUAUUUAUUUAUUUAUUUUUAUAAGGAUAAAAUGGGAAGAGGGGGGAGUAGAUUCCCACUCCCACCUCCCCCCAUGGGAGUGGGAAUCCCACUCCCCACUGCAAAAUUGGGUGGGACCCAUGGAUUCCCACUCCCACUCCCCCUUUUUUUAAGGUAAAUAAACACUGGAGUGGGAGGAAUCCACACUCCUCACUCCCACUCCAACAAGUAAACACAACCUAAGCGAAGACCAAAAUUAUUAUUUAAUGCUAACAUGUUUAAUCCUUUAUUCACAGAUAAUUACGUGAUGCGAAGAGAGCUGUUCUUCCAUAAAAAUUUACGUACGGCUCGUUUUCUUUGGUGAAUUAGUAAUUACUGGAAUUCACGUGCUUGAAAAUCAUGUGUAUACUGGUUGUCAAUUUCAAAAAGUCAGGGCUGCAGCAUGAAAAAGACAAAAGAUGCCAUAAAAUUCUUUUUGGACUCUGAAGGCAUUUGCAAUUACGUGCAGGUGUUAAACACAGAAGAAAUUAAAAAAAGUUAAUCAAAUGAGGCUGCUUAUGAAGGCAUUUGCAAUACGGCUCUUUUUUUACCUUCCUCUGGGGGCUGCUGUCUCCAAAAGCCAAAGUUUAGCUUUCUUUACUUCUUUAAAAUAGGCCCCACCUCUUAAAAUAUUAUUAAUAACCAUCAAAAUUAUCAUCGGAUUCUGGAAGUUGCAUCUGUAAACAUCAAUUAGCAUUGGCACUGGUUUUAGGGGCAGUAAUUUUCUUAUUCAUUGAAAGUAAUCAACCAGAAAUAUCUCAUAAUAAAUUAAAGAAAAGACAUACAAAUAAUAACUAAUCAUCGCCAAUCUGGAGAUUGAUGUUGAAUGAAAAAAUCGCAGAGAUAUUUAGGCCAUUGAGCUUAGACAAGAUCCUAGUUCUUCACAGUUGUCGUGUGCUUCGGCAGCAUCGGCACAACUGUUGGGGAAAAAUUAGGUUUUUAAAUUUUUUAUAAAAUUUUUUGAAGAUCGCUCUCAUAUAAUAUAUAAGAAUUUGUAUUCUAGAAAUCGUACCUUGAAAAUCCGAUUUGGCUUUUUCCGUUGAAGUGAUUUAGGCUCCUAGAUCACGAUCCGCCACCACCACUCCUGUUAGAUCACGAUCCGUCACCACCACGCUUGUUAAAUCACGAACUGUCACUAAUGAUCUUCCAGGUUAUGAUUCAGGUUCGAUCUGCACUCGACGUGUGGGCGCCUUUAUCACUACCAAAGCAACUAGCACGAGAAAAUUUUUCUCUCAAUAAAAUAUAAUUCUUCUGGUAUCAGAGCCAAGGGGAGGAUAGUGUAAUAUAGUUUAGAGACUUUGUGUUUAGAGACUUGUGUUUUAUUUUAAUUCUUGUUUGUAUGGUGAAUCCCUUACUGGUAGUAAGUCCCGCUUUAGGAUAAGACUUUCCGCUUAGAGCAGUAAAACCAUACCUGUAGCCAUACUGACAGGCCUUAGAGUAGAUCAUAGGUUUUUUAUUCAUGGAUUCUCUGCACUGUAGAGCAUCGUCCUUUUCUAGCUCUUCUUCUGGAAGAACUAGCGAUUCAAAGAAUGUUGUGAAUUCUGAAGAAUUUGUUAUCGAAUGCUUCAAUAAAGCAAUUGAUGAUUGGGAAUUACCAAAGGUUAAUAAAGAAAUGAUUUACAAAACAAAAAAGCUUGAUUUUCUAAAAAAUGAUUAUGUUAUAAAGACCGAAGAACGCGACAUAACCCUUUCAAAGCCUUUUGAAACAAUUCAUUUGUUUUCAGAACAAUCUUUAAAGAAAUUAAAAGAUAAACAUUUUAAUUAUAUUCACAUCGGACUAAUACAAGUCGGCAUAAAACCUCUAACAAAAGAAGGUCUUGAUACUUCUAUCCUUAUUGUCCUAAGAGAUGGCCGAUUCAUCUCUUUUGAUGAUUCUUUACUAAGUAGUAUAAAAUCAAGUCUUUGUAAAAGUCCCAGUUCAUUUAAUUGUUAUCCAAACAUAACAAUUUCCUUAAAAGAUAAAAAAAUUUUAAAAAGCAUGAUUUUACAAAUAAAAACUCAUAAUUAUCAUAUGAUUGAGGGAUCUGUCCCAGUAGCUUUGAUUUUUAAAAUCUCGUACAAAGCAAUGAUCUCUGCGUUUAGUACGCAACAUAAAUUCCAGUCAAAAAGAGACGAGACUCUUCUCUUACAGACUGAUCUGUCUAGAGCAAAUACUGUCAUUCCAAAACCAAUACAAUGGAAAGAUAUCAAUCUUCCAGAUGAAUGGAUUCUUGAAGGUGCCACUGCACCAGUGAUUCCGAAACAACUUGAACCAAAUACAGAGUUGCAAAAUGUGACUCAGUAUUUCGAUGGAAAAGUAAAACUGUCCUUUAGGAGAUCUAUAUCUUCUAGAUACUCCGAUAAAGAUUCAUGUUCGAGCAUCCCUUCAUUAGAAAGAAAAUUCUCAAAAAUCCCUUCUGUUAUAAAUCUCCCUUUUCAACAAGAAAAAAGUCAACCUAGGUUCUCUACUUCGGAUAUACCUAGUUCUUCUAUACGUUCAGUUGACUACACUACUAGUGUUCCUCACCCAAUUUACACUAGUAGUCAACAUGAGCAAAAACAGGAAGAAAAGGAACCUUCUCCUCCAACUUCUCCUACAUUUUCUACUGUCACAGAAAAUAUAAUAAAUGUCAUAGAAAAAGACUUUGAACUGGAUAAAACUCUUAUUCACAAUGAUUUUUAUUCAGAUAAUAAUAAAGAAAAAAGACUUUGGUUUUUUAAACAUUUUCUAAAUCAAAGAAAAGAAAUCCAAGAGACAUAUUAUGAAUUUGUGAAUUCGCAUAAAAUUCAUAUAUUGUUUUUUGAUUGGUUUGAGAUAUAUUCUUCCAAUAACAACAUCUCUUAUCCCUUUAAAGAGUCAAACCCUAUUACUGUUAGGAAGAAAACCCCUGAGUGGAAUCUUUCUGAUAGCAAUAGAACCAUAGAAUCUGAACAUCCACCUCUUAGGAGUUUAACUAUUAACCAUGGUGAACCUCCUGUUGAGAUUAGAGCCUCACCUUACAAAAUCCCAAAACCAAAUGAUUCUGAUGCGAAUUUAAGUAGUAUUAUUCAACAUAAUAAUUUCUGUAAUACUAACUUAAAUACUAUAGGAAAACAGUUAACUAGGAUAGAAAGCCAGUUCCAAAAGUCAACCAUAAUUGUUUCUCCUGUUUCAUCAAAAUCGGAUUCUGACAAAAAGCUUAAGGAACCUAUUUUCAAACCUUUCCAGGUUUCGAAAACUAGUCAAAAGCUUGUUCAAGAGUCAAAAUCAGAUUUUGCUAAAGCCAUUAGAGACCAAUUAGAUAGAAUAGAAGCUUCUUCUUCUUCUUCUUCUAAGGUCCAGAUAGCCCCUGAUAGUGCCCAAUUUAGCAAGAUUGGUAUCCUAGAGCAUGACAAUGUUUCUAUAGCCUCUUCAAACAUAGAAGCAUUUAAGGAAGAACCAUCUAAAGCCAACAAAAUCCAUUGGGAUUUAGCCAUACCUACUGUCAAGACCUCACCAGAUCUAGCUAUAGAUAAUAGACCGAGUGCCUUAAAUCAAUCACGAUUUAACGCAUCUUCUGUCUAUGAGUGGAAUAUUGAUGGUAUGUCUGAGUACAACAUCCUAGGAUUGUUGCAACAAAUGACCAUGGCAGCCAAUGGCUAUAAAACUCAGGCGGGAACUUCUGAUAGAGCCAUAGCAGAAAUUCUUGUUGCUGGUUUUACUGGUCAACUUAAAGGUUGGUGGGAUCAUCUCCUCACUAAACAACAACAAUUAGAUAUCCUAAAUUCCAUUCAAUUAGAUGAGGAUAGAACCCCUAUUCUUGAUGAGUUCAAUAGUCCAAUUCAAGAUGCUGUUGCUACCUUGAUUCUGACUAUAUCCCUUCAUUUCAUAGGUGACCCUUCUCACCUUAGGGACAAGAAUGCUGAGUUACUACACAACUUGAGGUGUAGAAAACUUAGUGAAUUCCAGAGCUAUAAAACCACUUUCUUCACCAGACUUUUCCUUAGGGAUGAUGCAAACCAUAUAACUUGGAAGGAGAAAUUCCUUGCAGGUUUACUUACCCUACUAGGAGAAAAGGUUAGGAAUUCCAUUAAGGCCUUUUAUGAUAACCGCAUUCCUUAUGAUGAGCUUACCUAUGGUGAACUUGUCAGUUUUGUCAAUAAGGAAGGUUUAAAGAUUUGUCAAGAUUUGAAGUUACAGAAACGACUAAAAUGGGAGCUGAAGAAGUCUAAGCAAGAAUUAGGCAGUUUCUGUAAACAAUUCAAUUAUGACCCCUUUAAAACUUCUACUUCCAAAGAUUGUAAUGGUAAGUGUUCUACAAAACCUUACAAGAAACAUUACAAAUCAAAUCCCAUAGGAAACCCUUUCGAGACUUUAGAGAACCUUUUUAUAAGAAACCUUCGAGACCUUAUAAGAAGCCCAACUUCUCUAAAAAGAAAGAGUUUAGAACCAAACCAAAAACCCCGUUUAAUUAUAAAGAAGCCACAUGUUACAAAUGUGGAAUGAAAGGCCAUACUGUAAAAUUUUACAGAAUGAACAGAAAGCUCCAUGAGCUUGGCCUUGAUGAAAAAACCCUCUCCAAAGUUGCCUCUUUGCUUAUAGAGUCCUCUGACUCUGAGUCUUCCAUGACGGGAGAUAGUGAACCUCUGCAGGUUGAUGAGUUAAAUGACUCUGAAUCUGUUUCCUCGAGUGAUUCGGACACCAGCAAUUCAGAUUCUUAUUUAAAGAAAAUCAAUGUUUUGACUAAAGAUCAAGAAAUCUUUCUCGAACUUGUUAAACAUAUCUCUGAUCCGAAUCACCAGAAAGAAUACCUUGAUAAACUUUUAAAGACCCUAGAUUCUAAUAAAUCAGAAACUUCUAAAGUUCUAAUUGCUAAAAAGAAUUCUUAUGACCUUACUGAAAUUUUGGACAAAAAGAAAACAAAGAAAACAAUCCCUAAUAUCCAAGAUCUUCAGAAAGAAAUCAAAGAAAUCAAACUACAGAUUAAAGAAUUAAAAGAGAAACAAAAGAAUGAUUCUGAUACUAUUCAACUUCUCUUACAAAAAUAAUUAGAAGAUAAUUCUAAUAAAGAAGUUGAGUCUGAUGGUGAUAAUGAAGAAAACCUUGAAAACAUUGAAUCUAUACCCAAUGAUUUCCUGUUUGUUUUAAAACAAAUCACCACCAGAAAGUAUUUGAUUAAAAUCACUCUAAUUACCCAAUGAAAUUGACACCAUUGCCCUAUUUGACACUGGUGCCGACUUAAAUUGCAUUAAAGAAGAUAUUGUCCCUAAAAAAUUCCAUGAAAAGACAAAUGAGAGACUCUCAGCCGCCAAUAAUUCAAAACUAAAAAUUAAAUCAAAAGUUGAUGCCUCAAUACAUAACAAUGGUUUUGAAUUUAGAACUUCUUUUCUUCUUACAAAUGACAUACAUCAUACUGUCAUUUUAGGAACUCCAUUUAUAAAUCUCAUUACCCCGUAUACUGUCAAUUACGAUAGUAUAUCUUUUAAAGCAAAAUCCAAAAAGCUUGUUUUCCCUUUUAUUGAGAAACCAAAAACAAGAAAUCUAAAUAUUGUUAAAGUUUGUUCUGUUUAUCAGAAUCAAAUCAAUACCAUACUUAAAUCUAAACAGAAUAACUUGUUUUGCUUAAAAAAGGAUUUAAGUCUACAAAGAAUUGAAAGCCAAUUACAAAAUGACUUUAUACAAAAGAAAAUCUCUGAUUUUAAAAAUCUCAUUGAAAAAGAAAUAUGCGCUGAUUUACCAUCUGCUUUUUGGGAAAGAAAACAACAUUUGGUAGAUUUGCCCUAUGACAAUUCUUUUGAUGAAAAACAAAUACCCACUAAAGCUCGUCCAAUCCAAAUGAACAUGAAAUUAGAACAACAUUGUAAAAAUGAGAUAAAAGACUUAGAAACCAAAUGACUCAUUGUAAAGUCCAGAUCCCCAUGGUCUUGUGCCGCUUUUUAUGUUAAUAAAAACUCCGAAAUAGAAAGAGGAACACCGAGACUUGUAAUAAAUUACAAACCCUUGAAUAAAGCAUUAAAAUGGAUUAGGUAUCCUAUACCUAAUAAAAAAGAUUUGCUUCAAAAAUUGUGUUCUGCCUUUAUUUUUUCAAAAUUUGACAUGAAAUCUGGUUUUUGGCAAAUCCAAAUUCACCCUAAAGACCGUUAUAAGACUGCUUUUACUGUUCCUUUUGGACAGUACGAAUGGACUGUAAUGCCAUUUGGAUUAAAAAAUGCACCUUCAGAAUUUCAAAGAAUCAUGAAUGACAUUUAUAAUCUUUAUUCUGAGUUUUGCAUUGUUUACAUAGAUGACGUGUUGAUUUUUUCUCAAACAAUUAAUCAACAUUUCAAGCAUUUAAAAACCUUUUAUCUUGCCACCAGGAAGGCUGGUCUAGCCCUUUCUAGUUCUAAAGUUUCAUUGUUCCAAACAAAAGUUAGAUUCCUUGGUCACUAUAUUUCUAAAGGAACUAUCACCCCUAUUGAACGAUCACUUUUGUUUGCGGAUAAAUUUCCUGAUAAAAUUCUUGAUAAAACACAACUACAAAGAUUUUUAAGAAGUUUAAAUUAUGUUCUUGAUUUCUGUCCUAAUAUUAGCCGGAUGUCUAAACCUUUGCAUGAUAGAUUAAAAAAGAAUUCUGUUGCAUGGACUGAUGAACACACUAAAGCUGUUCGAUUGAUAAAAAAUUCUGUCAAGAAUAUUCAUUGUUUAUUCCUGGCAAAUCCUACAUUACCUAAAAUAGUUGAAACUGAUGCAUCUGAUUUAGGUUAUGGAGGUAUAUUAAAACAAAAAGAAAGUAAUAAAGAACAGAUAGUACAAUAUGUUUCUGCACAUUGGAAUGAUUGCCAGAAAAAUUAUUCUACUAUCAAAAAAAAAAUUCUUUCUAUUAUUUUGUGCAUAUCUAAAUUCCAAAGUGGUUUAUUAAAUAAAAAAUUUUUGCUUAGAAUUGAUUGCAAAGCCGCAAAACAUGUUUUGAAAAAAGAUGUUCAAAAUAUUACUUCAAAACAAAUCUUUGCAAGAUGGCAAGCCAUUUUAAGUGUUUUUGAUUUCGAUAUUGAGUUUAUUAAAGGAGAUACAAAUUCUGUCCCUGAUUUUCUAGCUAGGGAAUUUCUUCAAAACAAAUAAAUGCCGCCCAAAAAGAAAGACAAAGGGAAAGGGAUUCUCAAAGAACAUGUGUCCCAAACACCUUCCAAAGCUUCCCAAACCUCUCCACCUAAAGAAAAAUUACUUUCCUCUGCCAUGCCAAUCAAAUCUUGGAUCGACAUGAUAGAAGAUCAAGAAGCCCAGUCCAAAGCCCUUGCCUCUCAUGAGCAGGUAAAUGAAUGGAUGAAAUCCAUUUCUAAAUCUCCUGAGCUUAUGCUCGCUUUACAGAGUUUUUCUCAAAGCCAAAUUUCUCCUAAAGAAGAUGUUGAAAAAGAAAAAUCUAUUUCCAAAGAAAUUUCAAAACCCUCUUAUCAAAAUGUAGUUGUUUUUGGUGAAAGUUCAUCUUCUCAAAUUGUGCUUUCCCAGCCAAAACUUUCAAAGAAAUCUUCCGAUUGGUUUGAUAAAACCCACUUCCAAAAUAUUUUAUCUAUGGAAGAUGGUUUUUACCAUACUGAUCCUUUCCAAGCUAUUUCAAAGUUUUUCCCUAAAGGCUGGUUUUUCAAACCAUGGGAUUUGACAAAACCCCAGUCUUAUUAUCAAAGCAUUUUAGAAGCCACUGAGUCAGUAAAAUUCAAACAUUUCUUUCUCAGUGAACCCAUUCAGAGCCAGCCUAUUCCACGGCUACUAUCCUAAAGGUCUUGAGCCCAAACCAGUAGGGUGAUCAACUUCACAAACAAAAACCUUCCCUCCAAAUUUUCAAAUGCGUUUACCACAUUGUUUGACUUAUUCCUAUUGGGAUUACCAACAAGCCUGGUAUAACACAUUUUUUUAUCCAAAACCCCAAAAAAUCUCACUCUUGGUUAUUUUUCUUCAAUUCAAGAAUAACCGUUCAAAGCCUCCCAAACUAGUUUCAACAUUGGUGGAAUUCUUUUGGCCCAAUCCCCCAGAUCCUAACUCCAAAUGCCACACAUUGUUUAAACCUCUUUAAAGCCCACUAUAUUCCUUCUGACUCCGAGAAAAGGUUUCCCCCAUUUCUUUGUUUUGGUACAAAUUUCUUCCUUCCAUGGGUAUGGAUGUGGAUCUCAGAUUUUAUACCCAAGAUGCUCAGCUCAUCUUACAAAGAACAUUCAAAGUAAAAUGGUGGUCGAAGUUUGACGAACAGUCCAAAUUGACAGACACUCUGAUUCGCAACUUGCUCUGUUAUAAAGGAUUCUUACCCCCAACGAUUAAAGCCGUAAAGGCCCAAGAAACCUUUCUAACCCAAAAAUCCAAAGCCCAAUCUCUUUUGGCCAGCGCCAAAUCUGAAGAAGAAUAUUUUAAAGUUAUGGAGCAGCUCCUCACCUCAAGAUCAGACUCCUCUGAUGAUGAUGACCAAGAUGAAGAGCCAUUUAUUUCUCUUGGAGAUGAAAAUGAGGACGACUGCUUCAGAAUUUUCUCUCCAGUAAAGCAUUGUAAAUAAUUAUUGUGUAUUAAAAAAAAAUAUUCCAGUAUUUGUAUUCCUCUCUUUUAUUUUCGAAUUUUGUUCGUAUAGGUUGUACCCUCGGGUGGUCCCCUGGACACAAGUGAGAGCGCACAUGUCUCUUCACCCGAAUUAUAUUUGUAAAGACUGUACCAUCCAAAGACUACUGUUUCAAGCUACAGUUUCGCUACAGUGGAGAAGCUACAGUUUCGCUACAGUGGAGAAGCUACAGACUCGCUACAGUUAAAAAAUCUCUGUAUUUAAAUCGAGAGGAAGACUUAGACUCCUCAGAUUUUUUAGUUUUGAGUUUUUCAAUUCUCUCUCUCUCUCUCUCUCUCUCCCCCUCUCUCUCUCUGGGAAUCAGGAAUCCGAAGACAUCAAGGAAUUCUCCUGUCUUCAGAUUAAUUUCCUAUUUCUUCUGUAGAAUAGUAUUCAAAGAAACAAAGAAAGAAAAAUCAAAUGUAAGAUCUAUAAUUCCUUUCAAAGAUUGUAAUUAAUUUAAAGUUCUGCAUGUUUAAUUUCCGCAAUUUACUUUAAAGCAAUUUACUUUAAAGCAUUUCAAUUCCAGUAAUUUAAAUUUUAUGCAUACUUUGCAGACUAAUCUCUAUCAGCUCUGCCAUAAAACUGCUACGUUCCUCUGAGGCAACGAGACCAGAUCUCUAUCCUCAGUUGUAUCUUCUUUUCUCCCCCCAUCCAUUCAGAGUGCUACUUCUGGGAUCCAGAUCUAGUACUAUCUAUGAGCCUUUAGAUCUGUUGCUAGGCUUGUUUAAAGAACCUAAUUCAUAUUCGGUAAAGCACUUGAGUAUAUCGGCUGGAAAACAGAACGUGCGUGAUAUUGAUCUGUUCUAAGUCAGAUCUGGUCACAAAGGCAGAUUAAGUUCUGCAUCAAGGGAUAUAGUCCCUAAGGUGAGAAGGGUCACCUAUGAAAUGAAGGGAUAUAGUCAGAAUCAAGGUAGCAACAACAUCUUGAAUUGGACUAUUGAACUAAUCAAUAAUAGGGGUUCUAUCCUCAUCUAAUUGAAUGGAAUUUAAGAUAUCUAAUUGUUGUUGUUUAGUGAGGAGAUGAUCCCACCAAUCUUUAAGUUGACCAGUAAAACCAGCAACGAGAAUUUCUGCUAUGGCUCUAUCAGAAGUUCCCGCCUGAGUUUUAUAGGCAUUGGCUGCCAUGGUCAUUUGUUGCAACAAUCCUAGGAUGUUGUACUCAGACAUACCAUCAAUAUUCCACUCAUAGACAGAAGAUGCGUUAAAUCGUGAUUGAUUUAAGGCACUCGGUCUAUUAUCUAUAGCUAGAUCUGGUGGGGUCUUGACAGUAGGUAGGGCUAAAUCCCAAUGGAUUUUGUUGGCUUUAGAUGGUUCUUCCUUAAAUGCUUCUAUGUCUGAAGAGGCUAUAGAAACAUUGUCAUGCUCUAGGACACCAAUCUUGCUAGAUUGGGCACUAUCAGAGGCUAUCUGGACCUUAGAAGAAGAAGAAGAAGAAGCUUAUAUUCUAUCUAAUUGGUCUUUAAUGGCUUUAGCAAAAUCUGAUUUUGACUCUUGAACAAGCUUUUAACUAGUUUUCGAAACCUGGAAAGGUUUGAAAAUAGGUUCCUUAAGCUUUUUGUCAGAAUCCGAUUUUGAUGAAACAAGAGAAACAAUUAUGGUUGACUUUUGGAACUGGCUUUCUAUCUUAGUCAACUGUUUUCCUAUAGUAUUUAAGUUAGUAUUACAGAAAUUAUUCUGUUGAAUAAUACUACUUAAAUUCGCAUCAGAAUCAUUUGGUUUUGGGAUUUUGUAAGGUGAUGCUCUAAUCUCAACAGGAGGUUCACCAUGGUUAAUAGUUAAACUCCUAAGAGGUGGAUAUUAAGAUUCUAUGGUUCUAUUGCUAUCAGAAAGAUUCCACUCAGGGGUUUUCUUCCUAACAGUAAUAGGGUUUGACUCUUUAAAGGGAUAAGAGAUGUUGUUAUUGGAAGAAUAUAUCUCAAACCAAUCAAAAAAAAAAAUAUAUGAAUUUUAGAGACUUGUGUUUUAUUUUAAUUCUUGUUUGUAUGGUGAAUCCCUUACUGGUAGUAAGUCCCGCUUUAGGAUAAGACUUUCCGCUUAGGGCAGUAAAACCAUACCUGUAGCCAUACUGACAGGCCUUAGAGUAGAUCAUAGGUUUUUUAUUCAUGGAUUCUCUGCACUGUAGAGCAUCGUCCUUUUCUAGCUCUUCUUCUGGAAGAACUAGUGAUUCAAAGAAUGUUGUGAAUUCUGAAGAAUUUGUUAUCGAAGACUUCAAUAAAGCAAUUGAUAAUUGGGCAUUACCAAAGGUUAAUAAAGAAAUGAUUUACAAAACAAAAAAGCUUGAUUUUCUAAAAAAUGAUUAUGUUAUAAAGACCGAAGAACGCGACAUAACCAUUUCAAAGCCUUUUGAAACAAUUCAUUUGUUUUCAGAACAAUCUCUAAAGAAAUUAAAAGAUAAAAAUUUUAAUUAUAUUCACAUCGGACUAAUACAAGUCGGCAUAAAACUGAAAUACAAGUAUGCAACCCAAGAGGGGGGUGAAUUGAGAUUCUAAAAAAUUAUUCAAUUUAUUAAAGAAAAUCUUAAUGCAAUUAUAAAUCAAAUUCAAAGCAAUAACAAUUAAGAUGAUCACAAUAUAAAAAGAUAAGGGAAGAGGGAUUCAAACACCGAGAUUUUUACGUGGUUCGGCCAACCUCGCCUACGUCCACGCCUCCAAGCUUUCCGGGCUUGAGGAUUCCACUAAGCAAGCCUCCAAGGCUUCAAAUGCUUACACUUGACUUCCAAGGUGUCAAUGGACCUUUACAACAAGAGAUUAUCCCCAAUCUCUUAACCCAAGUGUAUCCCAACACUUACAAUCACUCAAAGUAAAAGAUUACAAACUGUUUUGCCUCUCACAAUAUAUAAGAUUACACAAUGAUGCUUAAUAUGUGAAUAGAUGAAGCAAGAAUGUGUUCGAAGCUCUAUGAAGAUUGUAUUCUCGAAUAUUAGCUCAAAUGGUCGUGUUGUGAUCAACCUUCUUUGAAUUUGAAUGAGCUUAUUUAUAUCUGGAGCUGAAAAUCUAGCCGUUACAAACUGUCGGACAGAAAACGGUUCGCCGUUAACCCUAAACGGUUAACCGUUUCGGUUGGUCAAAGUUACCGUUGGGCCAGAUUUCAAAUAAACGGUUUGCCUUUUGUAAUUAACCUUUAGCCGUUAACUACCAGAGACCUGCAAGAUGAGCAUUUGUUAUUCGUUUACGCUAAACGGUUAAGGACUUGCGUGAAGUAACGUUUCUGGAUAUUAUCGGUUAACCGUUUGAAAUAAACGGUUCGCCGUUUGUCUCCAGUAACCUGCAAAACAAUUUAGCAUUAUCAGUUUUCGUUAAUCAGUGCCAGAGGAGGACAACCUUCAAUUCUGGACAUUAUCGGUUAACCGUUUAAAAUAAACGGUUCACCGUUAAGUUCCAGUAGCCUUUCCAUUCUUGGUGAUUUCCGUUUUUCAUAAACGGUUAGAGCUUUAGGCAUUAUGUCGCUCUCUGGUGUUAAUCGGUUAACCGUUUAAAAUAAACGGUUCACCGUUAAGUUCCAGUAACCUUCCCAUCUUUUGUGUUUUCCAUUUUUCAUAAACGGUUAGAGGUUUAUGAAAUAUGUUGCUCUCUGCCUUUAAUCGGUUAACCGUUUAUAACCAGAAUUGCAAUUUUAAACUAGUUUUUUUGUAGAGAAUCUCUUUCUAAUUUGAAAGUCCAUCUUUUAUGAAGAAAUAAGGCAAUGAAUAAAAGGGCUUUCGUUUAUUAAGAAAUAUCUCCAAUAUUUUUGUCAAAAACCAUAUAAAAGUUGUUAUCAUCAAAAUCAAUAUUAUUAACAUAUUUAUGUUAACAAAAACCUCUAACAAAAGAAGGUCUUGAUACUUCUAUCCUUGUUGUCCUAAGAGAUGGCCGAUUCAUCUCUUUUGAUGAUUCUUUACUAAGUAGUAUAGAAUCAAGUCUUUGUAAAGGUCCCAUUUCAUUUAAUUGUUAUACAAACAUAACAAUUUCCUUAAAAGACAAAAACAUUUAAAAAAGCAUGAUUUUACAAAUCAAAACUCAUAAUUAUCAUAUGAUUGAGGGAUCUGUCCCAGUAGCUUUGAUUUUUAAAAUCUCGUACAAAGCAAUGAUCUCUGCGUUUAGUACGCAACAUAAAUUCCAGUAAAAAAGAGACGAGACUCUUCUCUUACAGACUGAUCUGUCUAGAGCAAAUACUGUCAUUCCAAAACUAAUACAAUGGAAAGAUAUCAAUCUUCCAGAUGAAUGGAUUCUUGAAGGUGCCACUGCACCAGUGAUUCCGAAACAACUUGAACUACAUACAGAGUUGCAAAAUGUGACUCAGUAUUAUGAUGGAAAAGUAAAACUGUCCUUUAGGAGAUCCAUAUCUUCUAGAUACUCCGAUAAAGAUUCAUGUUCGAGCAUCCCUUCAUUAGAAAGAAAAUUCACAAAAAUCCCUUCUGUUAUAAAUCUCCCUUUUCAACAAGAAAAAAGUCAACCUAAGUUCUCUACUUCGGAUAUACCUAGUUCUUCUAUACGUUUAGUUGACUACACUACUAGUGUUCCUCACCCAAUUUACACUAGUAGUCAACAUGAGCAAAAACAGGAAGAAAAAGAACAUUCUCCUCCAACUUCUCCUACGUUUUCUGCUGUCACAGAAAAUAUAAUAAAUGUCAGAAAAAGACUUUGAACUGGAUAAAACUCUUCUUCACAAUGAUUUUUAUUCAGAUAAUAAUAAAGAAAAAAGACUUUGGUUUUUUAAACAUUUUCUAAAUCAAAGAAAAGAAAUCCAAGAGACAUAUUAUGAAUUUGUGAAUUUGCAUAAAAUUCAUAUAUUGUUUUUUGAUUGGUUUGAGAUAUAUUCUUCCAAUAACAACAUCUCUUAUCCCUUUAAAAGAGAGAAAAAUCUUAUUCUCCGAUCUGUAUAAAGUGGCUUCUCUCUUUUUCUUUUAAGAAAAUAAGCCUUAUAUAUCCUCUUUAGUGAAAACCCUAGGCUCCAAAUAAUGCCCUAAAUAAAAUUCACGUUACUUUUCAUUUAAUAGGGGACCCACCAUGUAAAAUAACAUCAGGCCCCUUACACAUAAGCUAAUUAAAUGGAGCCUCCCACUAAAUGAUAUAUUUAGGCUUUUGACCCAAAUAGCUAGUUAUCUUACUUAUUAGUCCAGUAGUGGUGCAGUCAAUUAAAUGAGCUAACCCGGGGAUCAUUUGGGAACAUACAAUAGUGGCUAUAACAAUUAGGCAUGUAAUUAAACUAGCCUAAUUAUUUAAUUCUAAAUCUACUCCACUAAAAUAUUGGAACUGACUUCCAUAAUUGUAUGCUCGAAUAAUAAUUCGUCCCAAGCCACAUUGAUUUCUUUACUGCACAAUCCUUUGUACCACAUCGUUAAUUAAAUUGAUAUCUCAACUGUCCAAUCAAUUUAAUAACAUCUUUUUCCUUGAUCCUUACUGGUUUUCUUUAAUGAUCAUUUUCAACAUACUAAAUAUGUUGACACACUCUGGCCAGAGAAUUCAAUGAUCAAGUGCCGAAAACCCAUCAAGAGAUGUGUUGUACAAAUUCUAUAUUGUUAAUCCAUAACUCUAAUACUCAUAAUUGCUCCCACCAAGAUACCGGGUAAUCUUGACCACAAGUAUGUGUCGUGCCCAUUGGUAACUCAAAUGAAAUAACAAUUACAAUCAUGAAAUCAUAAUUAACUCAAGAUUAAGAUUACAGUAAAAUCAAUGCCUAUGAGAUUUAAUAAGUCUGACAGUUAUUACAAAGUUAAUUAAAUCUCAUAUGUGAUCCUGUUCAAUGUAGUCGUACUACAUCAAUAAAUUCAUACAUGAUUAAGACAAAUCAUUCAAUGAAUUUAUUACAGUCUAUACUUAAAUAAAGUACCCAACUUUAUUUAUCAACUGCGAACUAAAUUUAUUUAAUCAUAAGAUAACUUGUAUUUAUGUCUUCUGUGAAUCCACAUGGUGAUCACAUAAAUACAUAUAAUAUGAUUAAAUGGACUUUAAUACAAAUAUUAAUACAAUUAAGAUAUUUGAAUAAAAUACCUCAUUUAUUUUAUUAAUCAGAAAAAUUAUUUAUUACAAUUAAAUAAACACAUAUACUUUUAAAGAGCAUAUUUUCCCAACAACAACAUCAUAGUUUAUUCAUGCAGCCUGUGUCUUCAGGUAAUGGCUCUUUUCCUCUGUUUCAUGCUCAAGCCACUUCACAUUUGCACCGUAGUCUCCACUACUGUCUUCGACAAUGCAUGAACAGAUUCUAGUUAGUAUUUGCAUGACAGAAAAUCAAGGUGAUAUAAGGUGACCUGCAAAAUUCAUUAAUUCAUGCAUACAAAAAAGGACUUGAGAAAUGAAAAUGAAAACAAAAACUCAGUUAUUUGUGAAUCAUCUGAGCUUUUGAGACAAAGAAUAAUAAACCUAUCAGAUGCCUGCAAGUUCACGUCAUUACGGACAAACAUUACUUCAAGAAUAUAUUUGCUCCCAUCCGGCAUUUAUGUGUAGUAAACUCAGAACUGAGAUUUGAAUAUUGGGGGUAGUAACCCAUUCUCAUACAUCGAAAAUUUAAAUUCAUAUACCCCUGCAACGUUUCUCUCAAAGUCAGCCUCAACUUGAAACCGAAGAGCAACCUCCUUUUCUGACUUUUCUUUGGCCCGCUUUAAUCUAGCCAUUUUUGCUGGGAAAAAAAAAAAAAAACAAAAACAGAAGUAAGCAUCAAGGACUCGAAUGACAAGCGGUGCCAUCAUUAUAGCACUCAACCCAAGUAGGUGAUUCAGCAGUGCCUGCGAUUGUGCUUACAAAUCUCUCAAUGGAACCAAGCUUCAAAGAAAGGCUAUGAGUAUAAUCAGCCAUACAUACCACAAGAAACAGUUAUAUCUCUUUCUCUCUUUGAUUUUUUGAGGUCAGGUCAAGACCGAGAGACUCAGUCUCACCUCUUACAACGGGAUUAGUUGGAAUAAGUAUCGGAAACCCUUUCCAACCUCCUCUAAGGCAGGUUUACUCAAUAUCUCAUCUCACAGGAAGGCGGGGUCUCCAUUGGAAAAGAAAGAUCUGUAUUUCUCCUUAAGAGAAGGAAAAUUGAUAGUAGACAGAUCUUAAGAGGCAAACAAACGAACUAACAAUGAGUGUAAUAUUCAUCACAAAACCCUACAGCCAUUAUCAUUUUGUACAAAGCAACUGACAAACAUGAUUUUCAGCAACAGCAAGUCUGUUAAGUACAAUAAUAGUAUCAAAAAUAACAAUUAAGAUGAAAAAGAAGUACAGACAUCUUACAUUUUUGAAAAAGGAUGAUAAAAUAGAAAACAAGAAGAGAGGCUUGCUGUUUCUGGCAGUAUUGACAAUUUGCUGAGCUUCUUGUUCUGUAGCUAGCAACAGUUGAAUUCCAUUCUGUACCCUGCUGGCUUCCAUACUUUAUAUAAUUUCUGAUGCUGCUCCACUGAAUUAUAAAAAUAUGAUUGAUGCAAAGAAAUGAGAAACAAAGAAUAGAUAUAAGCACAAUUAAGGACAUUCCCAUGGAAACUACUUUUAAAUGGUUAUAAGAAAACUGCAUAAAUCGAAAAUAAUGAAAACAAAUUUUGAAACUUCCUUGCAACAGUGAAGAGUUACUUGAAAUCAGCUAGAACAGUAAAUGUCGUGAUAAAAUUUUCUCAUACAAAGAAUCUACAACUAAACAAGGAAUUGCUUGUAUAUUUAGAACUAGAUAGACCUCAGCAACACAGCUUCCUAUAGCCACAUAUUUAUGCGCUUGACUGGGAAUACUAUAUUUUUAUUUACCACUAAUGGGAUUGGGAAUUUCAUUGGCAAAAUGGAGGAGAUUCAGAGCUUGUUAUUUAGUCUGAAUUGGCACACGAACGGCGAAAUAGAGCCAAUCAACACUAUAAACAAAGCAGUUUUGCCAUAGAGAAAGCCAAAAUAAUUCAUUAACAGACUUACAGUUUCGUUCACACAUAUGCAAGGAUCUUUAAAAACUAAAAGCAGCAAGGUCAGUUGCAAGUUUUUCACCUACAAUAUUUUCUAAGCCAAUAAGAACAGAUCGAAUGUUUAUUUUGGAACCAAGUUAGACAGUGAGCAUCAGAAUCAAAUGAUAUUUCCAAUACAAAUUACAUCUAUUUAAACAAUGCACCAUCUACUGUUCCUCACAUUGCCACAAAAUUAGCCACAGCUUCUCAACUCAGAUCACUACACGUCCAAAUUUAUUGAUAACUACACAUGUGAACGUAACUAAACAAACCCAAUCCUAAAAAAUUUACAGCUUAGAGUUUGAACGAAAAUACCCAAAUCCAUUUAGAAUGUUAAAUCAAGAAUUGCUGACUUAAAAAAAAAAGGGUUAUUGGCAUAAAUGAAGAAGCAAAAGCAAGAAAUUUAGUUAUCUGUGGUUGCAGAUACAGAGAUACCGUGAUCACAAGCAAAGAAAAUAAAUGCAAUACUAGUGUACGGAAUCAAGAGAAGCAGAGAGACAGAGAGACUUGCCUAUGGAACCGGUCUUCGUGUUUGGUCGAGAUUUCACGACAAAUGAUAUGUGUACGUGGGACUUCACUUCACUACCUGUGUUGAAUCUGAAGUGAAACUAAACAAUCUGAAACAGCAAACACGAUGUUUCUCAGUUGUCCAACUGCUAAAAUUAUUUUAUGACUCAUUUACCCCUUGUAAUUUUAUCAAAUAACUCACUGAUGGUCUAACCCCUAUAAUUAAUUUAAAACUUAUGAACUCCAAGGUUACCAUUUGCCAAAAGUUCUUGUUUGUCCUGGUUGAGCUUCUAUUUAUAGACGAGUUUCUGGUAACAACCGGUUAAAAUAUCCAUCCGUAGUUAAUUUAAUUUUAUUUCGUGUCACGGUAUGAAUGGUGUAAUUUUAUGCCAGUUGCAAUUGAAGUAAAGGGGAAAUUCAAUUUUAGGAGUUUAAGCAUAAUUUUGUUAGACCAUUUUGAUUUUUUUUUUCUUUUAAAAGUACGUAACAAUUUACCGAGAUUUGAACUACGUCAAUAUUUGAGUCCAGAAUGAACUAUACUUGGCUUCUGAAUGUUUAGAAGAAUACUAGUAACAUAAAAUUUAUAUUCUAUGUAAUUGAAUAAAAGAAAAAAAAGUUUAUUGGUUGAGUAAUUUUCUAACAAUUCAACUUUGAACAAAAAAUAAACCAAAUGGAAUUCAUGAAAGGCCCCUAGCAUGCACUUGAAAAUUUUCGCUGGCACCCAAGACUCUGCUUAUAGCAUUGCACUUCCAGUCCUGGUGGCACGUCCAAGCCGCUCUCUUCUGUCAUUACUUCGACGUUUCUUGUACAUCAUCCCGCAACAUCCAAUCACUGAUACCCCCGCCAACACUCCGAUCACCGUUCCCGCCUUCUGCCCACCACUCAUUCCGCCCCCUUUCUUUGUUGAAGGAGGAGCAUUGUCUGCUGGAGGUGGAGCUGGUGUUGUGGGUGCUGGUGGUGCGGCUGGCGCUGCAGGAGCAGGUGGCGUUGGCGUUACAGGAACUGGAGGUGCUGGUGUUGCAGGACCAGGCGGCGUUGGAGUUGCCGGAGCAGGUGGCGUUGGUGUUGCUGGAGCUGGUGGCGUUGGUGUUGCAGGACCAGGCGGCGUUGGAGUUGCCGGAGCAGGAGGUGUUGGCGUUCCUGGUGCAGGUGGCGUUGGUGUUGCAGGAGCAGGAGGUGUUGGUAUUCCUGGUGAAGGUGGCGUUGGCGUAGCAGGAGCUGGUGGCGUUGGUGUUGCGGGAGCUGGUGGCGUCGGCGUUUCCGGAGCCGGAGGUGUUGGCGUUGCUGGAGCAGGUGGCGUUGGUGUUGCGGGAGCUGGUGGCGUUGGCGUUUCGGGAGCCGGAGGUGUUGGCGUUGCUGGAGCAGGUGGCGUUGGUGUUGCGGGAGCGGGAGGUGUCGGUGUUACUGGAACAGGUGGGGUCGGAGCUGCAGGAGCUGGAGGUGUUGGUGCUGCAGGAGCAGGUGGCGUUGGCGUGGCAGGAGCGGGAGGUGUGGGUGUUGCAGGAGCUGGUGGCGUUGGGGUUGCGGGAGCUGGUGGUGCUGGCGUUGCUGGAGCUGCAGGUGGCGUUGGUGGUGCUGGAGUUGCAGGAGCUGGAGGUGCUGGUGCUGCAGGAGCGGGUGGUUGUGUGGAGCCUAAGGAAACCAGAAGAGAUAGGAAAAGAAUAAAGCAAAUUCUGGAGUGUCUUGCCAUGAUUGCUGAACUCAGAAAUGUCAAGUCCGGAUCCUGUUCAAUACUGGAGAAGGGUUGAUUGUGAUUGAGGCUACCGAGAAAAAACAAGACACAUUGAUAAGCUUUAUAGUGAAAGCUGUGAACGAAACCAGGAGAAUACUGCAAGAAAGUUGACUCGAAAAUUAGAAUUAUAAACCAUCAAGCAAAGAGCAAAGAAAUAGUUUUGAGGUUCAUUGCGUUAACUUUGAGGGAGCUGAGUUUGGCUUCUAGUUCUUGGAUAUUGUCACAAACAUAGUAGAAGUCGCCUGCCUAUUUUGCAAUGUGAAUUUGUAAAACUUUGACGUUGUCUUUCGGAAGCUAUUCCAAGGCUGCCGCUUCAUUCUCAUACUUUUGUGCUGUCAUGAGAUGAUCCAUCACCAGCUAAUGCUAUCCUUCGUAUUAGACAUGUAUAGUUUUAUUGAAAAAGAUAAAAAUCCAAUGUGCCAAACAUAUACUAGGACUGUGAGAGUAAUUGAUAAAAAGUUUCAUGGUUUAAUAGCCAACUUUUUUUUCAUCACUGUUUCAGCUGAUUCACAUUCAGAGAGGAAGUUAUAAUGGAGGAAUAAGAAUGUGAUGGAAGACUGAGAACUGUAUCUGAAGUUGAAUUAGACUUCCUCGAAAGCUUGUCUUCCAGGAAAUCCUCUGCAAAUGACUAGAGAACAAUAGAGAAAAUCGCAACAUUAUACAACCUGUACAAGUACAUGUAAGUCGUAUCUUCUAGUUCUAGGCUUAUUGAUAAAAUGAAGUAAAAUUAGUGAAUGAUGCUUCUUACAAUCAAUUCUGCAUCCAGAAAGUACUUAGCACCUUUAUUAUUCACAAAAGCCGUGACCUGCAUCUUAACAAUUAUCAUCAUGAGACCCAUGCUUAUACUUCACCACAAGCAAUCUUUAAAUCGAAAGGAUUCUUCACUUGUGGCUGUAGGGAUGAAGAAGAAGCAACUCACUCUUGGAGAAUUUCCCGUAACGCCAAAUUUUGAAGAAAGAAGUCUUCUAAAACAAGGCUCCAAGGGACCAGAAUCAGCACUAAAUUUGUUUAGUUUUUGACACAAAAGGCAUAAACAGUCGAUAAGCAAAUAUGUUGCCGUGAAGGAACAAGGCAUCUUCCGAAAGACCUUAAUCUGCAGAUCACUUUUCUGUAAGAUCAUAACCAUAUGCCUUGAUUCCCAUUUCUAAUAUAAUUUUAAGCGAAAAUAUAUCUACAUGACAUUCACCAAAAAGAGGAUUAAGCUGAACUUCUUAAGGCAAUACUGCAACUAGUUUUUCGGCAAGCCGAGGAUUAGACUCAGUAGUUAUACUGAAUUGUAAACAAGAACUAAUGUAGCACUGGGACUAGGCGUCCAAAAUGCAAUACUGCAACUAAUAAUUUUUUGAAUUUACCCUCUGUCGCGGAGUUCUUGCUGGCACUUCGAAUUUGAAUAGAACUUUCUCUGUAUCAUUAACUACACUUGCAAAAAGCCAAACUGCACAAAAAGGAAUUUUUAUGCAUGUUUAAAUCAAAACAAAGUAUAUUAGAUCUCAUGUUGUUAUAAGGACAAAGAUAUUCAAAAUAGGGUUUGCCUGUUUCAUUCGACUGAGAAAAAAUCACAUGAGCAUUAUCUCUAGUGAAAGUUGUUACAAUCCGAGGCUUGUUCUUAAGUACGAAGUCUGCAAUUGGAGUCCUGAUGAAUUGACCACCUGCAUGCAGAGUACUUAAAUAAAUGUUCCAGUUAAUUAAAUCUCCGAAGCCUUUAGAAAACCAUUGAGAUGUGGCAGAUACUAACCAAACUGGCUAUACUUGAACUUUUGACCUUCCCCCUUUGGCCCUUUCCAUCAAAUCCAAGGGCGUCUAAUUGGGGGAUCAAUGUUGAAAAUCUUCACUGUAAGAGAGAUUGUUACAUUUUUCUUAAUCUUUGGUUUGAUAUUAUGGACGAAAACGGUUUGCCGUUUCUUAAGAAAACGGCUAACCGUUUAAGUCCAGAGAGCAUGUUUUUGUUCUGGGAUAAAACGGCUCACCGUUAUUGGGAAAACGGCUAACCGUUUAACUCCAGAGAGAAUGUUUUAUGUUCUAGAGAAAAAUGGCUCACCGUUAUUGAGAAAACGGCUAACCGUUAUUGAGAAAACGGAUUUACAGAGAGCAACGUAUUUGACAUACAAGAAUAAAACGGCUCACCGUUUAUUGAGAAAACGGCUAACCGUUUAUUUCCAGAAAGGCGUCAACUGGAAAACGGUUAAGCAAGUUUGAAAUUUAAUUGUCAAUCAAUGCAAAUUCAAACCAAAAGAGUGUCUUUGAAGAAGUACCAUUUCGAAUGGUUGUAUUCUUUUAAAUAAACAUCUUCUUCAUUAAAAGAAAGAUAUACAAUUAGAUUUAUAAUUAGUUUUUACAGAUUUCAUAUAAGUUCUGGAAAUACAAUCUUAUUUGCUAAAAAUUGUAAUCAGGAUUUGAUAUAUCUUGGGGGUAAUUUGCAAUUAAAACUCUAUAGCAAAUCAAGAUUGGUGAGGGCAAAUAAAACCUUAAAGGAAAGUGUACAAACACGUCUCAAAUCCUAAGAAAUUGUCUCUAUUCUUUGCCUCCAUAUUAUUAAAUUCACCAACAAUCUUUAAGGUUUUAUUUAAAUGGAGGCUGAGAAGAGUUUGACAUCUUUUCUGAAUCCUAGUGUUCAUCUCGAUCGUUUUGAUGGAACUAAUUUCACUCGUUGGAAGGGAAAAUUGUUCUUUCUCUUUACUGUUCUUAAAGUGGCAUAUGUUCUUGAUCCGAAAUUGGAACCAUUUCCAGAACCAAGAGAAGAUGAUACCGAAGUUGUUAAGGCUGCAAGGAAACGUCGUGAAGAUGAUGAAUUGAUGUGCCGGGGUCACAUACUCAAUACGCUUUCUAACAGGUUAUACGAUCUCUACAAUUCUAUGACUUCUCCGGUGGAAAUUUGGAAUGCUCUUGAGUACAAAUACAAAACAGAGAAAGAAGGUACUGACAAAUUCCUUGUAUCUAAAUAUUUUGAAUUUAUUAUGGUAGACACAAAAUCUAUUCUUGAUCAAAUACAUGAGUUACAAAUUAUUGUUGCUAAGCUUCGAGAGUUAAAAGUUGAAAUUUCUGAAUCAUUUCAAGUUGGGGCUAUUAUUGCUAAAUUGCCUCAAAGUUGGGAUGAUUAUAAAAAGAAACUCCUUCAUAGUAAAGAGAACAUAACUUUAGAAGAAUUGCAAAAACACUUGGUAAUUGAAGAAGAGACUAGGUCUCGCGAAUCCAAGGAUAAGCAUGAUUCUACUAAAGUUAAUGUUGUUGAAGCUAGUAAAUUCUCAAAGAAUUUUAAAGUCAAGAAUGACAAGAAAUUCAAGAAGUCCAGCACACAAAAGUUUUCUGGAAAUUGUUUCUUUUGUGGUAAGAAAGGCCAUCGCCAAAGUGAUUGCAGAUUCAAGAAGAAAAAGGAAGAAGUGAAUUCCCAUAAAGCUAAUGUUAUUGAAAACAAAUCUGAAGAGAUUUGUGCUAUGGUUUCUGAAAUGCAAAUUGGCAUGACUACCGAAACCAAUAUGGCUGAAACUAAGUCCUAUGAUUGGUGGCUCGAUUCGGGUGCAACAAUUCAUGUUUGUAAUGAUAAGAAAUUUUUCUUAUCAUACAAAGAAGAAACGGAAGGACAAAUGGUUCUCAUGGGGAACAAUAAUGCAGCCAUAGUAGCAGGGAAAGGAGUAGUUGAGAUCAACUUCACUUCUGGAAAGAAAGUCACAUUGUAUAAUGUCUUUCAUGUACCUUCUGUUAGAAAGAAUCUUAUUUCUGCUAGUUGUAUGUGUAAGCAUGGGCUUAAGAUUGUGCUUGAGGGUAAUACUUGUAUUGUCUCAAAGAAUGGAUUAUUUGUUGGGAAAUGGUAUUCUUGUGAUGGAAUGUACAAACUCAACAUUAAUAAUAAUAAUAUCAACUUAGCUUAUAUUGUUGAGUCUUGUGAUAUUUGGCAUGGUAGAUUAGCACAUUUGAACUUUAGAUCUUUGAAAUACAUGUCUAAGCAUGGUUUGAUUAAUUGCAAUGAUGUUAAAGGUCAUAAGUGUGAAAUCUGCAUCCAAGCUAAAUUAACUAAGAAACCUUUUCCUAAAGCUGAACGAAAUACUCAAAUAUUGGAUUUAAUACAUACCGAUAUUUGUGAGUAUAAUGGCAUGUUAACAAGAGGAGGUAAGAGGUACUUUAUCACUUUUAUUGAUGAUUGUUCUAGAUACACUUAUGUGUAUUUACUUAGAACAAAAAAUGAAGCUUUUGAUAAAUUUAAAAUUUUCAAAGCUGAAGUUGAGAACCAAAAAGAUAAGAAAAUCAAAAUGGUUCGUAGUGAUAGAGGUGGUGAAUAUUUCUCAAUUGAAUUUAAUAAUUAUUGUGAAGAAUUUGGAAUUAUUCACCAAAGAUCAGCUCCAUUUACUCCUCAACAAAAUGGUUUGGCUGAAAGGAAGAAUAUGAUUUUCACGGAUAUGAUAAAUUCCAUGAUCCUUAAUGCAAAACUACCAAAUAAUUUGUGGGGGGAAGCAUUACUCACUGCAUGUCAUAUUCAUAACAGAAUUACAUCUUUGAAAACACAUAUAUCUCCUUAUGAAAUUUGGAAAGGAAGAAAACCAAACUUGAUGUAUUUAAGAGUCUGGGGUUGUUUAGCUUUUUAUAAAAUACAUGAUCCUAAGUCAUCAAAGUUGAGUGCUAGAGGUAUAAAAAGUGUUUUUGUAGGAUAUGCUGAAAAUUCCAAGGCUUAUAGGUUGUUAGAUUUAGAUUCUAAUGUGAUUGUGGAAUCUAGAGAUGUUGAGUUUAUUGAGAAUACAUUUCAACUUGAUUCUAAUAUUGAAUUAGAAUCAAUUAUUGAUCAACCAUGUGUUAAUACUCCUGUUACCUCCACUAACAAUAAUAAAAGGAAAGAGUCUAUGACAUCUUUCGAACCAAGGAGGAGUCAACGUGAAAAGAAAGAAAAGAGUUUAGCUCCAGAUUUUAUUUCAUCACAAGCACUACUCUUUUUGGUUGAAGGGGAUAGAAAGAAUGUACUUAACAAAGUACCAUUGUUGUUAAAUAUUGAAAAAGAUCCAAAGACAUUUAGCGAAGCUAUGUCUUCAAGAGACGCUUCCUUUUGGAGAGAGGCGGUAAAUGAUGAAAUGGAUUCGAUUAUGUCGAAUCAAACAUGGGUCUUGGUUGAUCUUCCUCCAGGAUCUAAACCAAUUAGCAGCAAAUGGGUAUUUAGAAUAAAGUACAAUAGUGAUGGUUCUUUGCAAACUUUUAAGGCUAGAUUAGUAGCCAAAGGGUUUAAGCAAAGAAAUGGGAUUGAUUAUUUCGAUACAUAUGCUCCGGUAGCAAGGUUAGCUUCUAUAAGAGUGCUAUUUGCAAUUGCUUCAUUGAACAAUUUGUAUGUGCAUCAAAUGGAUGUUAAAACAACUUUUCUUAAUGGUGAUCUUGAUGAAGAAAUCUAUAUGGAACAACCUGAGGGAUUUCUUUUGCCAGGAAAUGAGAAAAAGGUAUGCAAGUUAGUCAAAUCUCUUUAUGGUUUAAAGCAAGUACCAAAACAAUGGCAUGAGAAGUUUGAUUCGGUAAUUUUAUCUCAUGGUUUUAAGUAUAAUAAUGCUGAUAAAUGUAUAUAUUUUAAAUUUACGAAUGAUUUUGGUGUGAUUAUAUGCUUGUAUGUUGAUGACUUGCUUAUCUUUGGAACAAAUAUGCAAGGAGUAGAUGAUACAAAGAAGUAUUUAACUUCACAGUUUAAGAUGAAAGAUCUUGGUGAAGUAGAUACUAUCUUAGGUGUCAAAGUGAAUAAACAUAGUGGGGGUUACUCGUUGUGUCAAUCUCAUUAUAUAGAGAAAGUGCUUCUUAAAUUCAAUUAUUUGAAAUUUAAAGAAGCUAAUACCCCAUAUGAUUCUAGUAUUAAAUUACUAGAGAAUUCAGGCCGAGUAGUAGCACAACUAGAAUAUGCUAGUGCUAUUGGUAGCUUGAUGUAUGUUAUGCAUUGUACGAGGCCUGAUAUAGCAUUUGCAGUUUGCAAAAUGUCAAGAUUCACGAGUAACCCUAGUGUUGAACACUGGAAAGCAAUUGGUAGGAUACUUGGUUAUCUUAAAAGGACCAUUAAUUUGGGUUUGUUUUAUAAUGAUUAUCCUGAAGUACUGGAAGGAUAUUCAGAUGCUAGUUGGGUAACCAAUACAAGAGAUAAUAAAUUCACUUCUGGUUGGAUUUUUACAAUUGCUGGAGGAGCGGUUUCUUGGGCUUCAAAGAAACAAACGUGCAUAACUCAUUCAACAAUGGAAAGUGAGUUUAUAGCACUUGCAGCUGCAGGCAAAGAAGCAGAAUGGCUGAGAAAUUUGUUGUUUGAUAUAAUGUUGUGGCCACAACCGAUGCCAUCUAUUUCUUUGCACUGCGACAGUGAAGCUACAUUGUCUAGAGCUUAUAAUAAAGUGUAUAAUGGAAAGUCAAGACAUAUUAGCUUGAGACAUGAAUAUGUGAAACAAUUAAUAACAGAUGGUGUUAUUAAUAUUGUUUAUGUUAGGACUAAUAAGAACCUAGCAGAUCCUUUAACAAAAGGUCUUUUAAGAGACUUAGUUAAGGAUACAUCUUUUGGAAUGAGAUUGAAACCUUUGCAUAAUAAAGUCACCAACGAUGGUAACCCAACUAUGUAGUAGUUGUACCGUUACUCCAUAGUUAAAUGGGUAAUAACAAGUUGUUGUUAUGUGACUGGUUUGGUACCGAGUAAUAAAUAAUCCCAUUCGAGAGUUUCGGUGUAAAUAGCUACGAGGUUGAGGUUGAGUAUUUACUCUUAAAUGAAGUUCAAGUCUUAUAGUAGCUAAAGACAUGAUUUGAAACUUCACCUAAGUGAACAUAAGAAAUGGUGUCGUUUCUAACAAGAUCAUGGUUUAAUCUUGUAAAUGUUCAUGAAUCCAAGAUAGAGCACAAGGCCGGAAUAGUGCUAACUAUUGGAACACAAUUUUGAAAUCUGGGAUAGCUUAUAUGUGAUGUAUCUCCGGUAUUUACUUAAGAGACAAAGUUUAAUGCUUAGCACACUAUUGUCUUGUAAAUACUUUGAAAUACACUCACUAAUUAAAGGUUAAAAUCGAAAGAUACAUUUUUGUAUGUAUAAGUUUAUCAUUAAUAAAUCUGAAAAAAUAUUACAAUCUAGUGGGGAUUGUAAGAGAGAUUGUUAUAUUUUUCUUAAUCUUUGGUUUGAUAUUCUGGACGAAAACGGUUUGCCGUUUCUUGAGAAAACGGCUAACCGUUUAAGUCCAGAGAGCAUGUUUUUGUUCUGGGAUAAAACGGCUCACCGCUAUUGAGAAAACGGCUAACCGUUUAUUUAUAGAGAGCAACAUAUUUGACAUACUGGAAUAAAACAGCUCACCGUUUAUUGAGAAAACGGCUAACCGUUUAUUUCCAGAAAGGUGUCAACUGGAAAACGGUUAAGCAAGUUUGAAAUUUAAUUGUCAAUCAAUACAAAUUCAAACCAAAAGAGUGUCUUUAAAGAAGUACCAUUUCGAAUGGUUGUAUUCUUUUAAAUAAACAUCUUCUUCAUUAAAAGAAAGAUAUACAAUUAGAUUUAUAAUUAGUUUUUACAGAUUUCAUAUAAGUUCUGGAAAUACAAUCUUAUUUGCUAAAGAUUGUAUUCAUGAUUUGAUAUAUCUUGGGGGUAAUUUGCCAUUAAAACUCUAUAGCAAAUCAAGAUUGGUGAGGGCAAAUAAAACAAAGGAAAGUGUGCAAACACGUCUCAAAUCCUAAGAAAUUGUCUCUAUUCUUUGCCUCCAUAUUAUUAAAUUCACCAACAUUCACAACAUCAACAUUUGAUGUUUGAUAAAAGUUUAUCUCAAUGUGCAGUUUUGAGCAGCAGCGACCUUCUCACUAUCAGAACCCUUUAAAAUUAAAAAAUAAAAUCAAAUUGGAGCAUUACUUUUAUUAGUAAGAACAAAUAUACCUUCUAUUAUCACUUUAAAACCGGCCAAAUAAUCCACUCAGUGACAGUGAAAUGAUUGAUGUAUAUAUCAGUAUUUGGACUCAAAUACUAAGCGCCUCUGUACUGUCAAGGAUUCGAAGAAACAAUGUAUAUUCAGUACUCAAAACAUCAUACGCUUUGUCUUCUAUUGUUAGAGUUGGAACAUAGACUCCCAGUUUCAUCCUCAUCCAAGUCGAAAUAAAAUCCCUACAGGGUUAAUCAGUGAUAGAUGAUUACAAAGUAGAAAUAUCGCAGCCAUCUUGAUUCACAAGUAGCAUUUAACUUCGGUAACGGAGCAUCAUGUGAAAUGGUGCAGGAAAGUAGCAGCUACCUAUCAUCAUAAAUAUGAAUGAUUGCUACUGCAGAACUCGGUUGGUUCAUGAAUAUGGAAAAAUCUGUGUUCAGAUGCUACCUUGACGAUAUUUACUGAAAAUGAUGGAUGUGUUACCUAGGUUUUACCUUAUGAACACAGCAAUAAAAAUUGUAUCUAUAAAUAAAUUCAUUCGCUUGUAGUAUCCAAUAUAUAGCCAUAAUGAGGUUACCACAUCUAUCUGCUUCUUUUUAAUAGAUGCACUUGAAAUUAGAGGAGCAAAAACCAGAAAAAUCUGGCUAAACGUUUCACAUUUUGACUUCAAAUUCUCUUCGAAUAAUCGGUAUAUUGUCAAAGUGCUUGAUUAUAUAAAUCAACUCUAUCACGUAUAAAUAAGUUUCUCUAUGGAUUUAAGAGCAUUGAAUCUACGUUGAACACUUCAACUGCCACACCUUUAAAGCACCCGAUUCAUUGUCAACUUUCUUCUCAGCUAUCAAACAGAAGUGAAAGCAGAAACUCACCGGGUUGGUGCAAGAUUUUCCAUACCAAAUAAUCCAUCAACAAAUAGAUAAAAUGUAGGAUACCCUGGAACUUUAUACUUUUCCGGCAACUCUUUCUCCUUAUCAGCAUCAAAAUUUGCAAGCGCCACCAAACCUUCAGUUGUUUUGCAGCUGCAGCGGACUCGGGGGCUACUUUUUGGCACCAGGUGUACCAUUGCCCGUAGAACAUCACUAUCACAUGCUGAUUCUUGACAAUGAAGUCACUGAAGUUAUUUGCAUUAAGUACUUCAACAUUUCUCUCAUCGAUCUUCGGCUAUGGAUUCUUCCUGUAAGCUUUGGUGAUAUCAACGCAUACAAAUUCUUCUUCUUCAUUGAGUUGAUGACGAGAUGAUAAAUGGUAGAAGAUAAUGGUGAGAAAGAGUACCGAAAGGAUGAGAAGGAUUUUUGGCGUUGACAUUUAUGUUCAUUUGUUUGGUUUCAGUUGACCAUUUUCAGACAGGAAGUGGUGAACUAAAAUGAAACAGAACAGCAUAUGAAAGAGAUAGAAGUUGAAGUUUGGCUUCAUGGAACUUUCAUUUCGCACAGCUCCUAGUGAGAAAAGUAAAAAAGAACUCAUCUUCUUUCUUUUUUUAUUACCUUUCUCGGAUAUUAAUAAGAUCGAAUCCAACUCGAUUUCUAAAUAGGAUUCCUAAUCCUUAACUUGUCGAGGAAUCCUUCAUUAGUGGUUGUGAAAGGCUGAUUUUUCUCAAUCUUUCCAACCUUGGUUUCAUAAGAGCAAGUCAGAAAGAUUGAAAAACGGAACCGUCUGAUUCGAUUCGUUCUCAAUAGCCACGAGACGAUCAUCUUAGAGUGAUUUUGUUCAUUUGUUUGGUUUCAACUUUCAAUUGACCAUUUUCAGACAGGAAGUGGAGAACUAAAAUGAAACAUAACAGCAUAGGAAAGAGACAGAAGUUGAAGUUUGACUUUCUAUUGUGGAGAGAAAUAUUGCGCGAUGCAAUUCAAAUCUUUGAUUGCUAAACGGAUGACUGAUUAAGUUAAUUCUUUUCCUAGGAUUCACAUGGAUAUGGGUUCCAAUCAAGAGAUUUUUUAACAUUAUAUCAAAGGAAUCUUAAGUCCUUAAGGAUGAAUCAUCUUAAAUCUGGCAUUCAUAAUUAGGCAAUAGGAAUAUACCACUCAAAUACAAUUUUCAUACAAACGUAUUGUCGGGUAUACAAAAGGGACUGAGGAUACAGAUGGAGCAAUCAAGCUUCUUACAAGUUCCACCAGUUGAGAUAUAAACCACUGAUAUAUUGAUGUGCAAUAUGUUUAUUCACCGAGUAAGAUAUCUACAAAAGGAACAUCCGAUGGCCAACAACUCCGGAUGGCACAUUUAAAGUCCGGUCAUUUUGGCUAAUUCACUCAUGGGUACGAAGUUGAUAGGAGGCCCGAGAUUGUGAUGGAAGUUUAAGAAUGGUCUCCGAAAUUUGAUCCGACUGGUUCAAGAGCUUGUCUUCAAGGAACUCCUCCCCAAAAGACUACAAGAUGAAAGCAAGGGCAUAUUAUCAUAUGAUUAGAGCAUUCAUCAUGGUUCUUCCACAAUUAUUGCAAAAAGAAUCAAAGCCAGAAAUUUAACCAAAAUCUGGGCAGAAUUGAUCAGUAGAAAAGUAAAUGAAACUAUUAAGAGAUAGAAGAGAUUCAAACCUUAAUACUGCUGAGCGUCAAUUCACCGUUCAAUACAUAUUUCUUUGCAUCACGUGCGCUGUAGGCUAUAACCUACAUGUGAAGGAGCAAAAUUAUACAUUUGCAUCAAUGUAACCUUAAUCCACAAAAGUUCAUAAUGAACUUACUCUUGGAGCAUUUCCGCUAACCCCAAAUUCCUGAGAAACUCGUCUCCCAACACCUUCGGAGUUCAUUUCCACAUACACAUGGAGAAGCUGAAAGAAAUUUGAAAAAUCAUAUAAAUAAUGGUUAGAUUUUUGAGAGGUAUGUAAUCUCAAAACAAGUACAUAACUAACAUGGUGAGAUGUCAACAUUAUAAGCAAAUAUUGUAGAGGAGUUGUCAGUUGCAAACAAAAUAUAGGACACAGGAAGAGAAAUACACUCCUAAUGGUAAAUCAUCAGCAUGGUUGAUAUGCUGACACAAGUUUAGUACAAAUGUCUUUAAUGCACUUUUCAGUUAUUUAGAAACAGAAUAAUUAGCAUUUUUCUGCACAUUUUAUGUGAGGUUUCAAAUAGAAGUCCGGGCUUUAAGGGCUUCAGCUCCAGGAUAGCAACAGAAAUUUCUUCCACAGAAAAGUAAGCCAGAAAUGAGAAAAGCAAGGAACAAUUUUCAGUGAGAGUAGUGAGAAACUAGUCAAAGAACAUAAUAUUGACAAACUACUGGAGGAAAAUUUAAAAAUGUUUUGGGAGCCACAACAGUAUAAUUAGUAGUAUUUACAGGCAGAGAAGGGUCAAUAAGGGAGCACAAGCUUUCAAAGAAGCUCAACUGAUGAGCUGAUACAUAUCCUGAGGUAUGGGGCUUUUUUUUUUUUUUUUUAAAACUCGAGAAGUCAGGGCACAUGAUUGACCUCUGCCAGGUUCUCCAUUUACAUAUUGAAUCUUUAUGAAACCUCUUUCGUUUUGGAAUUCUAAGGAGGCAUAUAAUAACGUAGAUCAAGAAUAAUGGAACUAACCGAAAGGUUUAGGAAGCAGAGGCAUCAAUACAUGAGAAACAAAUUAAAAAUUGUGCUAGCGGUGAAGCUUACUCAUUUGACAUGUGGUGCUCAAAUAAGUAAAGGAUAUUCUACCAUAUUCACCUUUCCUUUUAAUGCUUUUGCAACUUCUUCAAAUGUCGAAAUAACCUUAUCUGAACCAUAUGCUGGUGCAAAGAGCCAUAACUGAGAACGGAUAUAAAGACAUGUUAAAAACAAAAAUAUGAAUUUCCUAAUAUAAGAAGAAGAAGAGGCCCCUCUAUAACCUGUUUCCUUGGAUCCUGAAAAACGAAUUCAGCAUUAUGUAUGGUCAGAGUGACCACGAGUGGAUGCUUAGUGUGAGUUACAAAGUUAGCUAUUGCCAAUCUUGUGAAUUGAUGACCUGAAGAACAAGAAAAAUGUCCAAGUUAAGGUUAUUUCAUUUGUAAAUUGAAACUAUUAAAGCAUUAAGUCCUGAAAACUCACGAAACGGAGUAGCUUUUCCAGCUUCAAGAUGAAGAAAGAUCAAAGCAGGGCGUUUGCUUUUUGGAUGAAUAUGGAAAAACUCUGCAACAUCAGCGCUAGUGGUUUGAUAGAAGUUAACAUCACUAUGCAGUUUUGAAGCAGCUGCAAGUUCUUCACUUUCCAUUCCCUGUUAACCACUAGGAUGAUUCAACAUGCUUUUGAACUAGUGAAAAGAAUGAAUCGAAGUAACAAAGUAUGAUAAGUGGAUAUUAAAUUAUAUGAACAUGCAAAAUGAAUGUCUAAACUGAGUGGAAUAUAGUAACUGAGAACUAUGCUUUAUGACUACUGAGUUUCACUUACUAAAGCUCAUAUGCAUCUUGUGGUGCUCAUGCCCUUCAAAUCUUCUUAAUAUGACAAAGAUUGUAAAUGCCAUGAUAAACUAAAACUGAACACUAAAUGCACUAAAGUAAGAAAUUCAGAAUGGUAUUUGUGCCUCAGUUCGAGCAAUCGUGACUACACAGAACUCAAACAAUUGAGUUAAUGUAAUUCAGGAUAAAAGACUGCUAUAUUAGAGAGAAUGAAACAAGAAACUAGUAUCUAUUGAUCAUUAAGUACCUCUAAAUCGUGAAGGAAUCCCAAAACCAAUUUAGAUUCAACUGUCAAUAUACGCUCCGCUUCAUCCGUUGUUGUAAUGCUGUAAGUACCCAGGGUCAUCUUCUCCCUCACCCAAGCUGAUAUAACAUCCCUGCAGUUUGAAUUACCACUGUUAGCAAUGCAAUAUUGUGACAGAAAGUGCUGUCCAAUUCAGUCCUCCAUUUGAAGCAAUUAGUACCAACUAUUCAAGGAUUUAUAAGACACGGCAAUGCCAUCAACAACAAAGUCUACAAUAUCUCUGUUGCAGUACAAUCAUCCAGUGGUAUUAUGUCACGUUCAUAUUCAUUUAUCUCAACAAACCAAUUUUCCUGAAAUUUGUUUGAAAUAAAUAAAUACCUCUCAUGAAUUUAUUGAAUUUUACAGAUGACAAAUUUGGCUUCUAUAGAGGGGGAAAAAAGCACCAACCUUGUCCUUUCGCCAAAAAACUGAAAUUGCCUCACUCCAGCAACAAACAAAUACAAAGUUGGAUACGCUAGAAUAUUAUACUCCUUUGCCAAAUCUUUCUCCAAAUAAGCAUCAACCAUCACAAGCUCAGCCUCACCCUUCAGCAUUUUGGCUGCCGCCGCAAACUCAGGAGCUAGUUUCUUACUCCAGUAGCACCAGUUUGCAUAGAACAUCACCAUCACAUUCCUAUUCUUGCCCAUAAACUCACUAAAAUUCUUCCCAUUUAAAGACACAACAUCCUUUGCGUAAAGAAGCGGCCAGGUGUGGUUAUUAUUGAGAUUGGUCAGUUCAAGUUCAUCAGGCUCUGCCUUAAGAUCUUCAUGGGAUUGUGUUGGUGGGAACAAGUAGAGUUUGAAGAGGAUGAUGGAUGAAGUUAAAAGAAGGAGAAGAGUUCUUGUUUUUUCCAUUUGAUGAACCAAGAAAACUUCAGAGAGCGAGAGAGCAUUUGAGAGCUGAGACUUUUGAUUAUUUUAUAUGGCGAUGGAAAAAAGCUAGACGUUUGACUUUAAAUAUAAAAAGUCGUGGAGCAGUUGGAAGGAAGAUAAGCCUGUUAUUUUCAUAAUCCAAUUUGGGCCGGACCGGCGUUGUGAUGUUGGCCCAAUUCCGAACGUUUUGACUUUUUGAGUCCAAUGAUCUGUCGUUCUCAUUAUUCAUACAUUUCUAAAAUAAUUUUAAAUCAUAAAAUAUCAUUUCCAUGACCAAAAUUUCAAACGAGAUUACCAAAUACCAGACCAAAAUUUAAGUUAGUAGCCUUUCAAAGAAUAAAAAAUUAAAUUAGUAGGAAAGAAAGACUCAAGAGAAGAACUCCUCCAGCAUAAUGGGAAAUUUACAAAACAAGCCAAAAAAAUUAGGCAUUUUUCAACUUUAACCCCUCCAAUUUUUUUCUUUCAACAUUAGCCAAAUCACCAAAUUGUGGACGAAAUUACCCUCCUCAUUCUCACGUUUCCCUCAAGCAAAUUCCUUCCCCUCUCACCAAAAUCUCAUCACCGGAACUUCUAUAGAUUGUCGGCGGCGGCGUAGAUCGGCAGCGGAGGAAGUUGUUGGCACUUGAAAGAAGCUAAAUCACGUUGAAAAUCUUCGGAGAUCUCCAAAAUCAAAGAAAAAAUUUGAAAACCCUAGGUGAGUUGUUAUUGCCGUUUUUCUUGUUGUUGUUGUUGUUGUUGUUGUUGUUGUUGUUGUUGUUGUUGUUGUUGCUUGGGUUGUUGUUGUUGUUUGGGAUGUUGUUGUUGUUUGGGAUGUUGUUGUUGUUUGGGAUGUUGUUGUUGUUGGUGGUGUUUUAAUGGCGGUGGUGGGUGAGAUGCAUGUGGGAAAGGGAAGAGAAGAGAAAGGGCAGGGGAAGCCAACUCGCUCGCGCGAGGGCGUGGCGUCGCGCGCGCAGCGCGCAUCUCCCGUGCGACAUGCGCAUGUCGCGCGCACAUCUCGCGUGCGACAGGCGCAUGUCGCGUGCACGAGGUGCGCACGCCGCGCGCAUCUCGCGUGCGACAGGCGCAUGUCGCACGCGAGAUGCGCGCGGCGUGCGCACCUCGUGCGCGCGACAUGCGCCUGUCGCACGCGAGAUGUGCGCGCGACAUGCGCAUGUCGCACGCGAAAUGCGCGCGGCAUGCCCAUCACGCGCGCGCGAGGUGCGCACGCCGCGCGCAUCUCGCGUGCGACAGGCGCUGCGUCGCACGCGAGAUGCGCACGUUGCGCCCAUCUCGCGCGCGACGCCGCGCCCUCGCGCUAGCGAGUUGCGCGUAGGCUCGCGCGAGGGAAGCCAAGCGCGCGCGAGUUGCGUGCAGGCAAGCAGCUCGCGCGCGCACUUGCUUCUCUCGUGCGAGCCUGUCGCACCAAGAGGCAGCACCUCUUGGUGCGACAGUUGGUGCCCGUCGCACCAAGAGGCAGCACCUCUUGGUGCGACAGUUGGUGCCCGUCGCACCAAGAGGCAGCACCUCUUGGUGCGACAGUUGGUGCCCGUCGCACCAAGAGGCAGUACGCAGUGUUGCCUUAAUUUUUUUUUCUUUUGUUCAUAAUUUUUUAAUGUGUGAUACUUUUAACUUGUACCAGAUAAAUGGGCAAAUCAAAAUUAGCAUUACAUAACCCACCCGGACCGAUUAAAGAACCGGGAAUGAUGAAGAUACCUUAUGUUGAUCACUUCCCUGGGCGUAUCACAAGUAUGUGCAAAUUAGAUGUCGUUGUUAAUGCCAUCCGGGAAAAAUUAACAAGGCAACAGUUGAAGCUGUUCAAAGACGAUAUAUUUGGGCAUUUCCUACAGUGCCGGAGCUAUCCGUUCAGUGGCGUGAUUGUGCACAAUAUAUUGCUUCGGCAAGUGUCACAUGGCGAUGGAAGUGAAAAAGAUGAGUUAUGGUUUCAAGUUGGCGACCAUUUGAUACGGCUAUCGAUUGGAGAGUGGUGCCUAGUAACGGGACUUUGCUAUGGCGAAAAAGUAUUCCUGACGAAGCAUAAAACAAAUCAUAGGUUACUUAAUAAGUACUUUGGAGGCAGGAUUCGCGAUAUAAAUCUUGGCCAGUUCGAGGAAAUAUUUAUGAACUUACGCUUCAAGACUAUGAAUGACAUCGAUGCGCUAAAAAUUGCCAUGUUUUACUUUGCUGAUAGAGUGCUACACGGAAGAAAGGAUCAUUGUCAAAUCAAUUUCAAUUUACUUAAUGAGGUAGAUGACAUAAAUUAUUUUCGAAGUAUUCCGUGGGGUCGUUUGUCAUGGGAAACAAUAUAUAAAAGCAUUGAUAAUGUAUUGAACGGCAAAGCCAAAAAAUUUAAGAAGGCAAGCGCAGAAAAUCCAUUGCAUAGAAUUGAGAAAUACAACUUUUACGGCUUUACAUCGGCAGUGCAUGUGAGUGAAGAAGUUUUUUUUAUAAUUUAGUUUUGUUAUAAUAAAUAUUUAAUGACACGUUUUUUUACUUCAUAUCUUUCCUUGUUGAAGGCAUGGAUUUUUGAAGCGAUCGAAGGACUACCAUUAGAGUGGGUGGAGAAAAUUAAGAGGAAGGGUGCUCGGAUCGUGCGAUGGAAGCCCGUGGCUUCUUCAAAUAUUAACUUCGGCGAAGUGUAUUCAUACCUGAACGAGCGUCUUGUAAGUCAUUUAUAUGUAUGUCUGUAUAUAACUAUUACAUAAUAUAUGGUUAUACUAAUUGGAAAUUUGGUAAUCUUUACGACAGGAUGGCACCAUUUUCCAAACCCUGAAACCGGAUGCAAAGGAGAGAGCCACAAAUUAUUGGAAGAGUGUCGAGGAUUACGUGCCAUAUUUGCCAAGUUGGGUCCGUAAUGUGGGUAUCAUCUAUAGUAUCAUUGAAAACCGGAUGGAAAGUCAUUUAUAUGUUUGUUUUUUUGGAAUUUACUGUUUUCUGUUUUACUUGGUGCAGCACCAGCCUUCAAUCAAUGCGCCAUCCAGUACAGGGCCAAACGAGGUGGAUCCUGACCCCACGAGCCCAAUAGGACUGGAGCAGAGUCCUGUUGAGGAUGCUGGUGCUGCCGACGAACAUUAUGAAUCCGCACAUGAUUCAGAUGACAGAAAUGAGCCAGAGGUAACUUCUGUCGUCCUGAAUAUUUACAAUGCACAUAUACCUAUCCGGCAUUUUGUCAUUACUUUCUUAUUUGCGUAAAUUGUAGGCAAGGACUAAGUUCCGCAAUGAUUAUUUCGUUGGACGACUGGAAAAAAUAGAGUCUUCCAUUCACGAGUUGAGGUCGGAACUUCAGACUGGACACAGUUCCAUUAACGAACUGAGGUCAGAACUUAUGGCGGAACGCAGAGAAGCACAACAAUAUAGAGCAGCGGUCAUGGGGUUUAUGGCUUCGUUUGGCGCGGGUGCUUCAAAUGGCCCGUACGGUGAUUCUCCGUUUGGCCCUGCGCCCUCGGUGAGCAAGUUUCAUAUGUUUUCGUUAUGUUAUUAUGAUUUCAAACCUGAACUUAUGUUAAUAUGUUCAUCUCCUCGAAACAACAGGCUCCAGAUCGAGGUGGUCCGAACGUUGAUGCUGGCUAUGGUACGCAUACUGAUGCUGGUAAUGACGACGAGCACACCCAUAUGUCAUUGUACAGUCUACAUGGGGACAUAUGUGAUGACAGUGUACAGAUAUUCACGGAGGCACCUCCCGGCGUUAGUAAGUUUGGCCGUCCGUAUCGACCGUCGUAUAUAUUUGGCAGUCCUUACUUCAUUCCUCCUUUCAAGAGAGUUAGGAAUGUCAGGCCUCUACCCGCACUCAACAUUACGGACUAUGGAAUUGAUGAAAGAUCGAGUGUGGAUAUGAAUCCGCUUAGAGGACUAGAAGACUCAAGCCUAUGUGAGUCGUUUGAUCAGUGGUUUGCCGGCAACAUUUCCGUGGAUCGGCCCGUCCAACAGUCUCGAAAUUUCUUUGAAAUACUCAUGGGCAAUGCUUCGAUGGGGUGGCUUGGUGACGAGGUAAGUGUGUUUAAUGGUCAGUACAUUACAAUACACAAUAAUAUUUCUGCUGGCAUGGAUAUUGAUAUAAAUUUACUUGGUAUAAUCCCUUCACAGCAUAUUCACACGUAUUACCGCUUGAUCAGCGAGAAGCAACAGCGGUUUCCAAAUGCACUACCACAGCGCGUCACGCAUACAGAUACAUACUUUUGGGCAUGUUUUAAAAUCCAUAAUCAUUAAUUAUAAUUUCGAUGUUUUAAAUAUCUCGUAAUGUUAUUAAUUUUCUACUCAUCGUGUAAUAGGUGUUCCUAAAGCAAUUAUGGAACAAUGGUAGUUGUGAUGUCAAUUCAUUACAAUAUGGCAACAACUUGAGCAGCUAUAUGGAUGGGCGGGAAGAUCUCAUGUCCAAACCGUUUACGGAUGUCGAUAUGGUAAGAAUUGUCACUCAAUCUUAUGGUAAUUGUGUAUAAAAUAUACUAAUUAACCUAUUUAUUUAUGUAGAUAUUCAUCCCUGUGAAUUUGGGCGGCGAUCAUUGGGUACUAGCUCGAGCGGACCUUCGCGCGAGGAGGAUGCGGAUUUACGACUCGUUGGUUACCUUUCGCGAGGACAAAACAUAUUUGCGUAAAUUCAAACCUCUUCAGGUCGUCUUCCCUCAAUGGCUUCAAGAUGUUGGAUUCUACAACAUUCGAUCUGAGCUGCAGAGUGCCGACCCUUGGAAAGUAAGAAUCGUUAAGGAUGUGCCCCAACAAUCACCUGGAAGUGGUGAUUGCGGUGUAUUUAUGUUGAUGUUUACAAUGUAUUUGAUGUUCGGGCUAAAACUUGAUUUUGAUAGUAGCCACGGGCAUUACUUCAGGAAGAAAAUUGCUGUAGAUAUAUUUACGGGCGAUAUUGCCUUGUAAGUCGUUGUAUUGUAUUAAGACUUGAUGUAUGGAUGUAGAUUGUAUUUCUAAUAGAUAUAAACUUUUGAUAUAUUCAUAUAUUUCGCUAUAAGUAAUUAUUGAUCAACUUUAGUACUCAUUAUGCAAAUGAACAUAACAUAAUAUACCUCAUUACAUAUAAUUGUAAUAUAAAUUAUAAUAAGAGUUCAGAAUCCAUAAUUAGUUACAACGACACAAUCAGUUUGGAUUCGACACAAUGGGAUUUUUACAUCUCUUACGGUUAUGACCUGGUUGGUUGCAUCGACCACAUCUCACAGUUCUUCGGUUAACAUCCUCACCGAUAGAAGGAAUUCUUAACUCUGGACGACGACCAGGUGGUGGUGCUUCGAUCGGUGGGUUAACUCUGAUUUCCUGGAUUUCUUCUGGAAUGUCCCAAUCUGUCAUGUCCCCAAUCGGCUCUACUGGUUCUGCAUAUGCCAUGACCAAUGAAUCUUUAGAGUAAUAAUCAGAGCAAAGACUUAUGUAAUCCACACGGACGAUCAGACAAGCAGCAAUUGCAUGCGCACAAACAAGCUGAUCGAGUUGGAAUACUCUACAGGAGCAAGUUCUUUCAUGAAUGUCAACUAUCCCUUCCUUCAUACCACCACCCAAAACAUGAAAUCGAUGCUGAGACACUGGCCGAACGGUCAUUCUUUCGGCCAAAAUUCUCCUUUCGCCGACUAUCUCAUCUGCCCACGUCGUUAGACGAGUGCUCAUCGAUUCAGCGACAAUUUUCCUAUCAUAAAACCAUUGCUGUAAUGUUUUUCUAAAGUGAUCAACAAGAUGAGUAACAGGAAAUUUUCGCGGUUCCCUCAUUAGAGAAUUCACGCUUUCUGCAAUGUUGGUGGUAAGUAUGCUGUAUCUCCUACCUUCAAAUUCGGACCUUGCCCAAUUACACGUGCCCACAUUAUUCUCUAAGUAAUCAGCCGCGGCCGAGUGGAGCAUCCACAACCCUUCAAGUUGUCUUUUAAAUUCUUCGUGUCCAUAUGCCUUUGCUGCAUUAAUAAAAGCUGGCUCGAACUGAUCCCAAAUAGCUUUGGACAUCCUGAAUUUAGACUUAAUGUUGCCUUUGACAUGGUAAAAACAAACUCCAUGACCAGCAGUGUGAAAUGCUUUAAAAACGGCUCGCUUGAUGGCAGUGCAUCGAUCAGAGAUAAAUACUAACUCUGGCCUAUCGCCAAUCACUCCGUGUAACUUCGUCAUAAACCAUUCCCAAGCAUCAUUGUUUUCUGAAUCCAUGACCCCAAUAGCUAACGGAUACAGUUGAUUAUUACCAUCCAGACAUGUUGCUACAAACAUACUUCCACGAUAGAGCCCCUUCAAAUGAGUGCCAUCUACAGCGAUCACAGGCCUUAUGUACUGUGUGAAGCCCUUGAUGGAAGAUCCAAGCGCAACAAAGUAGUAUAAGAAAUUAUCAUCUCCAUCCCGCUGGAGGUGUGUCACUGUGCCAUCAUUCGCUUUGGUCAAAACGUGAGAGUAUUUGGGAAGUAAGUUGUAUGACUCUGCAGGGUUCCCUCGUACUAUUUCAAGACCGACUUCUUUAGCCCGAUAUGCUUGCUGAUAUGUUAACUGGACCCCGUAUUCUUGCUGCAUGUCUGCUCUAAUGUCAUUCGGCGUGUAUAUCCGUUUAUCCUGAAUAAAUUUAUCCGCGAUAAGAUGGCCAACAACCCGACUCCUAACUUGGCGGAGGCCACUAGGCAAAACCUCAUUAGAGCACGUAUGAACAUUGUCAACUCUUCUCACUACCCAAGGAACAUUAUGCUCAUCCGAACCUCUUGUUGCGCGAAGACGCCAAUUACAUGAUUCCGAAGAACAGUGAGCCUCAAAGCGUGUCGUUGUGGACCGUGCAAUCUUGAAAUCAAACUUUUCCCGCAAGGCCACUUUGCGCAAUUCCAGUAUUAACUCAUUCUUCUCAGCGAACAACUUUCCCACACCAAUGUCGGCAGAAUUACAGCUUCUAACUAAGUCUGGAGCAACCAAGUUUGAAGGCAAAACUGGAGCAAGACUUACCAGGGGAUCAACUGUUGUCCUCCUCCUCGAACGGGCCAUCGGAGGAAUAGGUCGAUUCUCUCUAUUGUUAACAGGAAUAUCAUACUGAUGCUCAUCCUCAUUAUUGAUAGGAAUAUCGGAAUGACCAGUGUCCCUAUCAUCAACUUCAGUAUUGGAGUUCAUGCCUUGCACAUUAUCAGCUUCUGUGUUGUUGGUGUUAUAACCAGGAUCAUCAUAACUGCGGAACUCAUUAUUUUGAAAUGGAGAGUAAUGUUGCCCUAACGAUGUCCCUAAUGGUAACACAUUAUCUUCAACAUCCGCUAUCGUAAUGCCAUUAUCAUCAAUAGUGUCAUUGUUUUCGUUGACUGGUGAGUAAUGUUGUUGGAACGACAUUUGUUGUGGUAACACCUCUUCCUCAAUAUCGGGGACAGACUCGUUUGCUCUAAACGAACUUUCACUUUCCACAAAUGGCUCAGGAUUUUCGGCCGGAACUCGAGGAUGUGUGGUGACAAAUAUAGGGAUGCAUCCAUAAUUGACCACAUCAGAGGCCAUGUGCAGCACAACAUUAACCAUUUCAUCAUUAAAUAUAUCCAUAGGUAGUGAACAUGCACGAUACAUUGUGUUACUAGAUCUCAAAGUUGUCUUCAUCGACAAACUAUAUUCAAUAGGAUUUAUCUGUAAAACUUCAUACACCCUUGCCAUAAAUUGCUCAAACGUACAAUCUUUUCGAACUAAAAAUGCUGUAUUCUUCGCAUUCACGUACUCCGUACGGCCAUCUGCUAAUGUCUCCCACCAACCGUCAUAACAUAAUUGAAGUACAACGGAAUCCAUUAAACCUAAAAAAAAAAACAAAAGAGAUAAGAUUUCACGCUACAAAACCUAGUAAAAAUGAAUAUGCAGUACAUUUAUGUUGAUGAAAUGAAGUAUACAAUUUUGGAUUUACUCCGUCUCAUCGUAAGUUUCGAAAUGAUAUAUUAUACGCCUAAAACGGACACAUGUAGCCCAAGUUAUUACUUUCGGAAAAUAACUUUAAUUUAGUGAGACAGGCAGUGGGACAGGUGCCUGUCUCACAUAAAACCAGCAGAUUUAUGUGAGACAGGCGCCUGUCCCACUUGCCUGUCUCACAUAAAACCAGCAGAUUUAUGUGAGACAGGCGCCUGUCCCACUUGCCUGUCUCACAUAAAACCAGUGGUAACAAGUGAGACAGGCGCCUGUCCCACUUGCCUGUCUCACAUAAAACCAGUGGUAACAAGUGAGACAGGCGCCUGUCCCACCUGCCUGUCUCACAUAAAAUCAGUGGUAACAAGUGAGACAGGCGCCUGUCCCACUUGCCUGUCUCACAUAAAAUCAGUGGUAACAAGUGAGACAGGCGCCUGUCCCACUUGCCUGUCUCACAUAAAACCAGUGGUAACAAGUGAGACAGGCGCCUGUCUCACACGCCUGUCCCACUUGCCUGUCGCACAUAUUUUGGUGAGACAGGCAAGUGAGACAGGUGCCUGUCUCACUUGUUCUGGGCUUCUGUUUUACUCGAUUUGCAGGGGUUUCAAUCAUUAAUUUUCAUUUCUCAACUCAAACUAACUACUUUAACAAGUCACAUUGUUUUGUUAAUGAAAAAUAACAACAUUUGCAAUAAAAACUCACUUCAAUUUCGAAUUCAAAUGAUAAAAUCAAUAGAUUAAAAGUUUAGGUUAUGGUAAGAGUAUAAACUAACCUUAAGAAGCUCUCCAAUUGAUAAUUAUAUCUUCAAUUAUGUAAUACUUGUUUGAUGAAAUUUGCUAAUUUAUUGAGAGUAAUGGAGUUUGUUGAGUGAUGAAAUUUGUUAAGUUGAAAAGGAAAGAGUGGUGGAAGUGCUGGAAUUGAAAAGGGAAAGUGGCAUGCCUUUGUAAAUUUGAUGAAAAUGAUGAGGGUAAUGUAGUCCAAAAAUAAGGUGUUUGGCUAGUUAUGAUAGAAAAAAGUUGGAGGGGUUAAAGUUGAAAAAUGCCUAAUUUUUUUGGCUAUUUUUGUAAAUUUCCCAUUAACUUUUAAUAGAACCUGAAAGAACACUAUUAUUCUACGAACUAAGAUUGGUUUUAAACACCAGAUAGAUUAUAAUAUCAAUAAUUAUAGUAAAAAUAACAACAGUUAAUAAAUAUAGUAAUUAAUUAAUUAAAAAUCAAGUCGCACCUUCUUCGGCUUCCAGAAUGAUAGAGCUUGACUCCACCAAUGAAGAAAUAAAGCAUAGGAUACUCAUGCAGGUUAUACUUCUCUCUUAACUCUUGCUCAACAAAAGUAUCAACCAUAGCGAAAGCAGCUUCACCUUUCAACAUUUUCGCCGCCGCCGCAUACUCGGGAACCAUUUUCCAGCACGGCGGGCACCAUCUCAUGUAGAAAAACACCACCACAUGCCUAUUCUUUGCCAGGAAGUCACUGAAAUUCUUCCCACUCAGAAUCACCACAUCUUGAGAGUACUCAGCUGCCCAUGCAGCUACUUCACGCAGAUUGCAUGAUAUUUUGUUAAAAUUACCUUCUCCAAAUAAUAGGUCAAAGUCGGUGUCGUUUUGGUAGUUAUCGGAUUUGAUGAAGGUUGUGAGAGGUUCUUUAAAAUUAUGAUGCUGAUUGUUAUUAUUGGUUUGGUUGUCAUUGUUACUUGGCGAUGAGUGGUGACCAGAGUCUGAGAAAGCUGGAUUGAAAAAGAGGAUUGAAAGGAAUAUAAGUAGAAGAGUUGUUUCUGUUGCCGAGGCCAUAGAUGAUUAAAGAUUCAAAGAUUCAGCAUGCGCUGAAGAAGGAAGAUGAUGAAGUUGAGAAAUUGACUUUGACUAUAUUUAAUUAGGUUUCCAGCUCAAAAUCUUGACUCACGAAAAGAGUAAUUUAUGAUAUAAGAUAUGAGAAGAUUUUUGGUGCUUUUGUAGCAUUGCUCUUCAUUUAUGCAUGCAAUAUUCAUCGUAUGUAUACGUAUAUUAUUAUUAAUAUAAACCAUUUGUCCUCUGAUUGAUUGAUUUUUAUAAUAGCCAAUAACUCCAUGACAAUAUAAGUUUAUAAUAUUAUCCUUAUUUUUAAAUGUCAUUUUAUUUAUGUUUAUUAUAAAUUAAAUAAAUCACAUGAAUAUAAAUUAAAAUAAAAAAUUAAGUACUAAAAAUAAGAAACACAUGUUUUGAUGUGAAAAAAAUUAAUAAUAAAAUAUUUUUCUUGUUUUUUUUUAUUUUAUAAACAUUUUCUUAUAAUAAACAUGUAAGAAAAAUGAUUAUAAAAUGAUAAAAAAAUUAUUAUAGGAAACUUGAAUGAUAAAUAAAAAUAAUUAUAAAAUAAAUAAUGAAAUAUUUUUCUUGUACUUUUUACAUUUAAUUUUAAAAUAUUUAUUAGAAGAAAAUAUUUACAAAAUAAAAAAGUACAAGAAAAAUAUUUUAUUAUUUAUUUUUUUUGUUUACAUUAAAACAUAUAUUUCUUGCUUUUAAUACUUAAAAUUUUUAUUUAGUUUCUAUUCAUAUGAUUUGUCUAAUUUAUAAUAAAUAUAAAAAAAGGUAUUUGAAAUAAGGGUAAUAUUGUAAACUUAUAUUGUCAGGGGAGUUAUAGACUAUUAUAAAAAAAAUAGGGGCCAAAUGGUAUAUAUUGAUUAUAGUAGGGAAAAAUUGGCAAUCUCCCUUAUUAUGUAUAGAAAUACAUUAAUUCAGUAAAAAAAUGUGAAAUUUGUAGAUAUAUGGAUAUAAAAUUUUCUUAUAAAUUUUCAAGUACUUCGAAGAAAGUUAUGCGAAUUGGGCAGGAACAACAUUGUGGGUUAUGACUUUUUCAGUCCAAUGAUAUGAGGCUUUUAUUAUUUAUGCAUUUCUAAAAUAAUUUUAAAUCAAUAAAAUAACAUUUCCAAGGACAAAUUUCAAACAAGAUUACCAAAUACCAAACCAAAAUUUAAAAUGGUAGGAAGGAAAGACUCAAGACAAGACCUCCAUAACGGGGAUCUCUCCCACUUAAGUUUACUCCCUACAAAUAAAAAUUGGGUAUCUUUUUUUUUUUUUAAAGAAAAAAUAAAAUAAGAGUAAAUCAGGAUCUUUAUUGGUGCACAUUUUUAAUUAUUUUUAAUAGAUCUCGCUAGUUGAAAUUGAAGGUAGUUUUUGCUAUGUUAGUUAAUUAUGUUACUUUUUGGUUAGGUGGCAAGCUGAGUUAGCUAAUGUGGACUAACAAGUGGUUAAUUUGUUACAACCAACAACUAGAUAAAUGGGCUGCAUAUAAAGUAGGGUGAAGGCUGACUGUUGCUGCAUCUUCAAUCAAUUUUUUGAGAGGCUUAGAGUGUGAGAUAGAAAAUUGUUACAUGAGAGAUUUAAUUGUUUUACUUUGUAGUUUCAUUAUAAUUGAUUAGUUCAAUAAAAGCUUCAAGCCCUACUAGGUUCUUUAGCCGUGAAUGUAGGUACGAUCGUACUGAACCACAUAAUCUUUCGAGUGUUGUUCUUCAUUGCUCUUCUUCUGUUCUUGAUUAAUUACUUUCAAUUUUUUUUUCUAGGUCAAAGCUCUUUGUUAUUGAUUGAUUGAUUUAGUUAAGAAUCAAGUUAUGGAGUUUCAUAACAAAUUGGUAUCAGAGCCUUGAACCUCUAUGUUCUUGAUCUUCGAAUGGCAAGUACCAAAUUUGAUCUUGAAAAAUGCAAUGGUGAGAAUGACUUCUACUUAUGGAGUCUUAAGAUGUGUGCAAUUUUGAUUCGACAAGGGCUUGAUAAUGCUCUUGAAUAUGAUGAAGACAAAAAACGAAAGAAAAAGAAGGGAGAUGGUUCUUCAAGUUUAGGUGGGGACAUGAGAUCCAUAAACAAUAAAGCUCACAACACCAUCAUCUUGCAUCUUUCAGAUGAAGUGUUGAGAGAAGUGGCACAUGAAAAAUCUACCUUUGGUUUAUGGUCAAAAUGUGAAGAGCUUUUCUUAAGGAAAUCAUUGGCCAAGAGGUUAUAUAUGAAGAGGAAGUUGUACACGUUCUCAAUGAAAGAGGGGAGAACUAUGAAAGAUCAUCUAGAUGAGUUCAACAAGCUAAUAUUGGAUCUUGAGAUUGUUAAUAUCAAUCUUGAAGAUGAAGAAAGAGCUCUUAUUCUUUUGAGCUCACUUCCAGAUUCGUAUGAGCAUUUUGUGGGCACUUUGUUAUAUCAAAGACAUGUUAGUUGUACUUAUUAUCAACUCUAAAACAAGACUUAAAAGAAAAUAAUAAUAAUAAUAACAACAACGAUAAUAGUAAAUAUAAAUUAAUCUAACUAAAGAAAAAGCCAACUAUAAAUAAAAAUAGAGGGUUUUAUAAAAUUUUAACUAAAUAGUAAGAAAUAAAGAAAGUAAAACAACGAAAAUAAUAAUUUAUUAAUUAUGAUGAGAACUUUGGUUAAAGGAUCAUUCACACCACCAAACAUGCACAUAAUAUAUCAAUUCUAUCAUCAAUUUCUAUUGAAACUAUUAAUCGUCGACAACAAUAAACUCUGUUAAUCUCUAUCUUUCCUUAAUAAGCCGUCAGUCAAAAUAAGCUCUUCACCUAAUCUCUAACCAUUAAAUAAUUUUAAAAAAUCUCUUUAAAUUUAAAAUAAUGGAAGCAUAAAGUAGAGAAAAAUAUUAGGUUGAUCUAGGCAAUAAACACACAAGCUUGCAUUAUUUAACUUAGGUUAUGUUCUCCAAUUGAAAUCAUUGAUUCCAACCUGCUACUAAUGAUUAAAAUAUCAAGACAAUUACAAACAAAGAAUUUUAAUCUAGUGAUAGAAUUUAUUCAAAUCCUAUUUAAUUGGCCAAUCAAAUAAGAUAAUAAUAAGAUCAUAAAUAUUAAUUAGAGAAGAACAUAAACAAAGGGAGAUUGCCAAUUUCCCCCCACAGUAAUCAAUAUAUACCAUUUUCCUUCUGCUUUUUUUUUAUAAUAGCCAAAAACCCCCCUGAUAGCAUAAGUUUACAACAUUACCCUUAUUUUCAACUACUCUUUUAUUUAUUUUAUUAUAAAUAAAAUAAAUCACAUGAAUAGAAACUAAAUAAAAAAUUAAGCAUUAAAAAUAAGAAAUAUAUGUUUUGAUAUGAGCAAAAAAAUUAAUAAUAAAUUUUUUUUCUUGUACUUAUUUAUUUUGUGAAAAUUUUCUUAUAAUAAAUAUAUAAGAAAAUAAUUAUAAAAUGAUAAAAAAUUAUUAUAAGAAAACUUGAAUGACAAAUAAAUUUUUUUUAUAAGAUAAAUAAUAAAAUAUUUUGCCUAUACUUUUUACAUUUAAUUUUAAAAUAUUACACCAUGUUUAUUAUAAGAAAAUGUUCACAAAAUAAAUAAUUAUAAGAAAAAAAAUUUAUUAUUAAUAUUUUUUUCUCAUAUCAAAACAUAUAUUUCUUGUUUUUAAUACUUAAUUUUUUUAUUUUGUUUCUAUUCAUGUAAUUUAUUUAAUUUAUAAUAAAUGUAAAUAAUAGAGUAGUUAAAAAUAAGGGUAAUAUUGUAAACUUAUGUUGUUGGGGGGUUUUUGGCUAUUAUAAAAACAGUAAGGGGUAAAUGAUAUAUGUUAAUUACUGUAGGGGGGAAGUGGCAAUCCCCUUAAAUAAAUUGAAUGAUAGAAAUUGAAUAUUAAUCAUAUGACAUGUUUAGGUUUUGAAUUCACAUUUAAUCAAAUAAAAUAUCUAGUCUAAAAUAAUUGAAUUGGAAAUAAGAGAGGUGAUAAAAUCAGUCAUGGAGAUUAAUCCAAGCAGCUGCCUCUGGCUCUCGGGUUUGAGCUGAUUCCUCCUUUUUUUUUUUUUUUUCCCCUUCUUGCGGCUUCUGUUGUGUGUGUUUGGCCCCAAAAGCCAAAGGUUGGUUUUUAAUAACGCUUGGCCGAAUCCAAUUUAGAUUCUAAUUCCAAUUUAAAGCAACUAAUUCCAUAAUAGCCAUGCACCCACCGACUUUAGCUUAGGCAAGACUUAUGCAUGCAAUCUUUUUAAAUUGGUCACAUGCAUAUUGCAUCCAACUUAUAAAGCCAUGCACGUGCAUUCAGUGGCGGACUCAGGAAAUAAAUUCAGAAGGGACUUAAUAUAAAUUAAUAAAAAAAAUUCGACAAGAUAAUAAAAGCCAACUAAAAAAAUAAUAAGUAAAAUAUUCAAUUUUAUUGACAUAAUCAUUUUUAAAACGUCUUCAACUGUUCUCGACGUGUUUUCAUAUUUUGAAAACGUCAAAUAAUAUCUUCAUUGUCAAUACAAGCAAAUACAUCUUUUUCUAUGUAUACAACUAAGUUAUCAUUCAACCAUUGAUCACCCAUCCGGUUUCGAAGUCGAUUCUUCACAAAAUUCAUGGCUGAAAAUACUCUUUCUACAGUGGCAGUAGCUACAGAUAGAAUUAAAGCCAAUGUAACCAAUUGGUAAACUAACGGGUACACCUUAUCCUUUUUAGUCUUAACCAUUGUCCUUGCAAGUUCACCAAUCCCUUUCAAUUCUGAAAAUUCUACACUAGAUUGUAAAUCUGUAAUGUAUACAUCAAGUUGCAUCUCAAGUGCUAUAAGAUCUAUUGCAGAAAAAUCUUUAGGAUAAAAUUCAGCAAGUUGCAGUAAUUUUUCCUUGUCAAAAGCUGCAAACAAAUCAUUUGGACAUAGACAAGCCAAACAAAUAAGCAACUCAGUAUUUGACUCAUUGAAACGAUUAUUUAGCUCUUGAAGUUGCAUGUCUAAGACAACAUAAAAUAACUCAACUCGAUACUGAUGUAAAUUUAUGAUCUCUCGAGCUUUACGGCGUGAUCGCCCUGGAAUUAAAAACAAAUCAUCCAUAUCUAAAACAUCGAUAUCAUGCUUGCUACAGAAAGUAGAAACUUGACCAAAUAAAGAAUCCCAUCCACUAUCUCUCAACUUCUGAAGGUUAUGCUUAUAAACUUCAACCAAUUUUACAGCAUUCAAAUUAUCUUGAUCUUUCCUUUGUAGUGCUCGUGACAAUUCAUUUGCAUAGCCAAGAAUAUUUUUCAUUAAGAAUAAACAAAAUACGAAAUCAAAUGAUUGCAUCAACAUCAAUAGCGUUUUAGCUUGAAAUCUUUGUUCGGAAUUUCCUUCAACUUCAAUUAUCUCAAGCACAUCAACCACAGAUGGAAACAUAGAAAUUAUGCUCAUUAACGUACCAUAAUGAGAAGACCAGCGUGUAUCAGUAGGACACUUGAAAGUAAUCUCCUGAUUCAAACCUUGUCCACUUGAAAGCUUGCCUUUACCUAAUGCUUCAAUAACUGCAAGAGCAUGUUUCUCAUGUAGAAUGUCACGACGUUUAGCUGGCACUCCAACAACAUUAACUAGCAUUGAAACUAAAUUGAAUAAAGAAUUAACUUCCUCAUGCUUUUUUGCCACGGAAAUAAGAGCCAACUGAAGUUGAUGAGCAAAACAGUGAACAUAAUAAGCAGAUUCAUUCUCCUCUAAAAUGCGCGUUUUCAAACCAUUAAACUCACCCUGCAUAUUACUUGCCCCAUCAUAACCUUGCCCACGUAACAUUGACAAACUCAAUCCAAACCUUGAAAACAUAUUAUCAAGAGAUUCUUUAAGUGAGGCAGCUGUAGUGCUAGAAACAUGUUCAAUGCCUACAAAACGUUCAACCACAUAUCCAUUCUUAUCCACAUAACGUAAUACAACAACCAUUUGCUCUUUUGUAGAUAUAUCACGAGACUCAUCAAUUAGAACAGAAAAUAAUGCAUCAUCUAUCUCUCUAAUAAUAGCAUUAGUAGUUUCAGUUGCAACACAACUUACAAUGUCUUUUUGGAUAUUUGGAGAUGUCAUUUGCAGAUUUAGAGGAGUAUUUUUGAAAGUAACAGCAUUAAUAUCUUCAUUAUGAUAAGCAAGGAAGUGUAAAAGCUCAAGAAAAUUCCCUCUAUUGCUUGAACCAUCAGACUCAUCAUGCCCACGAAAUGCUAGCCCUUGAUUUAAAAGAAAUCGAAUACAAUCAACAACAGCAUUCAAGCGAGUUUCAUAUUCACUUUGAGUUUUCUCGGAUUGUCUUUCAAAAAAUGUUGCAAUAUGUUGUUUCUAAUUCAUCAACCUUUCACAUUUCUGCCUAACUCGGUUAUGGGCACUAUUGACACCUCCUUCAUGAAUCUUUAAUUUUUCUUUCUUUUUUUUCCAAUUUUUAAAUCCUUUCCCAGUAAAAGUAUCACUGCCUGCUUGAUCACCAUUAUCUUCUUUGAAAAUAAAAAAGACAAUAUUCAGACUCUUCUUUUAUACUAUAUUCCAACCAAGAACCAAAUUCUUUGAACCAAUCCGAAACAAAUCGUCGUUGUUGAUUUCCAAAUUUCUCAAAUUUAAAAUUGUGCCCCUUAGGUUGAAAAGGACCCCUUUGUAAGUAUGUUCUUCGAACUUGAUCUCGAAUAUUACAAUUAUAACUAUCAAUACAAGGUCGUAAGCCAGGGUCAACAUGCAAAUUUUGUAAAUUGACUUCAUAUGAACCAUGACUAGUUCCCUCUAAAGGAGAUGGGAGCUGUGGUUUCUUUUUUUAAAAAAUUUCCAUAUCUGUUUCAAAUCAAAUAAAACUAUUAAUUAUUAGAUUAAAUUUCACAAUAAGGCUAAAUCCUAACAAAAUAACGAACAAGAAUAAUUAAUUUAAUACAAAUUUGAUAUUAUAAAAAUAUUAUUUGACAACACACUCAAUGGGGCUCACGGGAAAGAUACAUGAUUGUAAAUUUUACUUUUUCAAUUGCUCAUUUAUUUGCAUUAACAAAGUGAUUGCUUUUAUAAUUUAUAUAAUAAAUUAUACACCACUUUCAUCAUUUUACAGAGCACCCACUGUCUCACCACUUUCCCUUUCAAUUUUAAUAUUAAAGAAUCGCUCACUUUUCACAAAUCAACUUUUACUUUUGGAAUUUUGUAUAUAGCUAUCAGAAUAAGAAUUGAUGAACGAAGUUAAGAGAGAUGCAGCACAUUCAUUCGGCCAGAAUCAUUAGUCAAACUUCAAAACAAUAUUCAAGCACAAUACCUGUUUCAAUCUAUGAGCUAUGGUUGAUCUAGCAAGGGACGAAAUCAUGAAAGGCUCAGCGAUCGCGGCGACAAAUAACAACGAGUUGGUGGCAGACUAGCAGCAUGAAUGGAAACGUUCGUCGGUGGCCAGUCUUCGUGAUUUGGUGAUUCACAGUUUCAUGAUUUUGGGGUUUGUUUUUUUAUUCCUUUAAUUUUUUUUAUUAUUAAUAUAAAACGAUGAGUUUUGUAAGUUAGUUUUAAAUUAUAAUUUGAUUAAAUUAAAAGUUUUUAUUAUUUAAAUGGAUUUAAUUUAAAAACCCAAAAUACUUUGUUUUUGUUGAGAAAAGUCCAAAUUAUUUAAUAUAUUAGUAUUGGACUUAAUAAUUAGAAGGGGCUUUACAGUCUAAAUUUAAAAAAAAAUUAAGGCUCAAGGGGGCCUUAAGCCCCUCGUAGGCCUCAAUUGGGUCCGCCACUGCGUGCAUUCACUUAGAAUCACAUUAGGAUUUGAAUUCCUUUUUUAUUGCCAUGCACAUGCAAUUGCCAAAGUAAAUUGUUUAUUUUCCAAUAAUGCAUGUCCAUUCGAAGUUUGAGGAAAAUGACUUCCGAUUUUGGUCUUCAAAUUCUUGUUGGCCACAACUUCUUGACUUUAUUUUCCCUUUUCUUUUAAUUGAUUUCCAAUUUAAUCUUGAUUGUUUCUGAAAUUGAACUUCUUUAUGUCCUUUUUAUCCAUAAUCUUCACUUAAUUCCUAUCAAAUAAAAUAAUAUAAUUAAGUAGCAAAUAUUAAAUUAAGAAUAAAAUCUACUAAAAUAAAAGAGAUUAAGAAAAAAAUUAACAUAAUAAACUAUAAUUUAAUAAAACAACUAAAUUAAAAAUUAACUAAAAUAAAUAGAAUAUUUAAGACCAAAAAAAAAAAGAUGGAGAAAUUAAUAGUAAAAUAUAGAGAAAAUAUGCACUUAUCAAAUUCCCCCACACUUAACCUUUGCUCAUCCUUGAGCAAACCUAGAAAUAAGACAAGAAAAAGACUUAAACUAGUCCAGUUUCGUAGGAAAUCACGAUUGCAUUUAGCAUAUGUAAUAAAUCUUUAAACCCAUAGGAGGCUCUAGUGGACGAGUUAUAGUCUCGUGAGAAUUUCAGUGAUGACACCCACAAAGAUCAUUUUUUUUUUUUUGUAAAACAACAUGAAAAUAAAACAUAAAACUAGCCUCAAAGAUUGCAUAAAUCAUAUAGCUAAAAGAAAAUUUAAAAUAUUGUUGAAGUUCUAACUUUAAUUCAAUCAUCUAUUCCAUCUCUCUUUUGAUUUUUGUAGUGUGUGUCAAUAAAUUCAAUUAAAAUUCAUUCCCAAAAUCUUCAAUAUCAACAUCAUUUGACUUGAACAAAGAAAAUGACAUAUCAAAGUAAUCUUAUCAUCUUAAUUUCUUUUUUUUUUCUUUCCAUAGGCAUUUAUGUGCAUUUUCUUUUUAUCACAUUCAUUUGAUUGAUUUUUGUUUAUUAUUAUUAUUUUUUUUAUCAAUACCAUAGUCAAGAGUUUUCACUCUACCCCUUAAUAAAGCCUCCUUCUCAUGGUAGACCAUCCUCUAUAUAUUGGUGGUACAUAGACCCAAAUUACCAAGGAUAACUUUGUUCUUAAGGAUUAUUGGUAGUUAUUUCUAACUAUGGUGUCUGUCUAUGCCACACUAUAUUGUGGAGAUAAAAAUCAAGACAAAUAAUCAUUUACUCAAUCUAAAAUUCUCAACUUAGGCUGUGAAGAAUUUCAAAUUUUAAGUCAAAAUUAUAAAAGAAUUGAUAUUGGUGCUCAUGAUGUUUAAAGAAUCUCAAUUAAGAGGAAAUCAACACAAGAAUUAAGUAUAAACAAGGCAAUAUUCAACCCUUUGUAAGAACCAUAUUCAUUGUUAAUCAAGUUCUUAUCAUUGGCUUCUAUUCAAGACAAACAAUGUUUUUUUUGUGUUUUUUUUUUUUGAAAAAGAAAAAGCCAAAGCAGAAAAACUAAGUUCGAAAUCCUCCCUCCAACACUUAAUUCUUAUAUUGUUGUAAGCCUAAUGUCACGGGAUGAGUGUUUUACGCAGCAAACCCAUGCGGCACUUAGAUAACUUUGUCAAAUGUUGCUAAGUAAGUAUUUAUUAAGCACAUUAGAGUUAGAAUUUAAAAGCUAUAGUUUCCAACAAUAAUUAAACAGGGCGAAUAUCUAAAAACAAGUCUAAUAGAAAAAUUUUUUAUUUCUAGAAAUAGAAAAUUUUUUUAUUUCUAGCAUGUGCUAUGUAAUUUUUAAGGAUUUGAAGUUACAGCAGCAGAGGAAAGAAAAUAAUUUAAAAAAGAGAAAUGCUUUAUGAAAUAAUUUGCUUGCAUCCUUUAUUCAAACAGCUUUAGGCUUUUUAUAAGAGCCAAUUGGAAACACGCAAUCUACACUAGUAACUGCACUUGGAACAACAAAAGACACCCAAGACAAUAACAUAUGAAGUACGAGAAAUAAUAGGAAAUAUGGGUAAUAAUAUUGCACACAUAGUUAAUAGAACACGUGUCAAGCACCCAUUUAUUUCAAAGCUCUUAUUACUAAGUCCUAGACUCCUCUUCUCAAGCACAUGGCUAUCAGGAACGUGGGAAGCUUGUUAAAUGCAUGGGUUCUUGCUCGUCUUUGGGAGACAUAUAGGCAUGCUUGGAAAGAGAUACACGCAAGACAAUCAACACAAGAUUUACUUUAUUUCUAGGAUGCAUGGCCGCAUGGGCAUGCACUCUACUUAUAGAACUCCAUAACCCAGAGAUUACCAAUAGCACGUUCACAACUGAUCCCACUAAAACCAGCGCCAGUAGCCAGGGUCAUGAAUUCAUGUCUUGUUCUCUCCUUUCCACCGGGACUUUGAAUCAUCAUAAGCACGUCAGAAUCGGAAUUUGAUUUUGAUUCAAUGCUUGUAUUAGGAACUUCUGGAAGCAUUAACUCCACAGCGAUUACCUUUCCAUCUUCUGGAAUGCUUUUGUAGCAAUUCUUCAACAACUUUAAGCAAUGUUCAUCAUUCCAAUCGUGCAGUAUCCACUAUAUAAAAAUUCUCAUAUUAAUCAAACUAUUGUUUGUAAAAAUUUAAUUGAAGGAACUCCUCAUUAUAUGUCCGCAAAUUAAAUUAAAAACUUACCUUCAAAAAAAUGGCAUCACCUUUUGGAACACUUUGAAACAUAUCACCCCCUACAUGCUCAAUACCUGUAAAAUAUUAUACAAUUAAGAAAUUAGACAAUUAGAAUUAUGCCACUCUAUUUUCAUUACGAAAAUGUCUGUUGUUCAAAUUCAAUUAUGCCAAUGUUAUGGAAGUUCCUGGUAUACAGGCAUACUCAUGAAUGUCCUCAUUUUUUUUUUAAAUAUAGAUUCGGAGUUUUACAAGAUUUUCACAAUAGUAAACCAUUGAAGAAUAUAUAUAUAUAUAUAGGGCAGGUGCCCUCAUUUUUUUUUUUUAAUGAGGACAUGCUGUUAAACUGUGCAAUUUAAUGGCGUUCUUCAUUAAUUAUAUUAAAUCGCAAGGCUUAACAAAAUGUUUACAUUAAGAAAAAAAAAGAAAUGAGGGCACCCGUCUUAGAGAAAGACACAAUAUACAUAUACACAUACAUUAGUAGUUUUUUGGUAAGGGAUUUUAAAGUACAGGAAAGUCCGGGAAAGAUUUAAAAUCGGACGGUUUUAAAGGCUUACAGUUUUAAGCCUUUAAAACCAUGCAGUUUUAAACCUUUCUGGCACUUUAAAAUUUCGGACUGGAACAUUUCUCAUACACACACACACACACACACACACACACAUACAUACAUACAUACAUACAUAUAUUUUAUGAGAGUUCAUGCACUUUAUUAAAGUGCAGGAAAAUUAUGCUCUCUCUGCUCCCUUGGGCUUUCAUAUUUUCCAUAACCCCCCUCCUGGUUUGGCUUAUAUUAUCACUCAUGAUAUGUAUGGGGUAGCUUAUCCCCGUCUAAUUUUAUCCUAGCUCUUUUUAGAGCCCCUUUGUAAAAAAAAAAAAAAGUGCAAGAAAUUUGUUACGACGUAUGGUAUAAUAGUGUAAUGUCCCGAUAAGUAGUACUAUCUAUAACAUGAGAUUAAUAACCAUACAUGGAUGUGGUGGGACAUGCUCAAUAACAUGAGGCAGGUCGAAAUUGAUGCCCUUAAUAUAGGGGUACUUGGUAGUGAUGGCUUGAAGAGUAACGCCGAUACCGCCACCAACAUCGACCAGUUGCUUGAUGUUGUCGAAGCCCUUGUAAGAUUCAAGAAUGUUGCUCAUGACCAGAGAGGUAUAGUUAUACAUUACUGUGUUAAAAUGUUUAUUGAACCCAGGGUCCAAUCCUGCGUACUCAAAUGUAUGCAUUCCAUGGGCUCGAUUAAAUGGAAUUCCCCCUUCAAGAAUAGCAUGUUUGAGUUGGGACCUACAUAAAUUCCGAAAAAACAAUUUAUCAUGCAUCGUAUUAUAUAUAAGCUCCAUGCAUGCAUGCAUGGUCUAGUUGAUCAUUUACUGAGAAAAAGAGAGAAAUAUAAAUUAGUUAAUUAAUUACCAGCACUCCAGAAAGACCUUGUCAUGAGUUAUUUGUAUUCCGGGGCCUAGUGAGACGCCAUCUUUGUUAGGCACAUAGUAUUUGGAGACAGAAUUCAAACUAUAUAGUCUCCGGGCACCAGAAGCAUCAAGUGAGCAUUCAACAACACUGUAGCUAGCUAGAAGCCUGAGAAUCCGAUCCAGCAUCAUGGGUGCGUCUUUGUUCUUGGUGGUCAACUAGGCUGCAAUAUCUGAAGCAGAGAGCUUUGCACCAGGACCAGCUUUGUCUAUGAUCUCGAAAAUGCCUAGCUCAUACACCGCUUGCAUGGCCAUGGGUAGCACUAUACCCCUCGCCAAUUGAUUAGCAUAUGCAAAGCUUUGGUCUCUCUCUCCAUCAACUAUAGAAUCCAUUUUAAGUUUCUUGAAUUUCUUCUACGCUUUGCGGGGUUUCUUGUUUGGCCAGGGGAUUAUAUAUAAAGAAUUGUUCAUUCAAAACUAACAAGAGAAGCAUUCCAACCAUGUGUUUUCUACAGUAGUGCUACAGUAUUAAAUUACAAUUCUACAUUCACGGGACAAAUCUAGACAUUAAGUAAUUGACUUAGUAAUAAAAAUAUCACGAUCAAUUAGAUUCUUACAAAUUUCAGAUGCACACUUAGUUUUGCUACCAUUUAUUUGAAUGAAUUUAGUUCAACUUAUUUAACGAACAUCAUUUAUCUUUAAUUGUGUUUGCACAUCAACAUAACAAACUAUAUCUUUAUUUUAAAAAAAUUCAAAGUAAUCACCGAAGAAUAUUUAUUAAAAAAUUAUAUGUAUUAAAGACACGAAGACCAAAAUUAUUAUUUGAUUCUAACAUGUUUAGUAGUCCUUUAUUCACAGAUAAUUACAUUAUGCGAAAAGAGCUGUUCGUCCAUAAAAAUUUACGUACGGCUCAUUUUCCUUAGUGAAUUAGUAGUUGCUGGCAAUUAACAUGCAUGAAAAUCAUGUGUCUACUGGUUGUUAAUUUCAAAAAGUUAGGCCUGCAAUGCGAAAAGGACAGAAGAUGCCAUAAAAGUCUUUUUGGACCUGAAGGCAUUUGCAAUUACGUGAAGGUGUUAAACACAGAAGAAAUUCAAAAACAUUAAUUAAAUACGGCUUCUUAUGAUUCAGCGGAAAAUAUUGAUCACAAAGACCAGCUGGAGCUGAUAGUGCUCACCAUCAAUCAGCUGUUGAUGGGUAGUAACAACCUUUAAUUGCAAUCAGUGAUUGAAAUUAUGGGACUUUUGUCAUUUCAAUUGCAAUCCCAAAUGGGACCUAACCAUUGGCUGUAUUAUUAUCAUCGCUUGCCAAAUCCAAAAGCAAAGGGCUUAUUGAUUUCAAAGAAAAAGAAUUGUUUGUUCAGGCCAUAUUAGACCAUUUGCUUCGUUGUGUUGAUGGCUGUAUUUUAAGACCAACAAAAUUAUAUACAUAUAAAUGUAUAUUCUUUUAUAUAUAUAUAAAGAGAGAGAGAGAAAAAGAGCUUUUAAUGAGGGACUCCUCAUUUUAUUAAAAUGAGUAUCAAACUAAUAAAUAAGAAAAAUGCAUAUUCAGAAUGUUUUAUCUUAUAAUAUAUUAAAGUUUAUAUUUUUCUAUCUUUAACAGCUUAACAACAGAACAGUGGGUGGACCCAGUUAAAGCUUAAGAGGGGCUUCAGCCCUCUGAACCAUUAUUUUUUUUUAAGUCUGCCCUGAGCACCUUCUGAAUGAAUUAAAUAAAAAGCAUUUAGAAAUGUUUUUUAAAUAAUAAAACACUUGUAGUCCAAUGGUACAUGUGUUAUUUAGUGGUUUUAGAGACUUGAUUCGAAUCCCAAUAAUUUUUUGAAUGUGUGCGUGGUCCUCAAUUUUUUUCACGUGCAAUAUAAAAUUAAUUGAAGAAAAAAUAUUGGCCUGGUUAGAGGUAGGUUAUAGGUAGGUAGGGUUUAAAGAAAAGAGUAAAACUUUAUUUGCCGGACGCAAUUAGAAAACAUGGCUCCGAAACAUUUAUUGAAAACUAAUUUAAGAGAAAAUGUUGGCUUAUUUAGAAGUAGGUAACAAAUAAGUACGAUUUUAAGAAACAAGUAAUACUUUAUUUGCGGGAUCCGAUUAAAAUACAAGUGUGCAACCUAAGAAGGGGGUGAAUUGGUAUUUUAAAAAUUAUCCUAACAAAACCACACAACAAUCAAAUCUAACGCCUUAAUAAAUUCGAAAACAAUAAGUUCGAUAAAAGCACAAUAACAAAUGAGUAAGAGAGAAGAGAAACAAACACACGAAUUUUUACGUGGUUCGGCAAUCCCCGCCUACGUCCACGCCUCCAAGCAAUCCAAGCUUGAGGAUUUCACUAUCCAAGCCUUCCAAGGCUUCAAAAGUUUACAAUUGACUUCAAGGUGUCAAUGAACCUUUACAACAAAGAGAUUAUCUCUCAAUCUCUUCACUCAAGUGUCACGCACUUAAACACUCACAAUUAAGAUGAGGAAUUGAAUAUUACAAUAAAAACCUUCUUCAAGAGUAGAUAUACAAAUUGAAGAACAAAAGAUGAUUCAAGGUUUUAUGAUUUACGAAAUGAGAGCUCAAUGAACGUUGUGUGCUUUUUGAUUUUGCUUGCAAGAGUGCUUGAAAAUGAAUUGGAUUUGAGUUUAUAUAGUUUGAACUCAAAAACUAGCCGUUAUGCACAUUUUGGUGAUAACCGGCUUACCGUUCAUGGAAUUCGGUUAGCCGCUUUUAUGUUACCAUUAAGGCAAAAAUUUGAAUUUCAGAACAUCCGGCAUGCCGCUUUUCAUAUCCGGUUAGCCGCUUUCGAAAUCCGAAUAGCCGCUUGCAAAAUUCGGAUAGCCGCUUGCGAAAUCCGGAUAGUCGUUUAUGCUUCAAAAGCUUACUGCCCAAAAUCCGGAUUGCUGUUUACCAUAUCCGGUUAGCCGCUUGCUACAGUAACCAGUACAAUGCACUAUUUUCUAAAAUUAUAAUUUGACCCCAAAACUUUAUAAAACUGUAUUAUGGCACAAAACGUUAUAUUAUUUUGUAAAUAUGUCCAAUUUCAAAAUCUCUAAAUAAUGCUUGCUAUUCCCAAAACUUUUUGAAAUUAUGAUAUGGCCCAAAAUGUUAUGAAACUUUUUCAAUAAGUCCUUCUCCAAAAUUUCGAGCAAUACUUGUUGAUUUCAAAGUUUUCAAAACUCUUUCAAUUAAAUCAUAAACUUGAAAAACAACUAAUUUCAUAAAAUCAUUUUUCCAUUAAAUAUAAAAUCUUUAUAAUGUGAAAGUAAUGAUUUAUUUAAAAUAUAUAAAAAAUAAUUUGAGCUUAAAAUAUAAUCUUGUUUGUUAUCAUCAAAAUCAACAUUAUGGAAACAUAUAUGUUAACACCGAUUAGAAAACAUGGGUUUGAAACAUCUACUAAAAAGAGUAUUUUUGUAUAAAAAUUUGAGGAGUGUUAGCGACAAUCACCUAUCGUGACUAGUGUCUUGGUCCUCAAUUUUUCUUUUUCACGUUCAAUAUAAAAACUAAUUGAAAAGAAAAUGUUGGCCUAGUUAGAUGUAGGUAACAAGUAAGGUUCUAAAAAAAAGAGUAAUACUUUAUUUGCAGCACCCGAUUAGAAACACAUGCCGAAACAUAUAUUAAAAAGGCAUUUUUAUAUAAAAAUUUAAGGAGUGCUAGCAACAGUUGUCCUUAUAGAUGACUGAGACAAUUAUUACCAAGCCCUCUCAAAUUUAAGUGUUUGGUCCAGCCACCGAAGAGAACCCAUGUGUGAUUAUGUACUAUGGGUGCAUUGGUACAUUGUUAUUAUAUUGUAUGUUUUGUAUUAUUUUAAUGCAAACAUAUUGUAUUAUAUUGUAUUGUAUUAACACUGUAUUAUAUUAAUACUGUACAACAUUUAGUGCUAUAUUGUCCUAUAUUAAUUUUUAAUUAUACUAUGUUUGGUACUGCAUUGCAUUGCACUAUAGUUUUUUGGUUAUCAUAAAAAUUAUAUUUUUAGAAAAUAAAUAUUUACUUUUUGAUAACUUUGUCAAAAAUAUUUUAAUAAACUUUUUGAUGAUAUAUCUUUUGAAAUAAAAAUCCAAGUGAAUAAAAUAGAUAACUUAAAAAAUAUCCUAACAUAAAUAAAUAAUUAAAACAUAUAAGCUUUGUUAAAAGAAAAAAGACAUAAUAGAGAUAAUUAAUACAAAAGUUUGCACAUACUAUAACAUAGUCACAAAUAAAAGGAGUUGCAUUUUAAAAAAGGGUUGCUUUGUCUCAUAUAUCAAAUCAGGAUAAAUAAUUGUGCAUGGAUAGAGACAAACACAACUUUCACUCAAUCCUUAGAUAGGGUGUAUUCUUUCCCAACUAUCCAAAUGUUAGUUAAUUUGUGACCACUGCUCAUCCUCGCAAUCAAGAAUUUCUUCUAUUACCUGCCUAUGAAAAAAUGUUAUUAAAUGGACAACAAAAGAA
rnacentral:lncRNA from 1 species